rnacentral:lncRNA from 1 species
UUGAUGAAGACGAUGAUCAAGUGUACAGAGGCGCAAGUGAACUUCGCAAGUUGAGACCGGACAUCAACACUGGCCUCCAUGCAGUUAUUUGCUAUGCAUACAAGCACGUGGGCCAGGAACUGCAUGUUCGAGUCUUAGAUAACCAAGACAAGACUGGUCCACGUAGAUGGGUUCUCCUCAAAGCUUUCGAGAAAUUUUUCUUCUUAUCAGUUCAGGAACUUGGUAUCCCCCCGGACGUCCUUCGCGGUGUAAAAGAGAGAUAGGUGUGUUCUGUACAUAUAAAUAUACACUGCUUAUAGGUGUGUUCUGUAUAUUUUUCUUCUUAUCUUGGAUAGCAUGGAAGUAAACUUUGCACCGUAGCUACUGAUUCUGGAGGUGUAUGUUUUGUGUCACCCUGAAUCUGAAUGCAUUGCUUGAUGUGUUAUGAUGCUUCAAUUCAUUGAAGUCUUCUCUGCCUGGGUAUAUUGCAGGCCAGAUAUGAAUACAUGCAGACUACUCCCUCCGUUUUUAAAUAUAAGUCUUUUUAGAGAUUCUAAUAUAGACUACAUACGGAGCAAAAUGAGUGAAUCUACACUCUAAACUACGUCUACAUAUAUCCGUAUCUAGUCCAUAUUGAAAUCUCUAGAAAGACUUGUAUUUAGGAACUGAGGGAGUACAAUGUAAUGUCGGAGUGCAAUGUGCGUGGUGCUUUGUAAUGCAUGUGUAGAUAUCCCUGUAUUAGGAGCAGAUAAUGAUGAUCCUAUGUCAUUUCUGUUUCUACCAGUGUACUAAUUGAGGAUGUUGGUCUUCUGAGUAGGGACGAAAGAGCAUGAGCAAGUAUAUGGUGUUGAAUACGAGACCAAAUGUUGCAAAUAUUUUAAAUGCUGGGUGAACUACUUAACUGUUUUAGGGGAAACAAUGAUGAAAUUACGAUCGUAAGUGCUUUGUAUAGUGAAAGUGUGAUUGCUUUGAGAACAACUGCUCUGUUGUCUGUCUUUUCCACCAACUCUUCAUUAUAAUUUUUUAGAUAUUGUUUUCCUAUUCUAUACCUUCUUCUCUUGGCAAGGCACAAGUUAAAUUUACUCAUACGUACAAAGAAACCUUCAUAGCAGAAAAAAAUAAAUCUAAGUUGCAUUGAGAAGCAACUGAACCCAAGUAACAUUUUGAUAAAGGAUAAAUUUUAUUUACUCAAAAUGAAGCAUUAAGCAUAUACAAACACAAUGAGUACACAUCUGAGCUCUACAUGAUUAAGAUGCACACAACCAACAUCAACGUGCACACACAAAGAAUCACACAGGCAAAGAGCAAAGUCAUGCAUGACCAAAGUUAUGCCUAGGCAUAUGAAAAAGAAAAGAAAAAACUCCAAAGGGAUCAAAACAACGAUCAGCUAACUACAACAAUGACCAUAUCCGCACCAAAUAUCUCUUGACAUCACAAGGACAAUAUGAAAGGUUCUCCAGUAGCGACGCCUCUAGGAAGGGAACAAUGCUCAAACGCCGCCGUCGCCGGAUCCAAUCACCAAUACUCAGAUCCUGCAUUUUCCCCGGGAAGAUAAAGUCUGAGAAAAUUUUGAUCAAUGCCUUCAAAUGUAACGAUGAAAAAACACUGCAAUUACUAGGUAUAACCAACUAGGGCCAGGUCUGGGUUUUCAUCCCGGUGCUCGAGACCGGGUACUUAAGAAGCACCACCAAAUCGAAGUCAACAUGUGUUGUCGCCACAACUUUUCAUGAUCCCAGCAGCUGCAUGCGUAGCACGGUCUUGACAUGAGAUGUCACAUUUGAAGACCAUGCCCGCACAAGCAAACAAUCAAGCAGCAACAAGUGUCAGUCGUCACCAAAGGCUCAGAAGGACGAAAGUUGAUAUUGCAAAUGUGACGAAGAUUGGUGAGGACGGAAGGUCAUCGGCAUCACCAGAAUCCCAAUUUGAGACACUACGAUAGUCCGACACUGUUCUCACGCUCCAACAUCCUCGUUUGUGGUGCGGUAUUCGUCGGCAAACCAAACUUGUCGUUGUCGCCGGAUCUGAAGGUCCAAAACCCUUUGGCCUGUUACGAGAACCCCCGAGCGGCGCAGGACCACGGUUCCAUCCAAGCGCCCAAUCAGAGGGUUGUGUCAUUGGGACACGAAAGGACGCCAAUGUCUCCCGCGCACCUGCAGAUGGGAUCGCGCCACUGACGCAUCGCCAACAGAAAUUGACAGUUCUUCGGAAACAUCAUUGGCACCGCUGCACAACCAUAUCAUCUGCCUCAGAUCAUCCCUCUAGGAUGCAUUUUGCCUCUGAAGGCUAUUGGAGCAAAGGCCUCCGUGUCGCUGCUUUCAGCGACCUAUGUCGGGAAAUAGCCUAGCCACUGAUCUCUAGCGGCGGCGAGGGGGGAAUGGGGAGGUAGGAGGCGGCGUUUAUGGAGAAGAGAGGAAGUAGAGGUUGCGGUUGCGACCAACAUGCAUAUAUGUAGUCUGAAAUACUCAGUACCUCCCUAUGUUGGUCAACAUAAUGCUAAUCUUGAUUUUGAUUUUGUGGCCGUACUUUCCUUCCUAUGCAAUGGGGAAUCAAUAUCUUUGUUCAUUUACAAGCAGUUAUUAGCACACUAUUAGCUGUUAUGCCUUUGAUUUACUCUUUUGUUUGUACUUGUUUAAGUACCCAAUCUUCCUUUCAACUAUAUGUAGUAGAGGGUGGCAAUGUAGAUACAUCCAUCAUGCUAAUUGGGAGCGAGAUCCAUCUCCAUCAUGUACAAAUUGUUCUCUUUGGUAUGAUCUUGCCAUUUGGUAGUACUACUAGAUGACCCAUUGCGCUGUUGAUGCAGGGACCAACUUCAGCCACGAAGUUAAGCAGGCUAUGAGCUUAUUACAAAACCAUGCCUAUCCAUGUUGUAGGGUAACCAGAUGAGGAGUGCAAAGACCAAUUGAAGCCACAAAUCAGAUCAACCUAUGAAAAACAUGUUUUAUUAAUGAUUAAUAAAGAGAAACCGAUUCCCUACAUGGGUAUGAAUAAGCACAAAGAAGCCAAGUAAAGAUUUAAAGGUAAGCGAACUGUUAGAAGAGGUUCUUAGUGAACCAUAUGAAGCACGACGUUAACCUAUGCGAUGGUAGGGCGUUUUUGGGUGUCGUAAAGAAAAUGACUGAACGACCACAUCCCCACCUAAGCAUGAGCUUGGUACGGAACAAGGAGACAAACUGGUUGCGACCCCGGCAAAGAUGGGCCCCAUCACAAGUGCAGGCGUCGAUAAUGCAGAGUGACCACAAUGGACGGUGAGGGCCCACAAGUUGCUGCAUCAUUCUUUGAGUCAUGCAUGACCGAACCGGGGGUAAACCAAGUGUGGUUGCAUGCCGUUGAGCCGGACCUCGCUGCGGCGUAGGUCAACAUCACUGUACCAUCACCAAUGCUAGUCGGGCUCCUAUGCAUGCCGGACUCGCUCUCUUUUUGUUGAUGCGAGGCUUCUUGCAGCUUUCUUGGUGUUCAUGCUCUGCUUGCAGUCGGUGGUGGCAGAUGACCCAUUGGCUCGUCGUACCAGCUAAGGUUUGGAUUAUGGUGUUCCCCGCCCCCUCCUCCAAUCAAGCUUUCCUAGCUCCACCAUCGGUACCAAGCAUGUGUGUUCCUUGUCGGUUUUCGAAUGUGUGUUCCUUGUCGGUUUUCAAACGCUAGCUCGAGGAAUACCUGAAUUUUCUUGUUUUUCUACAUAGUACAAUCAAAGUCGCUCACAUACACGAGCAUACACUCACCCCUAUGAGGGAACGCACACACACCCUAGCCCUAUGAGCACCUCCGAUAGAUUGAGCCAGCACGUCAAUUUGAGAUUGAGGAACUCGCCACAGACGCCUUCGUAAUCGACGGGGAACACUACUACAGGAAUGUCUUGCAGUGGUGGACGGAAAAAGCCUAGCAGCGGUGGGCCAGGCUCUCAGGGGCGCCCGCCAUUGACCUCCCGCCAUUGCUAACAUGGCAAUGGUGGGGGCACGCGCCUGCCACUUAUCAUAUAUUUACGUGUAGCGGGCAUCCCCUUGAGCCCUCCACAGUUGUGUUAUGACAGUCAGAAAUAAAAAAGUUGCCAUGGCAGCUAUUUCGUGAGCGUUGCAACUUUUUUUAGUUUAGCAAUAAUAUUAGUACCCUAAUAAAUACAUAAAUAGCAUAUGGGCAUUUUUUAACAGUGAAAUACAUAAAUAACGUUUUUUCCCUCGUUGGUGAAACUAAGGGUCAAGGGUAUGCCAAUUUUUUUAACAGUGCCAUGUGUCGGUGCAGCCAACAUGGGCGUUUGCUGCCCUGACUUAUGCACAGACGCGUUGUAGCUCCUACAUAAAAUACCAAGUUUCAUACACAGCUAAGCCAGAGAAGCCACUCUUCGUGAGAUCAAGGAGUGCAUUAAGAAGGCCAAGUCUUGGAGCAAGCUAUGAAAGUUAUAAGCGAGAGCAACCAACUCCGGCAAGACAAAGUCCGGCAGGCUCCGUGCCAGCAAACCACUACGAGUUGCCACCGCUCCACCUCACCAAGUCAUCGAUCACUAAUUGGUGCGAUGCCGAGCCCUUGUACAGCUAGGUAGAUCCUGCCGAGCAUGUGGCAGCAUCCUGAGGGAGGAGAUUACCUUUAAUGACACCUGUCCUGAUGGUGUGUCACGCUAAUAGGAGGUGGUUGGAUAAGCGUGCGACAAUCUUGCCAGGGCUGCCUCUCCACGCGACACCUAAGACAACAUUUAACGCGUUUUGUCUCAACUGACAGAGUUAGGUAUGAUAGCCAUGUAUCAGUCUAAUCACCACUGUAAUGACCUUUUUGCCACUUUGGUGACCCCUUGAGCUAUAAAAGGAGGGCCAAGGAAACAUUAGAAGGGGUUCGAAUCUUUGCAACUCCCACACAUAGAUAUCAGUGUAGCUGCUCUCUCCUCACCACUUGCCAGGGAGAGUGCUCCGUGUACUUUGUGUUCAAACACCACCCAAUACAUCAAAGGUAGGAGUAGGGUUUUACGCCUCUGGGUGGCCCGAACCUGGGUAGUACCAUGUGCUCCUCGUUGUGUUUGCUCUUUGCAUCGAUCGCCACCCUUUGCCGAACCAGCAAAAGGGGCUGAUUUGCCCCAUAGAUCGCCGGCUCCACGCCGACAUCUUUGGCGCGCCAGGUAGGGGGUCUGCAUUAGCGUGAACCAAAACAACGAGCAUCGCCUUGGCUGCAUCAAGUUCUGCAUCUUCUUCAUCACACAUGGCACCCAAGAAGAAGGGCUCCAUGGCAACAAAAUCGUCCUCAUCCAAGCUCUCGCCCCCAUUCGCCUGCAGAUGGCGCAGGCGGUGCCACUCCGGCAGGCGGUGCAAAAGCUGUGGGGGGCGCGCCAGCACAAGAGGUGCCGUCGCUAUGCCUGCCGCUGCGGGAGCGAACGAUGGGAACGCCGGAGCUGGUCAGCUCCUACGACCCUUUGGCGACAAACGCAACAAUGGUGCAGGCGGUGCGAACGUGCAGCUCCCGCUUCCCCCGCCCCACAGCGAGCGCGUACACCAGAGCAACACCACCCAGUCCGGUGCAAGCCGAUAUUGUCCCGCUGCACCAACCCCAACAACUGCAGGGGAGACGACAUCAAGGUACACACUACGCCCGUCGCAAGAUGGGCGCGACGUGACGCCAAGCGGUGCUGUUGUGCCUCCAUAGCAGCGUCCGCAUGGCAAGUCGCCGGUUGAUCAAGCUCAAGAUCUCCAGGCGCCGCUCCCACCGCGCCAGCCCACUACCGCCCCACGAUUCGGUAACGGGGCCGCAAUGAUGCUCCUGCUGGCUACGCCAGAAGUCGAGCACUACAAGAAAUAUGUCAACUUGUGACCAUCACUAUUGGUCGCUAAAAGGUCAUUGAUUUUCAUUUGCGACCUUUUUGUGACCAAAAAUAGAUGGUCAAAAGCUGGUGGUCGUAAACUAAAAUUAAUGACCUUCUUCAGGAUAAGGUCGUAGACGUUUGCGACCAAAACAAAAGGUCGUUCAACCCAUGACCUUUUGUUUUGGUCACUGGCUGUCUGCCCAGGCCACGUCGGAUCCGACAUGGCAAUCUGACAUGGCAAAAUUGCGACCAAUUGAAAAGGUCGUUGACAAGAUUCUACCCGGUCCAGUUUGAUGUUUUACAUGGGCCGAGCCCAAUAAUUUGGCCUUUUUGUUCCCUAAGCUUCGUUCAGUGUUUUUGGGCCUCAGCCUUUCUGCGGUCCAUUUCUUUUUUGGGUCGCAUCUAUUUUUAUUUUGGGCCUCGGCCUUUUUUCAGUCAAUUUCCUUAAUUUUUAGCCUUUCCUAUGAAUAUUAUUUGGUAAAUGGCCUUUUGGAUGCCAAAUACUACUAGGUCCCACUUGUCAGGUUCUAAUUAAAGACUGCCCAGGUUUCAAUUUCUACAAUUUAAAACAAUUAUUUCAAUGAGAACAGUAAACAGAUGAAAAUUAUCAAAACAGAUGCCAAUUUUGGCUAAUAGCACAAUCUUUACAUCAUUCCUUUCACCAAGAUACUAUCAUACUACAAAUAUACUUAUGGCUUCUUCACUUCCAGGCUAGAGCUCUUGUAAACAUUCGUAGAGGCUAAACGAAGCAGCAUCACCUUGUUGAGCAGCAGAUCAUCAGCAUCAUCCCAUGUUGGAUCAGCUCAGCAGAGCAUCCCCGGUCGUCUCCAUGACUUGAGCAUUCCUGCAAUAGCAACAUCAGAUCCGAUCAGCAACAGUACAACAUAUAACAUCAACAACAUUAACUACUCCAAAUCAACAACAACUACAGCAUAUCAGAUCAACAACUACUACAGGAGAUCAGAUCAACAACUACUACAACAGAUCAAUAGAAACUACUACAGCAGAUCAGAUCAACACAUUUGUUUGAAUGGAGUAACUUGGAGAUCAGUACAAUAGAUCAAUAACUUAGAGUACUCCAAAAUGGAUUUUGAUUUGAUACUCCAGCUGAAGAAAGGGCAAAUGGGCACUUUUGACACAUUAGGGUCAGUAUCUUUCCUUGGAAACAGCCCAGCAAAGAACAAUGCGCAUCAGACAAGAAACCACCAGAGAUAAGCAUCAAGAGAAAUGAAUAUUGUGUCUACUUUAUGCUACAACAUCAUCAUCCGGAUUAAAACAACAUAUGGAUACUCAGUGCUAGAUGAGACCAUAUAUAGUACCACUACAACAAAAUAGGACGUCGUAUGCCGCAGUGCACCAUAUUACUUGAUCCGGCCUCAAUGAUCAUGGGCAUGUCGUCCUCCCACUCCGUGGUGGGCAACUUGAAGCUGAAUGAAACCGGCCAGGUUACAACUGCCAAGUCACGCUGAACCAAACCACCAGCGAGCACGAGCAGACGAAGGCGAACCGCACCUCAUGCACUUAUGCAUCUCACAUAUUAGAAGUUCGCAUAUUAGAAAAGGAAGGAGGAUAAUUAUCCACUAAGUAGAAAAAACACUAGAUCAAUUGUAAAUUAAAAAAAUGACAUCAGGUAUCAUAUUAAUUUUCAGAAUGAGACAUGUCAUAUGAUUGCAAUUUGGUACCAGAAAUGACAUCAAGGAAUGCAAACAGAUUUAUGCACACAGUAUCAUGCUGUAUCUCACUUGUAAGAAUAAAAAUUAAUGAACAGAUUCAUGCACAAAAGCUUUUGAUCAUAGGUGUUGCAGGUACAGAACAUAUGUUAUGCGCAGGGCAGACCAAGCUGACAAGAGCAUAUAGAGGGAAGCAGCAGGAUAGAAAAAACAUGCUAGUAGAAUAUUUUAGUCUGAUCAGAAAUUGGGCCAAUGCACUUUGCUUUGAUAUACUUUACUGGAAGGAAGUUUAGAAGUAUACAUUCAACCUUUCAGCCUAAAGUGUGUAGUACAUGCUUAUGUUAUUACGAUUUGCUAGGUGCACUCUCAGGCUGACUGAUCAGUUGAGUCGGAUGGCUGUUUAAUAAUUAAUAGGCAUUCAUUCAUGGACCAGCCUUUGAUCAUUCAUUUCUGAGCAAAGCUUUUCAUAAACGAACAAUCUGGUACAGUAGAGUACCCUAUCCAGGUCCCCAUAAUAUAUGACUUGACAAACAGUUUCUGAGCAAUUAUUAUCCAAAUAUAUACUUACAAUUUUUCAAUAACGUUGAGCAACAAUGAAAAUGACAUUCAGUUAUGUACCACCAAAAUCACUACAAACAUUAGAGAGCAUCAAAUUUCAAAAUCAACACCAUAUGUAUUACACUGACUCGUAUAAUACUACUUGGUCAUGUACUUGUACUAGUGCAGGAUGACUCAUUGUCCUACUACUGCCUAUUCCAGUUUCUUUCAAGUUGGGAAAUAACUGAAACUACUCAUCAUUCAUGAACAUACAUCUGUACUCUUAAUCUAUGAAACACUGAAAUUACUGCAGAAAAAACUACUGUAAUGAACCAUUCAUGAACAUACAUCUGUAAUCUUAAUCUUUUGAUCUUGUGUUGGAAAGAAAGAACUACUGCAAAUUCAUAGUACAACCAAGGAACUGUCGCAGAACUAAAAAUAAUGUUGUAGGAUCGAAAGUAUGUCUAGAGGGGGGGGGUGAUUAGACUACUUGACCAGAUAAAAAUCUAGCCUUUUCCCAAUUUUAGUUCUUGGCAGAUUUUAGCAACUUAGCAUAAGUCAAGAAAUCAACCUACACAUGCAAUUCUAAGAGUAUAGCAGCGGAAUGUAAAACAAUUGCAUAUAAAGGUAAAGGGAGGAGUUUGAGGGAGCAAACACAAUGUUGACACGGAGAUUUUUUAGCCGUGGUUCUGAUAGGUGGUGCUAUCGUACAUCCACAUUGAUGGAGACUUCAACCCACGAAGGGUAACGGUUGUGUGAGUCCACGGAGGGCUCCACCCACGAAGGGUCCAUGAAGAAGCAACCUUGUCUAUCCCACCAUGGCCGUCGCCCACGAAGGACUUGCCUCACUAGGGUAGAUCUUCACGAAGUAGGCGAUCUCCUUUCCCUUACAAACUCCUUGGUUCAACUCCACAAUCUUGAUGGAGGCUUCCAAGUGACACCUAGCCAAUCUAGGAGAUACCACUCUCCAAGAAGUAACAAAUGGUGUGUUGAUGAUGAACUCCUUACUCUUGUGCUUCAAAUGAUAGUCUCCCCAACACUCAACUCUCUCUCAUAGGAUUUGGAUUUGGUGGAAAGAAGAUUUGAGUGGAAAGCAACUUGGGGAAGGCUAGAGAUCAGGAUUUAUGUGGUAGGAAUGGAAUAUCUUGACCUCAACACAAGUGUAGGUGGUUCUCUCUCAAAAAAUGUAUGUUGGAAGAGUAGGCAUGUUCUGAUGGCUCUCUCCAUGAAUGAAGAGUGGGUGGAGGGGUAUAUAUAGCUUCCACACAAAAUCUAACCGUUACACACAACUUACCAAACUCGGUGGGACCGAAUCCUGAAACUCGGUCCGACCAAUUUAGUAAAUAAUGUGACCAUUAGGAUUUUCGGUGGGACUGACAUGUCAUCUCGGUGGGACCGAUAUGGUUAGGGUUAGGGCAUAACGUAAUCUCGGUGAGACCGAUUACACAAACUCGGUGAGACCGAUUUUGGUAAUAGACACACAGAGGGUUGGUCAGGCAAACUCGGUGGGACCGAUUCGCUCAUCUCGGUUGGACCGAAACGUUACGAAAGGGAAACAAUGAGUUUGCAUUGCAAUCUCGGUGGGACCGAUCGCUCAUCUCGGUUUGACCAAAACGUUACGAAGGGAAACAGAGAGAUUACAAUCCCAUCUCGGUGAGACCGAGAUCCCUAUCGGUGAGACCGAAAAGACUAGGGUUUGUGGCAGUGGCUAUGUCAAUAGAACUCGGUGACGCCGGAUAGAUGGUUUCGGUGGGGCCGAGUUUGACAUUUGGUUUGGGACAUAUGUGGAUGUGAGAAAGUAGUUGAGGGCUUUGGAGCAUAUCACUAAGCACUUUGAGUAAGAAACUCAUUAAGGAACACCUCAUCCCUCGAUAGUAUUGGCUUUUCCUAUAGACUCAAUGUGAUCUUGGAUCACUAAAAUAGAAAAUGUAGAGUCUUGUGCUUUGAGCUUGACCCAAUCCUUUUGUCCUUAGCAUUUUGAGGGAUCCACUUUUCUCAUCCAUGCCAUGCCAAUCAUUGAGCUUUCCUGAAAUAUUUAUCUUGAAAUAGCAUUAGCUCAAUGAGCUAUAUGUUGUCAGGAAUUAUCAAAACCACCCAGGGAUAGUUGCACUUUCAAUCUCCCCCUUUUUGGUAAUUGAUGACAACAUAUAGAUCAAAGCUUCGACAAAUGAUAAUAAGAUUGAAAAACAUCGUCGCUUUGAGAAGUAUGUCAUAAGCAAGAGCUCCCCCUAAAUUUGUGCAUUAUUUAAAAAUUGCUUUGGACUGCAAAUGCACAAUGUGUUAGGAUCAUGGGUUACUCUUCCAUGUCACAUACAUCUUGGUGGAGCGCUCAAAAUGAUAAUGAUUGAACACAUGCACUCAUCACCAAGCAAAGUGAAUGAUCAUAUGAGGAUAUAAGAGAUAAUAUCAUCCAACAAGCAUUAAGAUAGCAUAUGAUCAAACACACAUGAUCAUCCAAGUAUCUCACAAAGGCAUAGUGUAUCAAGCAAACACACAAUAAAGAAGUUCAACCACCAAAAACAAGAUAGAUCAAAAGCAACACUCUCUCUCGAAGCCUAUGAUCUAUACAUUUUUCUCCCCCUUUGGCAACAAGUUACCAAAAAGUUCAAAAAUGCAUAGUGCUAAACGACUCUCAGGCUUGGUCUUCAUGAGGUGGUGUAGAGAUGACUCCAAGGACGAAAGCAUCAGUUGAUGUAGCUGUAGCUGGUGGAGUGGCUGCUGGAGCUGGUGGCACCGAAGCUGUUGUAGCUGGUGCCGAAGAUGUAGCUCUAGUAUAUGGAAUAGGCACUGUAGCAGAUCUCUGUCCUCUGGGCACUUUAGCAAAUGCAUCUAUAGUAGACUUGCCCUUCUUCUCCUCCACAUCCUCCUGAAGUUGCUCAACUGCAGUUUGGAUCUCAAUGACCUUCAUAUCAAGAGCAUAAAACUUCUGCUCAAUGAUUCCCUCAAAACUCUCCUGGUUUUGAGUCAAGGUGGCCAAGCCCUUCUCAAUCCUCAAAGUGGAGGCAAUCAAGUGGCCAAGCUGAUCUUGCUUGCUCUUCAGAAGCACUUGAGAUGCCUCUUUAGCAGUUGGCAUCUUUGCAACUUUCUCUGCCCUUGCUUUCUCUCUCUUCUCAUGUGCUUGUACAGAUGAUGGUUCCUCCUCAUUCAUCUCGACUGUGUUAUCUUCAAACUCAGGAUAUAAGGGUAGAUGCUCCUUAUCCAAAAGAUAUGUGCUUGUGCCCAUCUUUGAGUUGAUGAGCUCCUGAAUGUGUGGAGCAUACCCACAACUUCUCUUCUGAUCAGCUGCUGUUCUCUUGAUUGUUUCCACAAUCAGACUCAUGACUUUGAAUUUUUUAGGUAUAUCAAACAAAUGCAGCAAGUUGAUAGCAUAACCUCUGAUCAUCUUGUGAUCUCUAGACUUGGGUGGCAAUGUGUGCCUGAGGAUCCAAUUGAUUGUAGGCAGACCAGACAACAAGAAGUGUACAGAUCCAAGCUUGUGGGUUUCCAAAGCUUUAUCUGGGAUCUCUCUAUACAUGUGUGCCAUAGAGUUGUGGUGUUUCUUCUUCUCAGCAUAUACAUCCAAGUCAUCUCCAGAUUCUUUUGGAGAAUUGAUCAACUCAGCCCAUUCUUCAACUGUGGAUUGGUACCUAGUACCUUCAAACAUCCAUAUGAUCUUCCCAUCUGGGUAGAAGUGAGCUGCGGAGUAAAACUGCAUGAUGAGCUCAUCAUUCCACUUGGUGAGCUUCUGGGCAACAAAGUCAUCAACUCCACAUGAUUUGAAGCUGUCAUAUACUCUUGGAUAGUGAGUUUCAUUCUUCUUGAUGUAGUCCCAGUUGAUCCAUCUCAUGUCACAUACAAUGGGCUUCUUGUCAAGCAAAAUGGUUUCAUAAAAAUCUUGUUGCUCCUUUGUGUGAAAUCUGUAGUCAACUGCUGUCCUUCUCCUCAUAGCAUAUGGAUCUUACUGUCUCCACAAUCUCAGUCCAACAUCCUUUCUGAUGUGCAUGUCUUCAGCUACUGGAUGAGCAUCAUUGUGGUCAGGAAUCUUGGGCUUCAACUUUCUCAAAACAAGAGAAUCAUCUUCUUCUUCGGCAGCUUCAGGCACUGGGGGCUUGUUCUUCUCUGAUGCAGGUAUACUUCUGGUAAUCCUCUUGGGUUUUGGCUUUGGAGCUGGAGCAGUAGCCUUGGCAGCAGCUUUGGGCUUAGAUGGAGCAGCCCCUGACUUGAUUGCAUAUCCCAUGAGCUUCUGAGCUUUGGGUGCUGGUGCGGCAUCCUCUUCCUCUUCUUCUUCCUCAUCGGAAUCUCUCCUCAUGGAGGGCUUGCCAAGGACUUUGGCAGUAGUGGUUCUUACCCUCUUCUUCUUCUUGUCUUGGCCAGCAGCUUCUUCAUCAGACUCAAUGGUGAACUUCAUGGUUUCACCAGUGGCAACCUUCCUAGGUUUAGAUGUGGGCACUCUCCUUGCAGGUGCCUUCUUGUUCAUGCCUGGCUUGGUGGUAGCAGCUGUACCAUACUCCUUUUUCAGCACCUUCUUCUUUGAAGUGGCUUCAUUCUCAAUAGCAAUGUAGUCCUUAUCUUCAGAAUCUGAGGUUUUCUUCUUCCUUGUUCUGGUGGCUGCUUUUGGCAAAUUGCUGGGUGUGCUCCUGCUACCCUCAUCAUAACUGCUUGAGGUACUAGUUCCCUCACUCAUCUGAGCUUGCUCCUCUGACUUGUUCUGGCUCUCACUUUGAUCAGACAUUUUCAGGCAAACUCACUAACAGCAGACCCUGUGAAUAGAUGUAGAUGAGGUAGAGUAGAUGAGCAUCACAAAGUACAGAGGUUUUUGCAAAAUAAUUGAGUCAAAAACUUAGUUUUAGUUUUCCCAGAAAGCAUUUCGGAGCUACCGAUUUAUAAACUCAGUGAUGCCGAAGCAGCUUUUGGAAACUAAACUAGUGAACUCGUUCAGACCGAGUCACAGUUCGGUGGCACCGAGAUUGCUAGGGUUUCACAAAGAAUCGAUCUCGGUCACACCGAUUUGCAAAUCUCGGUCAGACCGAAAAUUACAUGUGCAAUGGCCUAAGCCAAAUCGGUGAGACCGAUUUCUACAAGAGAUGAGUUUGGCAGAAACCUAACCCUAAAUUUUCAAAUCAAAACUAAUCUAUGGAAUGCUUUCGCUGGAUAGAAUGAUUUCAAACAUGGCAGGAAUAAUGGCAAAGCAAUGUGCUAGGAAUUGGAGUUAAAGAACAGCACAAAUUUUCAAGUUCAUACCCUAAUGCGGUGAUGAACUUGCUACAGCGGCAACGGUGGGGCAGAAUGCCGUUGACGGUGGAGGAGACUAGCGACGAGAGGUCGCUGGCGGCGAAGAGGACGAUCCGGAGACCCGAAGAGGCAGAGCAGGCUAUGCGCGGGCGAAGGGUUUCGAAUUUUUUUCCAAAAUUUGACCCGUGAGUAUAUAUAGCCUGACCCUGUCGGUGUGACCGAGUGUAACAACUCGGUGGCAUCGAGAUGCAAAACUGCAAGCAGUUACUGCAACUCGGUGUGACCAAAAAGUUCUAAUCGGUUGCACCGAGGUUGAAAACCUAGAUCAACUUAGUGAUCUCGGUAUGACCGAAAAGGGUGAAUCACUCAGACCGAAAUGCAUAAAGGGUUUUGGAAGUUUAAGUCUAUGAUGAAUUGGGGACUCCGAGUGCUCCUCACACAGAGUGGUUCGAAUCUGACUUGAUCAAACUUUGUGAUGUAGCAUGAAUAGAGUUUGAGACAAGAAAAGUAUAGAUAGCUAGAGUAGGUUCUUAGGCAUUCUUUUCCAUCCACUUGGCAAAAGAAAAUAAACCAAACAAUCAAAACAACAAGUGGAUGUCCUCAAAUGAGUAAAAUAUGCAACCAACAUGCUCACACAAUAAAAUGGCAAAUGAAAUAUGUGGCAAAGCAUGCACAACCAAUUCUAGCAUCUAUCAAGCAAUUGGCGAUGACUAGGUCAUCUAUAUAUGAGUAUAUUGACUUAGGAGUCAAAUGAGAACAUUUGAUCAUAGGUCAUACUCAUCAUUUAAGCACAAGUGGGGUUACCACUUUUACAUAAAUCAUUGUUGUGUUCACACCAUUAGAGUUGCUUCAACUCAAUUCUUAGAGUAAAGCUCCCCCUAGAUGUGAGAUCCCCCCUAAGAGGGAUGAACUAACCUUGGGUUUUGUCGAUGAUGACUUCAUGUAGGUGUUGAAGAUGUGGAUGCUCAAUGUUGAUGUAGAUCAUUUGGAGCAAUCCAUUGGAGUGAGUUGCACUUUCAAUACCUACACGAGUUAGUCCCACAAGGAACAAACAAGGAUAUCCAUAGACAUAGAGUGAUGCACACACAAGAUGAUGUCCAUGAAAGCAUUAGGUUACCUUGUCCCUUGACUUACCUAUAAGAGGGUUUGUGACUCCUUGAACUAGUGCAAGAUGUGGAGGUUGAUUGCACUUGUCCUUGCCAAAAUGAUAAGAGCGAAGUAUGUUGGCGGAGUCACCCUCAAGAACUCUCUAGUUCUUCUUCUUUGGUAUCCACAUCAUCUUGAUGGGAAUCCUUGGAGUUGUAGUUGUACUCGAUGAAGUAGAUCUUGAUGUAGUCUUGGGAACCCACUUGACCAAGGCCUUAGGAGCUUCUUCAAAUGCAUUAAUCUCCUCUUGAAGCUUGUCCUUGCAUUUUUGCUUGUGGUCUUGCGGUGGAAGAUCAUCUUGAGCUUGUGUUCCCUUGAAAGAAGUAGGAUCAUACUUCUCUUGUUGAGGAACAAACUCCGUCUUGGGGUAUUGAUCUUCUUCCCACUCAACUCCAUUGGCAUUGAACUUUCGUUCAAAACCAACACCUUGAUUCUUCCGGUGCCUUCCUUGCUUGCAUGCAAUUUCCUCGAAUUGCUUACUUCCGGCAAGGCUCUUGUAAACACCUUUCUCUACAAUUCCCUUCAAUAAGCUAUUUUCUUGCUCAAGUGUAACUUGGCUAAGAGAAUCAUUAGAGGAAUCAAGAGAACUACUAAAAGCAACAACAUUGGGUUUAGCAUGAUUAUUGUUACUACUAGAAGAAGAAUCUUUCUUGUUCUUGUUACUAGACUUGACUUGUGGCAUGUAAGUAGAUAAGAGUAAAUGCUUGGCAAUGUAAGAAGAACUUUUCUUGUGAACAUCAUCAUUGCUUGCCUUUAAAAACUCAUGCUCUUGCUCAAGGUUGAGCUUUUCAAAGCAAAACUUCUCAUGAGUCUUUAAAAGUUCUCGAUGAUCUUCCAAGAUAGUUUCAUGAGCUAACUUAAGAGUGUUUAGUUCUUUAGUUAGGAGCUCAAUCUUCUCCUUAUCAUUGCCAUUCGUUUUGUCUUGAUUAGCAUGAUUAUUUGACAUUUCAUCAUAGUAUUCAUCAUUAGAGUUGUCAACAAGUAAAUCAUCAUCACCUAACAAGUCAUCUUCAUCACUAUUGAAAUUAACAUACUCGGGGUGUGAUACCUUUGGGCCUUUAGCCAUGAAGCAUCUUCCAAUUCCUUCAUUUGGUGAGUCAAAUAUGUCGUAGGAGUUGGUUGACACAAGAGCUAGACCGGCAACACCUUCAUCUUGAGUAUAUUCGGAGUCAGAGUGAUAGCUUCUCUCGGAGUGAUUGUCGGAGUCGGAGCCGGAUACCCAUUCACCAACAUGAGCUUGAUGUCUUCGUUUUGUGUAGCUCCUUGAUGACUUGUCCUUCCUUUCCGAAUCCUUGCUUCUCCGGGAUAUUCUUCGUUCAUAAUGAUCAUCUCUACUCCUUCUUUCUCUUGAUGGUGAUUCCUCUCUUCUACUCCUUCUUUUUGGAGAAUCUUCUCUUCUUUUGUAGGGAGUCGUACACUCAUUGGAAUAGUGUCCGGGUCUUCCACAAUUGUAGCAAUUACGCUCAUGACUAGAAGAUCUUUUGUCAUUGUAGGACCUUGACUUGGAACCUCUUUCCUUGCUUCUACUCUUGUAGAACUUGUUGAAGUUCUUCACCAUUAGGCUCAAUUCUUCAUUGAAGGUUUGUUUCUCACUUGAUGAUGUGGGAGCUUCACAUGAGGCUUUGUAAGCACCACUUGACUUGUUGUGGAGCUCUUCCUUAUCCUUGAGUGACAUCUCAUGAGCAAAAAUUCUUCCAAUGACUUCUGUUGGCUUGAGAUCUUUGUAAUUGGGCAUCAUUUGGAUCAAUGUGCACACGAUAUCAUAUUUUCCAUCCAAGGCUCUUAGGAUCUUCUUGAUGAUGAAUUCGUCGGUCAUCUCUUCACUUUCUAAGCCGGCAAUCUCAUUUGUGAUGAGAGCAAGCCUAGAGUACAUUUCAGCGACUCCUUCACCAUCCUUCAUUUUGAACUUGUCAAGUUGACUUUGAAGCACAUCCAACUUCGAUUCCUUGAUGGAGUCGGUACCUUCGUGCAUGUCAAUCAAAGUAUCCCAAAUUUCCUUUGCAUUCUCAAGACGGCUGAUUUUGUUGAAUUCUUAAGGGCACAAUCCGUUGAAGAGGAUAUCACAAGCUUGGGCAUUGUAUUGCAGCAUCUUCAACUCUUCCGCGGUAGCUUCAUGGUUCGGUUCUCUCCCAUCAAAGAAUUCACCUGGUAAGCCAAUACACACAAUAGCCCAAACGGCGGGGUUAUGUCCAAGAAUAUGCAUUUUCAUCUUAUCACUACAAAAAAAAUACACUUCCGUGAUGAUACGUGUUUGUCACAGUAGGUCGCAUUUAUUGUCAUGCAUGUACAUCCAUGAUGAUUUUAUGACAGAAUCAAGAUAGUCAUACCUAUGCUGUCGUAGAAGUGUUCCAUGACAUUACCAAAAUUGUCAUCACGGAAGUGUCCACUUCCGUGACGAUAAAUCGCAUGUCACAGAAGUGCUUUCAUCAAGGGUGACCGACACGUGGCAUCCACCGUAACGGAACGUUGUUAAGCUAUUGGGUCGGGUUUUGGAUCCGAUAACCCGUUAAUAGCCCGGACCAAUGGGGAUUUUCCACGUGUAAAAUCAUCAUUGGCCGCAGGAAACACGUGUAGCCUCAUCGUUGGGACAAAUGUCAUCCACUCAUUGGACAGGAGGCGCCUAUGAUAGGUCGACACGUGGCACGGCCCAACAGUGGCCCAUUCUGGUGAAAAAGACCAGCCCAGUAAAAAUUAGCAGGCCGACCCAUAUAAGGCCUACUUGUGUCAGGUCCAUUUAAGCCCAGGGCCCAUACGAGAUGUGCCAAUUUGGCCUGUCAACGGCCCGUUAAAGAUUUGACACCAUUGCAGCCCAUCGUCAGUUCGAGCCCGUUAACAGCCCGCUAUAUAUUUGGGCUCAAUAUCGGCCCGAUGAGAUUUCGGCAUGUUAACGGCCCAUUCAAUGGAUGGGCCAAUUUUCAGGAUGUACCUCUUUCGGCCUUUUAGCGACCCAUUUAAAUGUUGGGCUAAUUUCUGGCCCAGUAUGUCUUUCAGCAUGUUGAUGACCCAUAAAACUGAUGGGCCAUUUGUAGUCGGAUCUGAGUUUCGGCCUUUUAGCGGCCCAUUUAAGUGUUGGGCCAAUUUGCGGCCCAGUGUCACUUUCAGCCUGUUGACGGCCCAUAAAUCAGUUGGGCCAUUUGUAGUCGGACCUGAGUUUGGGCCUUUUAGCGACCCAUUUCAGUGUUGGGCCAAUUCCCGACCCUGUGUCCCUUUCGGCCUGUUAACGGACCAUAAAUGACUUGGGCCAUUUGUAGUCGGACCUUAGUUUUGGCCUUUUAACGGCCCAUGCCCUUCAUGGUCCAAUACCAGCCUGGUUUUUCUUUCGGUCUGCUAAAGGCCCACAACAUAGUUGGGCCAUUUACAAUACGACCUGACUUUUGGCCUCUUAGCGGCCCAUGCUCUUCAUGGUCCAGUACAAGCCCGUUGUCUCUUUCGGCCUGCUAAAGGCCUACAGUAUAGUUGGGCCAUAUGUAGCCCAAAAUUAGUAACGUCCUGUUAACGGCCCGUGAAAUAAAUUGGGCCCACCUGUUGCCCGCUUCGAUGUCGGCCUGUUAACGACACGGGAGGUAAGAGGACCGACCAUUAAUUUUCGGCCUAGAAACGGCCCGUUAACUUAAUGGGACCACUAAAGUUCGUACAUGUCUUUAGGCCAAAUUAGAUAAUUUAAGCCCAUUACGACGAGUAAUUAUGCACAGGACCAAAACCGAUCAAGCAAAGGUACGACAUACAGGUAAUAACAUUGCACAUCCAGCAUAUAUUACAGGAAAUUACAUCCACUGGGAAAUCAAAGAUUGAUGCCAGUGCAAAUAAAUGAGCAGAACCUAACCAUCUACAACGUCACAAUCUGGAACCUCAGCACAGAUGACGCCCAUAAGCAUGUGGUCAAGUUCUUGCUGCUUUGCUACACUGUCUCUGAAAAUAUUGAUCAGUUGUUGUGUCGCACGACUUUGCACCUCUGAUUCAUCCACCAUUUCCAUCAUUGCUUCAGUCAUUAAUUGGUUCACAAACAUACAUUUAUUCCGUUGCAUUCGAGAUAGAGGGUACUAAACAGAUUCAGAUGGCGAUUUUGGCAGGCUUGUAUUAUUGAUAGUGGAGAGUGUCUCGACCACUGCAUCAUAACAUAAAUUAGGACGGGAACCAAACAGAUUAAUCAUGAGUUAUUGCCAUAUUACCUGGCCUAGAUUUACUGGAAAGAAACAAUGGGGUUGCUUUGCUAUUUUCAGAGUUUGUCUUCUUAUCUUCAGCAGCCUGCACAAAACUAACACACUAGCAUUGCUAUCAUUGGCCAAGUCAGAUAAUAAGAAAGCAACAUUAACACAACGAACGUGUGGGCAACUAGCCUACACCAAAUUAACACAAUAUGGCACAGCUAUCAUCAGCCAGGUAAGGUAAUACGAAAGCAACAUUGACACAAUGAAUGAAUGGGCAACCAGAGAAGCACUACAAUUCAGUAAUGUGCGUGAUAUGAGAUAGUACACUCAUGCAGCUUAGUAUGCAAAACUACGAGGCAGUUUUCCUUACAAAAAUCAACAUUGGCACCUUUAACGUUUUGCUACAACUAAUUUUAGAUCAGAUAAAGGUUAGAUCCACGCUGAUUAACAAAACACAUGUUGAUGUAAAAAUAUAGUGAUAUACAACAGGUACUUACAUCAGCAUUGGAGCACAGAGAAUUCCCGCAAGAUAUUUUCCUCGAGUACGAUCCCAAUGUAGGAAGUCUUCUAUUGUUUAACCUUAUUUUGUAAAAGAGAGAUGGGUAAGAAACAUGUAGAAAAUAUGAUCAGAAUGUUAUAAAAUUUCAUGAUGCGACGAUACGCACACGCUUCUUAGAAUGGAGUUGACAUUCUUUUGCUGGACUGGAGCGGACUAGUUCUUUGGCCACUGGAAUCUGCUUAUUAUCAAUGGGAGUUGGGUUUAUCUGUGCUGGAGCAGUAUCUAUGAAAAAGGGAGUUGGUUUAUUAUCUCCUGGCGUUUGGAUCGUUUGCAAAGACCUGGUUUGUAACCCUUCAGAUUCUAACAUAGCCGUCUCCCCCUUGCAUGCCUUAUAUAGAAGAAUGGUGAUUCAGUUAUAAAAUAUGCUACAGUAGAGAUGGAAUAGGUACUGAAGAAUAGAAAGGCAUGACAUAUUGACAUGUAUUCCCUCCAUCCGGAAAUAAAUGGAUGGGCCUAGGCGUAUUUCAGUUCUAGAUACAUCCAGUUUUAUCCAUUUCUACGACAUGUAAUCCGGACGAAGGGAGUAUGAUGUAAGAGCUAGGGAUACGACAGGACAACACAGUAAAAAAACACUAAAAACCCACUGCAGAUCCAAAGUAUUCAAACCCACUGAUAUGAGAUAGUACACUCAUGCAGCUUAGGAUGCAAAACUACCAGGCACUUUUGCUUACAAAAAUCAACAUUGUGGCCUUUAAUCAUACAUUUUGCUACAACUAAAUUUGGAUCAGAUAAAGGUUGGAUCCACGCUAAUUAACAAAAUACAUGCUGAUGUAAAAAUAUAGUGAUAUACAACAGGUACUUACAUCUGCAUUGGAGCAUAGAGAAUUCCUGCAAGAAUCUUUCCUCAUAUACGAUACCAUUGCAGAAAUUCUUCUAUCUGUUAAGCUUAAUUUCUAAAAGAGAGAUGGGUAAGAAACAUGUAGAAAAUAUGAUCAGCAUGCUAUAAAAUUUCAUGAUGCAAGGAUAUGCACAUGCUUCUUAGAAUGGAGUUGACAUAUUUUUGCUGGACUGGAGCGGACUAGUUCUUUGGCCACUAGAAUCUGCUUAUUAUCAGUAGGAGUUGGGUUUCUCUGUGCUGGAGCAGUAUCUAUAAAAACUGGAGUUGGUUUAUUAUCUCCUGGCGUUUGGAUCUUUCACAAAGGCCUUAUUUGUAACCCUUCAGAUUCUAACAUAGUCGUCUUCCCCUUGCAUGCCUUGUAUAGAAGAAUGGUGAUUUAAUUAUAAAACAUGCUACAGGAGAGAGAUGGAAUAGGUACUAAAGAAUAGAAAGGCAUGACAUAUUGACAUGUAUUCCCUCCAUCCGGAAAAAAUGGAUGGGUCUAGGCGUAUUUCAGUUCUAGAUACAUCCUUUUUUAUCCAUUUCGGCAACAUGUAAUCCGGACGGAGGAGUAUGGUGUAAGAGCUAGGGAUACAACAGGACAACACAGCAAAAAACACUAGUUGAAUGUAAAACUGUAUGCUAGCGGAAUACAUACAGAAAUAACUAAGGCAACAUACACGUGUAUGAUUGGGAAACUAAGAUGGCAUUGCAACAGAGCACUAGAACAACACUUCAAUGUAAAAAAACAUGGUAUGGUAGACAGAUGAAGUACAUACUGAUGAAUAACAAUGCAUAAGAUAUUCAGAAGCAUGAUGUCCGAAUUAAGCAGAUGGCAUUGUGAUAGAGUAGAAUGACAGUACUUGAAUUUGAAAACAUGUUAUCAUGAAUGGAAUAGGUACUGAAAAACAGGAAGACAUGACAUAUUUACAUGCAUGAUCAGCAUGCUAAGCACAUGGCAUUGCAACAGAGUAGAUACACUCCAAGACAUUAUAUGCAUGUUGUACCCAUAUCACAGGCCAAGUUAGAGCAAGGACCUUGUGGGGUGAAGAGGAUUCAUCAUCUUUCUGCAAGUCUUUUGAAGAACUGCCUUUACAUGUUCCAUCAUAUUGGGUAUCAUUGAUAUCAAGUUUAUUGGCCUUUACAUUGCUCCGUGAGGUUCUUGUGGAUAUAUCAGUGUGUGCAAUUAUAUCUGACAUGCAUGGAAGACAACUAGUUGUUAGAUUUAUGUAAAGAGUGCCUGUAGAAGACGACAUAAAUAGUAGGACUGGGGUUAACUAGUAGCAACAGGUCUCAUAAACUAAAGGUAGAACACAGAUGAAAGCUACAGAAUAUGUAUUGUUUGUACUCGAGAUUAACUAGAUGGCACACAAAAGUAUUAAAGAACAACAUAGGUAAUACUAGAAGUGGUAUAAUACUAUAAUCACCAGCCUGUGGGAUAGCAUUAGCUGAUGGAUGAUAACUAUGGAACAACGUUACCAAAAGAACAAGUAUCUUAGUUGAACUAUGGAACAACGUUAACUCCUGAACAAGACCCGUAAGAGAUCAUCAUGAAUGUACAGUGAAAUGUGAUGAUCUAUUUUCCAUGCUUAGAUGAAUAACAAAGCCAUAAAUGUUGCACAUAAGUAAGAUGAGGGUAAAACCUAUGUGGCUACCAUCCAUAGGAGUGAGCAUCAUGUGCUGACUUGUCGUUGGCCUUGCAGUUGUUGUGGCUGUCCAUGUCGGCCACGCGCAUUUGAUGUAGGGAACUGUCGAGUGGGGACUAUAGCUCCCUUCUGGUGUAUGCUUCCCUUGUUGGAGCAGCUGCGGUGAGUCGGAAGACGAUGUGUCUGAAGAUGCAGAUAACACAUAAUGUUAAGAACGACAUAUCUCUUUGAUCUGAAGAAAUACACUAAUAGAUCAACAACAAGGUACGAGAGUGGUCACACGUCUGUUGACUGAAGACUAAAUUGGGGUCACACGAUUUUAUUUUAUUUUGGUAUUGUCCGAUCUACGCCGGAUGGAUUGAUGGCCGUCUUGUGCCUCCCAGCUGACACUGUUCGGAAUCUUCCCCGAAGAGCCAGUGACCAACGGCAGAGCAGUCUGCCUCCGCCGUCCGUGGCCCAGGCCAAAACCCCGCUCCCCGCCCUACCGCACUGCCGUGGUUGCGCCGCCCCCGGGCCAAUCCACAAAGACUCCCCGUCAUACAGAUCCGGCGGCGGCAGUACCUUCAACCCAUGCAACUCUAAAAUAUAGCCAUCUAAGCGCUGCUUCUGCAGUGAACUUGCGGCCCUGCACCCUUAUGUUAGACACUAGCCAACCGACAGCCUAGGAGCUCCGCUGCCUCGAGGGGUGCUGCUUCCCAUUGGGAAUCGAUUGGCCCAGAAAAAAACUCAGACAACUGACGCCUAAAUAAAGUGAUUUGAGAUGAGGGUGCGACCUAUCUGGCAGCAUGGUGAAGUAGGCAGGUCCAGCUGCCGAGUCGGUGAGGCUGGCGCGGUUGCGGUGGCGACCGGCGGCAGGGAAACAUCGAUGUCGUGAUGGUCGACGGCUACGGGGAAGCAGCGCCGGGACUCUAGACGGAUCUAAUGUUGGAGCCGCUCCGGCGCCAUGAACAACGGCGGGGGUGAACCCGCUCCGGUACAGUUCACGCGGCCGUCGUCGAGGCAGCUCCAGCAGCACGGAGUAAGAGGGACACGGCCCAAUGCACGACGGCAAAUGGACAACGUCUCUGGCAUUGGGGAGGAGGGCGGCUGUGAAAUUGGUGCGGUGGGGGCGCCAUGGAGGAUGGGCUGAGGUUUCGCGGCUCGGGACAAGGGAGCUUCCCGGGGAGAAGGUGAUUUGGCACCCACGAGGUAUGAAUGGGGGGGGGAUUGGGAGGGGAGUGGAACCAUGUCUUACGGACGCAUUUGUCUAAAAUGCGAGGGGGAGUUACAGUUCUACCCCUGCCUUUAGGCUUCUCGGCUUGGGUCUGUGUACCGAUGGUCAGGGAUAGUAGAGUAACUUUGCUUCUCCCCAAAUAGUGGGCGGGAGCGAUUUCGGGUGAGGAGGGCAUGUUUUGAAAUAUAGUGUGCGCGAGCGAUUUCGGACGAGGAGAGCGUGUUUUGAAAUAGUGGGCGCGAGCUAUUUCGGGCGAGGAGAGCAUGUUUUGCUGACCAUGGUUUAUGAAUUAUUCAGCACAUGUCAUUUCGGCCGAGGAGAAGGCGCGCUUGAAUGAAGUUACGAACCUACCCUCGAUGUACAACGGGCCAAUUGAUGCGUGUCCCUCAUAGGACGGUAAUUUCGCGUCUCCCAUUUAUUUGCUCGGGCGAAUUCCACCGAGCACAGGAUGUUUAACGGUUCGUUCAAAUUUUGGGAGAAUGAGCAUCCACGUCUACCUUACCAAGUUGAUUCGAAUCAAAUUUUGAAAUAUUAGCUUGCCACUUCUUUUUUAGAUGGAGAGAUGAUGCUCGGGAGUAAUGUGUUUUUACAUGCUCAUUGCUAGCGAUUUACAAUAUGACAAAUAGUUGACCCACUCAAAAACGCGAAUCAAACCCAAAAUGAAAUAUCUCGAUUCAAUGAAAUAGCUCGUUCACUAGGUCAAAAUAGUGAACUAAAUCCAAAAUUGAACACCUCAAUCGAGUAGCAUGUUGUACAAUAUUAUAGUACUCCAUGAACAUGUUGAAAUUCAAAUUAAUGAACUUGUUUGAUAUACGCAUAUAUCCGUUCGUGUGUGGAUUGCAGACAACAUGUUCUCCAAUUCAAAUAUUUGAAUGCAAGUUUAUAUCAGUCUUUGAUGCAUAAAACGCAACCUCCCCCUCUCCCGGACUCAUGUUCUCUCUCUCUCUCUCUCUCUCUCUCUCUCUCUCUCUCUCUCUCUCUCUCUCUCUCUCUCUCUCCGACAAUCUUCAAUUCUAUCGCACGCAUCUGACACAAAAACCUUGUUGGUCCCUGUCGGUGUCAAAACCGGCGGAUCUCGGGUAGGGGGUCCCGAACUGUGCGUCUAGGCGGAUGGUAAUAGGAGACAAGGGACAUGAUGUUUUUACCCAGGUUCGGGCCCUCUCGAUGGAGGUAAAACCCUACUCCUGCUUGAUUGAUAUUGAUGAUAUGGGUAGUACAAGAGUGGAUCUACCACGAGAUCAAGGAGGCUAAAUCCUAGAAGCUAGCCUAUGAUAUGAUUGUUGUUCGUCCUAUGGACUAAAACCCUCCGGUUUAUAUAGACACCGGAGAGGGAUAGGGUUACACAGAGUCGGUUACAAUGGUAGGAGAUCUACAUAUCCGUAUUUCCAAGCUUGCCUUCCACGCCAAGGAAAGUCCCAUUCGGACACGGGACGAAGUGUUCAAUCUUGUAUCUUCAUAGUCUUGGAGUCCGGCCGAUGAUGAUAGUUCGGCUAUCCGGACACCCCCUAAUCCGGGACGCCCUCAGUAGCCCCCGAACCAGGCUUCAAUGACGACGAGUCUGGCGCGUGUAUUGUCUUCGGCGUUGCAAGGCGGGUUCUCCUCCAAAUUCCAUGUGCUUGCCGAAUAGUGUCCGGCUUCCUUAUAAAUGUUGCGCUCCUUAGCUUCCACGUCCAAUAAUGGCCCUCUUCCACGUGUCAUAUGAAUGCGAAAAGCCAGGGUAUUUUUACGUUUUACCCCCUAGCUGCGCGAAUAAGCUGCCUAUAAGAGGAACAAGGAUCUAGAUCCGAAUCACACUAUCCUCCUUCCGUGAGUACUCAUCGAAGCGUCUCUGACAAAAAUCCACUCCAUCAUGGACCGUCGACGCGGCUCCUCCUCUCGCGCUCCCAGCCCUCAGCCAGGAGAUUGGAGGAGAUGUUCAGUCCCGCAUAGCGAGCUGGUGACGCUCCAAGCGGAGGGAUACCUUCCUCCGGCCUUCAUGGUCCCGGUUCGAGCCGGGCUGGCCACCUACAAAGGUGCAAAGCAGGCGGAGAACACCCGCAGUCCCUCUAAAGGAGAGCGGGUGUGCUUCGUCCCUUAUCUAAUAAGGGGGCUCGGAUUUCCCAUACAUCCGUUUCUCCGGGGGCUUCUGGAGUUCUACAGACUCCAGCUUCAUCACCUUACGCCCGCCUCCAUUCUGCACAUUGCGGGUUUCAUAGCUCUUCGCGAGCUGUUCUUGGGCAUCGAGCCCCAUUUUGCGCUGUAGAAGAGAUUGUUUUGCCUCGUACCCCGUUCUCAUGAGGGGUCGAUAUAUCAAGUGGGCGGAGCCGAAAUAUGGCGCAUCGCCGGGACCGGAUAUCUAUCCGGAACCCUGAAGAAGGCGUCCGAAGACUGGCCUUCGGAAUGGUUUUAUGUGCAAGACGCUCCAUUGCCGGACCUAGUUCGGAUCGGCCUCUCGGAGUUCAGCAACGCUCCUCUGAAGAAACGCCUGAGUUGGCGCCCGCGGAGCCCUCAACAUUAAGAUGACAGGAGCGUCCAUUAUCUGAUGGGCCGGAUAAGGUUGCUGGCUCAUUCCGGAUUGACCAUGAUUGGAGUCAUGGCCACGUGCAUUAUGCAAGGGGUGCAGCCGCUCCAAUAUAGGGGCCACCCCAUGUGGGAUUUCAACGGGGAGAAUGACGCCACCCAUCACGGCCGCAAGGGGCCGGGAUCGGCCGCCGAUCUGGUGAAGAUCCUGUCCGGCUUGUACAAGGGGGAGAAGGAGGACUUCUUCCAAACGAGUCCAUUAAAUGGAUUCUCCAUGAAUAACCCUUGGAGCUGGGUAAGCAGAUGUUUUAUCUAUCCGAUCCGUGCCUUCAAAGUUAAGUGUCUUACUUUAUGAUUUCGACGCAGGAAUUGCGCCGGGAUGUGGAGGGCAUACAUAGUCCGACUCCACAACCCGAGGAUCCGGAAAGAUCCCUUGAUCCGGCCUCCGAAGAGGAUUCGAACAUAAAGGUGGAGCUGAUUGACGGGGUGUUCCACCAACUCAGUAUGGACAAUGCUCUAGUCGCCAUUACGGCUGACUAACCCGGUUUAUCUCCGGCUACCCAGGCAACUAUGUCCAGAGUCCUGACACCAUUACUUUGUCCGUGUUUAUUUCUGACCACCGUAUACCAAUGGUGUUUCGCAGGAGGUGCCUUCAGGGCGGGAAGCCGAUCCCGCGGCGGCUGACCAACAAGGGUCAGUUCGGCCCAGCAGGCAAAAGAGGGGUGCGGUGCGAAUCGAAUCGUCGCCGCAACGGUACAGCACGCCACCGUUUUUAAGGGAAAGAUUCCUGGGAGGUAUAUUAAUGCUCAUGACUUUUCCAGGAGAAAGAGCGCUCGUCGGACUGUGCCCGGAGAGGUUGCCAACCAAGCCUCCGCCAGCCAGGCUCCAACACCUGGUCCGGAGGGGGAGGUGAGUGCAAGGCGCGAGCCGGAUGCUCCUCCAACGGAGGAUGCCGACAGGCUGUCCGCCACCAGGUCUGAGGUGGAGAGCGCCAUGAAUCAUAGGCGCCGCCAGACAGUUCUUCAUGACACGUGUUUCUCCCCAGAGGCGUUGAAUGCCUUUAAUGCGGGAGACACGCACCUCCGUGCCGCUCAAGAUGGUUUAACCAGAGCCACGGAGCAGUAUGUGAAAGACAUACGGGUAAGGAAUUUAAUAGUUAUAUAUGCCAGUAGCCCCCCGAGACUUAAAGUAGUUAGAAAAACUGAUUUAAGGAUCAUUCGAUAUGCAGGAUCUUACGGAGAAGAAUACCCAAUUGUCCCAGGAGCUUCAAGAGUGCAAGGCCCAACUUGAGGCCGCACUAGCCGCCGCAGGAGGAGACACAGAGACCCCCUCUGGUAACACAUAUUUCAAAAAGAUAAGCGGUUUAUGGCGUGCGGCGUGCGUAUAAAUCUGACAAUAAUAAUGCAGAGGGCGCCGGACUGGAUCCGGACAAGCAACAUCUGCUACGCCAGCUGAAGGCCGGUGAAAAGGUGCUUAUGAGGGUGCAGCAGGAGAGAAACAAACUCCAAGAUGCCAACACCCAGCUGGGUGAAGAACUUAAAGAUGUUCGGGUCCAGCUGUCUGACUCCGUAAAGGAGAAUCGGCGGCUUCGUCGCGGCAUCUACAGUAAGUGCUUAAGCAAACUCUUUUGAAAAGAAGAGUUCUACGAGGCAGUCGAUUGACAGAAAUGUGUCUGUAAGUGUGCUCACAGGUCGCCCUGCGGAGGAGAUGCCCGGUUCAACGGGUGACCAACUUCCCGAGCUGUUGCAACUGCACGAACGUGUUCGGCAAGCGAUGAGUGGCGUCGCCCAGGCCUUAUGGCCGUCCGUCUCCCUACCUGAGGGUCUUGGAGAGCUUGCGGAGAAGCUUCAGGGAGCACGGCAGCGCUUCCGUCUAUGGAAGAUAUCGGCCUGCCGUCAAGGCGCCAGGGAGGCCUGGGCCAUGGUGAAGACGCAGUACACGAAGGCGGAUCCAAACCACAUGGCCGAGGUCGGACCUGUGGGGCCCGAUGGGAAGGAGAUCCCUGUGAGCUUAAUGUACGGCCAAGUAGAGUUGGCCGCUAAAUAUUCCCAACGGGACUAUAAAUUAGACAGCCUGUUAGACGGGAUUGAAGAAGAGUACAAUCAGUCAAUUUGACAAUGUAUUUUCAAAUGACAUGUAAAAUGCCUUCUAGCCGAAUUGUAGAUCGUUUGUCUUUGCGGACCUUUUUGCUUCAACCUCAGGACCCUAGAGUCCGGAGUGUGUCCGAAUACCCUCUCGGUUAUAAAAAAACCGGGGCAUGCAUAAAGACCAGGCGUAGGGGUCAUUAGUGCUUUAUCAGACAAGUGCCCAACUAGUUAUGUUAUAUUACAUGGUUAGUAAGAAACAUCUUCCAGGGAGAAUAGUUCCGUUAGGGGUUCCUUUCCCUGGGAGGCAUGCCCUAAAGUGCAUGUUCGGACUGCGAAAAGAGCAGAAAAGCAUCUGGGGGCAGACGAAUAGAUAGGUAAAAAAUCAUCUUUCAAGUCAACGACCGAAUAUUCCCUUAAGAACGCUAGCUUUCGGCUUCACCCAGUCUGAGGUACACAUCCGGCUGACCCGGCAGUAACAAUCGCAGAGGUGCUCCCUUUACCUCCUAGCCGAACAAUCGGGAACGUAGGGGUAAGCACAGGAGCCAGGCAACCCAGCUUGGCCAAAACUUAAGUCAUAUCGAUGCAUAUAAUGGUGAAUAAAAGGUACAUGCGGAAGUUUAACACAUGUGUUGGGCAUAAAGCCCGUAUAAAUAAGCUUUUGUUAAAGAAGCCCCCAGGUAUAAUGAGUGCGAGUAGCACGUCAAGUGUGUGCGAACAAUGCGCAGAUCAGCCCUCAAAUGCUCUAUUAAAAAGGGAGGAGAAAAGGGAGAAACAAAAGACAACUGAAGUAUAAAAUGUGGACGGAGGAAGGAGACGAACUCUGAGUCCAGCGUUAGGCGUAGAAUCUUUGGAGGUGGGUUGCGUUCCAUGGUUUCGGCUUGAGUCGGUUGUCCGAUGCGUUUCGCAGACGGUAUGCUCCGCCGGUCAGGACUUGGUCGAUGAUGAAGGGACCUUCCCAUUUGGGCUUGAGUUUGUCCUUUUUCUUGUCUGGCAGGCGUAGAACUAGUUCGCCAACAUUGUAAGUUUUGGCCCGUACUUCUCUGCUUUGAUAUCUUCGAGCCUGCUGCUGAUAGAAUGCGGAACGAGCCUUUGCCACAUCGCGCUCCUCCUGCAAUGCGUCCAAACUGUCCUGCCGAUCCAACUCGGCUUCUGUUUCUUCGUACAUGCGCACUCGAGGUGAGUCAUGAAUUAUAUCACAGGGCAAAACUGCCUCUGCACCGUAUACCAUAAAGAAUGGCGUGAAUCCGGUAGUACGAUUUGGCGUGGUCCGCAGCCCCUAGAGUACGGAGUCGAGCUCCUCUACCCAAUGCGUGUUAGAUUCCGUGAGGGACCGCACUAACCUGGGUUUGAUGCCGCUCAUGAUUAGACCAUUUGCUCGUUCGACCUGACCGUUAGUUUGAGGGUGAUAGACUGAAGCGUAGUCGAGCUUGAUGCCCAUAUUUUUGCACCAGAGUUUAACCUCGUCGGUCGUGAAGUUCGCGCCGUUAUCGGUGAUGAUGCUGUGGGGGACGCCAUAACGGUGUACUACCCCGGAUAUGAAGUCUAUCACAGGUCCGGAUUCGGCCGUUUUAACUGGCUUGGCCUCUAUCCAUUUGGUGAAUUUGUCCACCAUGACCAAUAGGUACUUUUGCUUGUGGGUUCCCCCCUUAAGGGGUCCAACCAUGUCAAGCCCCCAAACCGCGAACGGCCAGGUGAUGGGUAUAGUUUUGAGGGCGGUGGGUGGCAUGUGGCUCUCAUUAGCAAAGAGCUGGCAACCGACGCAUCGUUGGACUAAGUCCUGAGCAUCUGCCCGGGCCGUCGGCCAAUAAAAUCCUGUACGGAAGGCCUUUCCUACAAGGGCCCGGGCUGCGGUGUGGUGCCCGCCGAGUCCGGUGUGAAUUUCAGCCAGAAGAUUUUUCCCUUCCUCUUCGGAGAUGCACCUUUGAAAUACUCCGGUUGUGCUUUUCUUAUAAAGCUCUCCCUCAUGGACCUUGUAGGUAUUAGAUCGCCGUACUAUGCAGCGAGCCUCAUUUUGGUCUUCGGGGAGUUCCUGCCUGAUUAGGUAGGCUAGGAAUGGUUCCGUCCACGGGGCGAUGACUGCCAUUAUUUCGUAGGCUGAAGGUGUUAUUUCAUUGGCUGAGCCACCGAUUGUGUCAGAAUGUUCGUUGUUGGGCGGUGUGGUUGGUUCCGGAUUGUUGUUUCCGGACUCCUCUUCCCAUACUACGGAUGGCUUAAAGAGCCGCUCUAGGAAGAUGUUUGGAGGGACGGUGUCGCGUUUUGCGCCGAUGCGUGCCAACACGUCGGCUGCCUGGUUAUUAUCCCGGGCUACAUGGUGGAAUUCGAGUCCUUCGAACCGAGCUGACAUUUUUAAGACGGCGUUACGAUAGGCUGCCAUUUUCGGAUCCUUGGCGUCAAAGUCUCCAUUUACUUGGGAUAUUGCGAGGUUUGAAUCCCCGCGCACCUCUAGGCGUUGAAUACCCAUGGAGAUUGCCAUCCGGAGACCAUGUAGAAGGGCCUUGUAUUCGGCUGCAUUGUUGGAGUCCGUGUACAUUAUCUAAAGUACAUAUUGGACUGUAUCUCCGGUUGGGGACGUCAAUAUGAUGCCAGCCCCCAAGCCGGCCAACAUUUUGGAGCCGUCAAAAUGCAUGAUCCAAUUGGAGUAUGCGCCGUACUCUUUAGGGAGUUCGGCUUCGGUCCAUUCGGCGAUGAAGUCAGCCAAAACUUGCGACUUUAUAGCUCACCGUGGUUUGUAGGUUAUAUCAAAUGGUAAGAGCUCAAUGGCCCAUUUUGCAAUCCUGCCCGUCGCGUCGCGGUUGUUUAUAAUGUCGUUGAGAGGUACUUCGGAGGCUACUGUUAUCGAACACUCUUGAAAGUAGUGUCGCAGCUUCCGGGAUGCCAUGAACACUGCGUACGCUAUCUUUUGAUAAUGUGGGUACCAAGACUUGCAUGGAGUUAAGACAGUGGAUACAUAGUACACUGGUUUUUGAAGAGGGAAUUUGUGCCCUUCUGUUUCUCGUUUGACGACGAGCACCGCGCUUACAACUUGAUGUGUUGCCGCGAUAUAUUACAACAUUGGUUCGCCCAAGUUGGGCGUGGCCAGGACCGGAUUUGUUGCCAAUAUGGCUUUUAUUUCUUCGAGUGCGGCCGUGGCAGCAUCCGUCCUUUCGAAGUGUUUGGUGUGCCUGAGGAGGCGGUAGAGGAGCAAUGCCUUUUCUCCCAAACGGGAGUGAAGCGGCUUAGAGCCGCCACGCAUCCAGUCAAUUUUGUAUUUGUUUGAGGUCUUUUGGGAUAUCCAACUGUGACAGAGCUCGGAUCUUGGCUGGGUUUGCUUCAAUUCCUCUACCGGAUACAAUGAAGCCCAAGAGCUUUCCGGCUGGUAUGCCGAAAACGCUUUUUCCGGGUUGAUCUUAAUGUCAUAUGCUCGGAGGUUGUCGAAUGUGAGCCUCAAGUCGUCUACUAGAGUUUCGACGUGUUUGGUCUUGAUGACCACAUCGUCUACGUAUGCCUCCACUGUUUUGCCGAUCUGGGUAGCCAGACAUGUCUGAAUCAUGCGCUGAUAUGUUGCGCCGGCGUUUUUGAGUCCGAAGGGCAUUGUGUUGAAGCAGAACGGUCCGUAUGGAGUAAUGAAUGCCGUUGCGGCUUGGUCAAUCUCCGCCAUCUUGAUUUGAUGGUAGCCGGAGUAUGCGUCGAGGAAGCACAAUGAAUCGUGCCCUGCGGUAGCAUCGAUGAUUUGAUCGAUGCGGGGAAGGGGGAAAUGAUCCUUUGGACAAGCCUUGUUAAGGUCUUUAAAAUCGACACACAGGCGCCAGGAUUUGUCCUUUUUUGGUACCAUUACCAGGUUUGCUAGCCAGUCCGGAUGUUUGAUGUCUCUGAUAAAUCCAGCUUCUAAUAGUUUGGCUAGCUCCUCUCCCAUUGCCUGUCUUUUGGGUUCGGAAAAUCACCGAAGAGCCUGUUUGACUGGCUUGAAUCCUUUUACGAUGUUUAGGCUGUGUUCUGCCAAUCUGCGUGGGAUUCCUGGCAUAUCUGAAGGGUGCCAGGCAAAGAUGUCCCAAUUUUCCUGAAGGAAUUCUCGUAGUGCAGCGUCUACAUCAGGGUUUAAUUAUGCCCCAAUGGAGGCCAUCUUUGUGGGGUCCGUUGGAUGGACCUGGAAUUUGACUAUUUCGUCUGCUGGUUUAAAGGAGGUGGACUUGGAUCUCUUAGCGAGUAUCACAUCGUCCCUGUUCACCGUGGAGCGCAGCGCAGUGAGUUCCCCUGCCGCUAGGGCUUCGGAUAGUGCCUCUAGGGCUAGUGCGGCUGUCUUGUUUUCGGUGCGGAGUGCUAUGUCCGGGUCACUCACAAGAGUGAUGAUUCCAUUGGGCCCGGGCAUUUUAAGCUUCAUGUACCCGUAAUGGGGUAUGGCUUGGAAAAUUGUGAAUGCCUCUCGUCCUAAUAAAGCGUGAUAUCCGCUGCUGAAUGGGGCCACUUGGAACGUGACCUCCUUGGACCUGUAAUUGUCCGACGAGCCGAACACCACAUCAAGUGUAAUUUUUCCUGUGGAGCGUGCUUCCCGACUAGGGAUUAUUCCUCUAAAGGUUGUGCUGCUUCGUUCAAUGCGGCUCCAGUCUAUUUCCAUUUUUCGAAGGGUUUCCUCGUAGAUGAGGUUUAAACCGCUACCGCCAUCCAUGAGUACCUUGGUAAGACGAAAGCCGUCCACUAUUGGACUGAGGACCAAUGCGGCUGGUGCUCGGGCUAUCCAAAAUUUAGGUUCGUCGCUGGCGUUGAAGGUGAUAGCCGUGUCGCUCCAUGGAUUUGUUGUUGCUACUUGGUAGACUUCGGCGAGGCUGCGAAUUGUUCGUUUCCGCAUGUUAUUUGAUGCGAAAGUCUCGAAGACUGUUAAUACCGUACUGGUACUGUUGGGGUGGUUCUCCGGGGCUAGAAGCUCUUCGCCACUUUUGGCCACCUGCCGCAGUAUCCAACAUGCUCGAAGGCUAUGUGUUGGAGUGGCGCCCUCUGUACUAUGAAUUUUACAGGGUCCGCUGAGCCAUCCCUCCAGUACGGUUCCGUGCCCUUUAUGGGGUUUUUGCUUUUUGGUUUUUGUCCCGGGUGCCUGAGCGUGAUGCACCCUUUUGUUUCGGACUAGGGUUGUGUUUGGAGCCGGAUUGUCCCAAAACUUAGUUUCGGUUUUCCAGAUACUCUCCAUCGCACAGUACUUUCGUACUAUGGACGCCAGGUCGGCGAAGCGUGUGAUUUCGCGACGACUUACGACGUUCAAGAUUCCCUUGUCCGUGCAAUUGCUGCAGAAAAUUGAGAUUGCGUUUUCCUCACGGCAGUCCUUUAUCCUGUUCAUAACCAGGAGGAAUCUGGCCCAGUAAUGAUGUACUGUUUCAGCGGGCUCUUGCCGGAUUUGAGAUAGAUCGCUUAUGUUUGGGUGGGCGGGUGGAAUUAAGUCCGGAACCCUGCCCAACUUGAGGCUCAAGGGCCGAAAAGUUUCUGAAUUUGGAAGCUUGGAUUGCUGGAUGUCGUCCAAUGAAUCUGGUCCGCUGCCUGACUUUAGGUUCAGUACUUGAUUGACGUCCGUCCCUCCAUGGGAAUCCGGCAUGGAGGGAUUAGGAGUCCGGACAUAAAUGGUUUUUAAUAUAGAAGAAGAAUCGCCGCGUUGUUCCUCUACCACAACAACGUGGUGGGUAACCUGUGGAGAGUUAAUCUCUCUCAGAUCGGUUUUAAGCCCGAUCUGAUCGUAGUCUGUAGCGACUCCCAAGGCGGCGAUGCGAUCCAAGAGCUCGUUUACGGAAGAGAGCUCCAUCGGAUCUAGCCACUCGGUGAAUUCUGAGUUGACGUGAAGAUCGCUUUUGAUGACCCGAGAGGUCAACGUCGAAGCGGCGGCCGAACAGGUGGUUAUAAGAAAACCACCUAGCCGGAUAGUUUGGCCGGCGGCCAAAGCUCCUUUGGCAAUGGUACUGUCUUUAAAGACAGGAAGAGGCAUCCUUCCUGAUCGUGACGGCACAGAGGAACUCUCAAUGAAAGCACCAAUGUUGGUGACAAAACCGGCGGAUCUCGGGUAGGGGGUCCCGAACUGUGUGUCUAGGCGGAUGGUAACAGGAGACAAGGGACACGAUGUUUUUACCCAGGUUCGGGCCCUCUCAAUGGAGGUAAAACCCUACUCUUGCUUGAUUAAUAUUGAUGAUAUGGGUAGUACAAGAGUGGAUCUACCACGAGAUCAAGGAGGCUAAACCCUAGAAGCUAGCCUAUGGUAUGAUUGUUGUUCGUCCUAUGGACUAAAACCCUCCGGUUUAUAUAGACACCGGAGAGGGCUAGGGUUACAAAGAGUCGGUUACAAUGGUAGGAGAUCUACAUAUCCGUAUUGCCAAGCUUGCCUUCCACGCCAAGGAAAGUCCCAUCCGGACACGGGACGAAGUGUUCAAUCUUGUAUCUUCAUAGUCUUGGAGUCCGGCCGAUGAUGAUAGUUCGGCUAUCCGAACACCCCCUAAUCCGGGACUCCCUCAGUCCCUCUCCCUUUCUCUCCAUCUCUCUCUCUCUCUCUCUCUCUCUCUCUCUUUGUGUGUGUGUGUGUGUGGGGGGUAUUUCUAGUUCGCAUGCAUAUAUACAGCAUCUAUAGGUCUCUCCCGCACACUAUGUAUGAUACUCUAGCUAGUCCAAGCUAGAUAUCUUGGGUGCACUCAUCGUAUGCACACAAAUUCCUUUGCUCGUUGCCCGUAACUCUCUUACGCACCACUCUGUCAUCUCGGAGCUCUUCCCCCCCUCUCUCAAACUCUCCAUCCACCUGGGUCACACAUACACAUGCAUAUCUCAAUCGCACUCGAUAGGCCCAUCUAAAACUCUAUCUCUCUCCCUCGUUCUCUCUCCAUCUCACAUGCACGCACACACAAUCUCAUGCCUAGCUAGCCAAGUAUGAUGGUCUCUCACUCAAUUGUAGGCACGCGCAGUCCCCCCUAUAUGUAUAUGACUAGCUAAUCUUAGUCUCCAUCACAAACAUGUGCAUGGUCUAUCUCGGUUUCUCUCGGGGCAUCUUUCUAUCGCACAUGCACCUCCCUCGAUCUCCCACCCAUAUAGUCCCCUCAUGAUCUCGAGGGGAUCUCUCUAUCACAAACACACCCUCUCUCCCUCCCCAUUCGUCCAUGUCCUCCAUGUGUCCCUCUCGACCUUUGUUCCUUGUUGGCCAGACCUCUAUUGGACAUGUGCUACAGGGGUGUCUCUCUCCGUUGCAAACAAUCACACACUAGCUAUCUUCGUGUAUCUCCUCGCCUCACUUUUCUAUCUCGGAGAUGCAUGCGUGACAUGUUCGCAUAAGAAACGAAAAAACACACACUCUCUCUAAUUUACCGUUUGUUGUCACUUUCUCUUUCACACACAUACUCUUUUUGAACACUUACUCAUUCUCCUUCACACGCACUUGAUCUGUCUCGACUUAGGCACUCUCCUCGGUCCAUAGCAUAUAGAUUUAUUGAAAAGUCAAGCAUCACAAAGUUUGACCAUAUGUACGUGGAGAAAAAAAUUACAUCUAGAACGGCAAACAUAUACCAUUAGAUUCACCAUGAGAUGUAGUUUUGUAUGAUGUAUUUUUGGUAUUGUAGAUAUAAAUAACAUUUGCGUCAACCUGAUCAAAGUUUCCAAAGUUUGAAUUCUAAAAAAUUUACAUGCACCGCAUUAUCGAGCAGAUGGAAUAUCUCUUUCCCCCUUUCAGCUAUCUGACGCACCACUCAACCUUAUCGGGUCUCCUCAAUCUCUCUCUAACUUUAUUGGUCUGUUUGGUUCGUGACCUAACCCUCAUGCCUUGAUGGCCAGUAGUGCCUGGUGUGGACGUGAGAUGUAAAAUAUUUCUGCCUGGCCAGGCUUGUGUGGUGCUGAAGCGUUUGGUUCGUGCCUGGGCCAGGCAAAGCAUCAAUGUCCCAUCAAUCAAUGCAUGCAGAAAUUAUUUAAUGAUAAUAUCCAUCCAGGUUGUUGUUAGCCUCAUGUCCGCAUGACCAGGCACGGCCAGGCAUUCAAAAUCGGUCGCCUGGGCCAGGCUACUUGCAGUGUCUGGAGUCCAACCAGGCUAAUUAAAGUGCAAGGGAAUCCAGGCCAGGCGGGCUUUCUUUUUCACAGGGUAGCAACCAAACAAGCGUGCAUGAAAUCCAACCACAACCCCAGGCUAGGCAAAAGAUUCUCAGGACGCAAGCCAAACUGACCUUAUAUCUCCACGGUUCACACAUACACAUGUCUCGCUCGCGCUAUACAUAUAGACCCAUCCAACACUCUCCUCCCUUGUUCUCUCUCCAUGUGACACGCACCCCCCUAAGUACCAUAAUCCCUCACUCCAUCAUAGGCGCAAGCACUCCCCCCUCCUAAGAAUGAUUAUCUCUUACUAGCCAUCAGGAACACACGUAUUGUCUCCUUCCAUCCAUACGUGUAACGCCCCGAAUUCGAUGCGCCAGGUGUCUGCCAGUUAUUUGCCAUCGUUGCCAUGGCAUUUGCUUGCGUGUUGCACUUUGCCAUGUCAUCAUAUGCAUUUCAUAUCAUGUCGUCAUGUGCAUCACAUUUGCAUACGUGUUCGUUUCAUGCAUCCGAGCAUUUUCCCCAUUGUCCGUUUUGCAAUCCGGCACUCCUAUGUCCUCCGGCGUCCCCCUUUUGUCUCUUGUUCUGAGAGGGUGUUAAACUUUAUCGAAAUGGACCGAGGUUUGCCAAGCGGCCUUGGUACACCACCGGUAGACCGCCUGUCAAGUUUCGUGCCAUUUGGAGGUCGUUUGAUACUCCAAUGGUUGACCGGGUAACCAUAAAGGCCUCUUUUGUGUGCAGCCCAACAGCCCUCCAAAGUGGCCCAAAACCCAUCUAAGUCACCUCCAUCCUCUCGGCCGUUUGAUCACGAUCGUGUGGGCGAAAACCGCACCUCAUUUGGACUCGCCUAGCUCCCUCUACCUAUAUAUAUGCCUCUCCCCCCGAAAUUCGCGGAUGAAACCCUAGUCUUCUUCCACCUCUCGCCGCCGAACAUGUCAAUCCCGCGCCGGACGUGUCCGCCUCCGCCCCACGCCCAAUCGUCGCGCGCCACGUGUCCCAGCGCCGUCCUCUGCCGUCGCCGGCCCGUGUGGCCCGCAGCAAGCCCGCGGGGNNNNNNNNNNNNNNNNNNNNNNNNNNNNNNNNNNNNNNNNNNNNNNNNNNNNNNNNNNNNNNNNNNNNNNNNNNNNNNNNNNNNNNNNNNNNNNNNNNNNNNNNNNNNNNNNNNNNNNNNNNNNNNNNNNNNNNNNNNNNNNNNNNNNNNNNNNNNNNNNNNNNNNNNNNNNNNNNNNNNNNNNNNNNNNNNNNNNNNNNNNNNNNNNNNNNNNNNNNNNNNNNNNNNNNNNNNNNNNNNNNNNNNNNNNNNNNNNNNNNNNNNNNNNNNNNNNNNNNNNNNNNNNNNNNNNNNNNNNNNNNNNNNNNNNNNNNNNNNNNNNNNNNNNNNNNNNNNNNNNNNNNNNNNNNNNNNNNNNNNNNNNNNNNNNNNNNNNNNNNNNNNNNNNNNNNNNNNNNNNNNNNNNNNNNNNNNNNNNNNNNNNNNNNNNNNNNNNNNNNNNNNNNNNNNNNNNGCCGACCAGGGCGCAGCCGCCCGCGCCUCCCCGGCCCCGCGCCGCCGGUGCCCGCCGGUGCUGCCUCCUCCGGCAACCCCCGACCCCGCCGCCUCCGGAUCCGGCCUCCCCGGCCCCAUCCCCGACUUCUCCGGCCGCUGGCGCCUCAGAUCCGGCGAGAUCCGCCGCCGCAUCGAAUUCCGUGCACCCCGAGGUUGACUUCGAAAAUCUGCUAAGUCCCUGGUUUUCAGCAUCAUAUAGGCAUCUUUGACCUGCUGUAUCUUCUUGCAUGUAGCUCAGUUUUGUGCGUGUAAUAUAUGAAAUUGUUCGUUGUAAGAUGUUAUUCAUUUCAUUCUAUUGUGCCAUGUUUGUUUGAGUCAAUCUUGAUGCCCAAAUCAUCGUUGCAAGAGUGCUAUGUGAUGUUAACUGCUGUCUGCUAAUAGAACUUGAUGAUUUGUCUUUUUCGUUACAUUUUGUGUGUGCAUCCUAUGAGCAUGAGCUCUACAUGUGCUUUGUGCUACAUCAUGCCAUCUUUACAGUGGUUCCAUCUAUGUAUUUUUGUGAGCCUUGUUGUGAGUGCAUUGAGCUCGUGAAGUAGGGUACUUGCUGUUGCUGUUUUGCUAUGUUGUUUCUGUUAUAUUAUGAUGCUAUGUAAACCUGCUACUACAAGUCAUUCUAUGCAUAAUCUGGAGAUGUUCACUAAGGAUGUUUUGUUAAACAUGUCAUGCUCUAUCCACUAAUGCCACUUUUAGCAUUUAUAGCCCGCCGUAACAUGUUGUUAUCUUGCUCCAAACUUGCUAAAUAAUGUUGCUGUCGGCCUGUUAACAUUAGGUUCAGUUUUGCCAUGAGUUUUGCUAGUGAUCCAUGCACCCUAUGAACUUGAUCUUGCCAUUCUUAGCUUCAUAAACAUGAAUUCUUACUGUUGGUUGCCUUGUCAUGCCAUGUAUUUCUCUGUGGUGAGUGGUACGAGCUCACCAACAUGCCUACUUAUUGUUGUUCCUGCCAUGUAUGAAUCUCUCAUAUUAUUUGCCAUGUUUGCAUGGAUGGUACCAUCUUUUCUGUUGAUCUUUAGAAUUAGUUCAGUAAGGGAGUUUUGUUCUUUGUCUGUAGUACUAGCAUGCCAUGCCUUUGUUUUCCAUGUUAAGUUCCUGUAACAUGUUGUUUGAUAGCUCUAAACAUUGCAACCUGAUGUUAUUACUGCCAAGUCUGAAACUGUUAUAAUUUGCAAUCUUGACAUGUCCUUUUGAGCAUGUUCUAGUGUUUUCUGGAGAUAGCUCAGUGUUCAUGUUUUGACAUGCUUUACCUGUACUUCAUGCCCAUGCCUUUUGUUAUUAUGUUGAGGUGCUGUAGCAUAUUGUUGUGAUGCUUGCAAGAUGCCUAGUUGCUGUUUUGGACAGCUUGUCCUUUAAACUUGUUUCAUGUGUAUGUGUUGAGGUGCUUCUCUAAGUGUUGGUCCGAACCGAGCAGCCUGCGGGGCCCCCUCGGGGAAACUCGAGGUCUGGUUUUACUCGUAGCUUGACUUAUUCGGUGUUGCCCUGAGAACGAGAUAUGUGCAGCUCCUAUCGAGAUUGUCGGCGCAUCGGGCGGCUUUGCUGGUCUUGUUUUACCAUUGUCGAAAUGUCUUGUAAACCGGGAUUCCGAGACUGAUCGGGUCUUCCUGGGAGAAGGAAUAUCCUUUGUUGAUCGCGAGAUUUUAUCAUGGGCUAAGUUGGGACACCCCUGCAGGGUAUAAACUUUCGAGAGCCGUGCCCGCGGUUAUGUGGCAGAUGGGAAUUUGUUAAUGUCCGGUUGUAGAUAACUUGACACCAGAUCCGAAUUAAAAUGCAUCAACCGCAUGUGUAGCCGUGAUGGUAUCUUUUCGGCGGAGUCCGGGAAGUGAACACGGUUUUGGGUUAUGUUAGCCACCAUAUCAUGCUUAGUCGCUGCUGCAACCUCACCACUUUAUCCCUUCCUUACCCUUUAAGCUUUGCUAGUCUUGAUACCCAUGGUAAUGGAAUUGCUGAGUCCUCGUGGCUCAAAGAUUACUACAACAACAGUUGCAGGUACAGGUUAUGCGAUGGUCAUGACACGAGAGUGAUGUUUGCUUGUUUUGGAGUUCUUCUUCUGCUUCUUCUUCGAUCAGGGGAUAGGUUCCAGGUCGACAACCUAGGCUAGCAGGGUGGAUGUCGUUUGAGUUCUUGUUUCUGUUUCAUCCGUAGUCGGAUGUUGAUCUUGUGUAUGAUGGAUUGAUGUAUUCUUGCGACAUUUGUAUGCCUUGUAUGUACCCCCAUCUAUUAUCUAAUGUUGAUGUAAUGAUAUCCACCUUGCAAAAGCGUCUUCAAGAUGCGCUUCUAUCCUUGGUGGGACCUUCGAGUUCCUUUAGGAUAGGGUCGCAUCUUGGGUGUGACAAGUUGGUAUCAGAGCCUCGACCGACCAUAGGAGCCCCCUUGAUUGAUCGUGUAGUUUGGCCGUUGUCGAGUCUAGAAGAAAACUUUUUCGGAGUCUAGUUAUAUCGGAGAGUAGGAAUUCUUCUUACUCCUCUUCCCCUUCAAAUUUUCUUUAGGAUCACGUAGUUGGUUUUUUGUUCGUAGGUUCUCCGCUCUUUUCAUCCGGUGCUUUUCUUGUCAAGUUGACUCGAGCCUCUUCAUCUUUGCCAAGUUCAAUCCUCAGUUGUUUUCUUUUCCCACCCGCCCCCCUUUUCUUCUCGGAGCCGGAGUCCGUAAUCGAGUAUCCAUCCUACUCGUGCGAAGUCUUUGCUUUCUUUCCUCAAUGAUUUCAACCGGUGUUUUCUCUUCAAGUUAUUCAUCGGUUUUCCCCUUCCAAGUUGCCUUUGUUUUCCCGCCCUCCCACCCUUUUCUUCCCGGAGUCUGAGUCUCUCUCGACCAUCAAUUUCAUUCGUUCGGGGCCUCGUCAGUCUUUCGUCAAUUGUUUCAACUGGUGAAUUUCUCUUUUGUUCGACAUUCUUCAUCUCUUUUCCGGUGGACUCAAUUCAAGUUUUUUUUCCAGGUUGAUCACAUUCUUUUGCUUGGAUCAAGUGUUUUCCUUGCUCAUUCGCCUCUCUCCAGUUUAUCCUUCCGGAGUGUUCAAGACAUCUCAGGAGAUUCGUCUUGUUCCAAUUAAUUCGAGGUUGUCACCUCAUUCAAAUAUUUCAAUUGCUCCGAUGCAUCAUCUAUCUGUUCAACAUUCCUUUACAACGGUGUUUUUCUCUUCAGUGGGCCCUAACCCACAGGUCUUUCCCAGGAUCUUACCUGACUUUUCUGAUUUUUCCGGAGCUAUUCUUAAUUCUUUUUGAAGUAUGACGUAAGUAUGAAUUUCAUUAGUCAGAUGCUUUUCCAAGAUCAAUUUCAAAUCAUUUUCAUUGUUCCCUCAACCUCUUCGCUUUUCGUUCUCCCGGAGUAUCUCAGUAAUUUUGUUGGUGUUUUCCGUCGUCAUUUGAAGACCGAAGAAGAGUUUUUUCUUCUAAAUCUUGCCCGUUAUCUCGAAGAUUUGUGGUUCUAGCUUCAUGAUAUCCUCUCGAAUUAUUCCGUUUGUCAGAGAUUCUUUUCUUACACAUCCGGAGUAUUUCAGGAGUUGCUUUCCCAUUUCAUUGUUCUGGAGGCCCCCAUUUCAGAAUAUUUCUUCGUUCUAAGUUUUCAAAUUCGUUCUCCAAUUAUUCUAUACCCGUGCCCCUUCGUUCGUCUCAAUAUUCUUCGGGUGCUUCGUUCAAGUAUUCUUCUAUCAUUUCGCGAUCUCUUCGUUCUCUUGUCUCUAAAUUCCCUCAAGUAUCCUUUUGCGUUUCUAAUUCUUCCCGGUGAUUCCAUUCCUUUUCUCCAUUCAAUUUUGAAUUCUUCCGGUGGUUCGUUGAAGAGUUCUUUUCUGUUGUUAUCGUAUAAAUUCAUUCGUUCUUUUCAAUCCUACCGGUGGUUCAUGAAGACCUUCUCAAGUUUGUGAUAUGUCACUUCUCAAUCCGUUUCAAGAAGAAUAAGUAGUACGCAAAAUCCAUUGCUUGUCAUCAAUUUAAUUUGAUGAAGGAUAAGCAUACAAUAAAUCUUAUUCUUAUUUCAUCCAAGUGAGUAAUCCCUUUCUUCGGAGUUUGUUCUUGAUGAAUAAAUUCUAGUUCCAAGUGUUUUCAUCUUUUCUUUUCCGGAGUUCAAAUUUCCUCGGCCAUCUCGUCAGAACCUCCAUCUAAAUCAUCGCAAGGAUCAUCUUAUUCUUUCAUCCUUCAUUCUAUCUCAUCAUCCUUUUGUCACCGAAGUUCUUCAUGGUGGUUCUUCAUGAUUUAAUUCAUUCUUUCAAGUGUUCAUCAAGAUUCUUGUUGGAGGAGCUCAAGUUUAUUCUUCUUGCAUCUCGAAGCGCAAUUAAUUCUCCGUAUUCUUUUCAAGUGGAGAUUUGCAUUUCUUCGUUAUUCCCAGAUAUUCAAGCUUUUGGUUGUGGCAUAAUUUCACCUCAUAAUUUCUGAGAUGUUAUCCAUAAGUCCACAACAAGCUUAUUCUUUUGUUGUUGAUUUUCUCAACAACUCCGUUUAAACCUUCCUUCUAAAGAUGCUUUCUAUUUCAUUCGUGGAACAAGUUGUCAUUUUCUUCUCCGUUCUUUUCAUUCAACUCUUGCAAUUCUUUCCGGACGUUUUGUGUCAUGUCUUCAUCAAGUACCAUUCCAUCCUCUCAAGCUCGUGUUCUAUUCCUCCAUGUUUCAGCCGGAGUGCUGUCCAAAUUCUUUCGUGCUUAUUCUUUUCUGCCUUGUCUAACCAGAGUGGUUUUAGAGUCUAUCUUGUUUCCAUGAGCAUUUGAUUCUCAUCAUAUUCGUCGUUCCUUUUCCUACCCAGUGCUCUCAACUUUGUUCAUCCUCUCUCUUUUGUUCUUAUUUCAUCUCAUCCCUCCCCCCUCUCGGUCCUAAGAUCUUGGGAUGAGAUCUCUUGUUAGUGGAGGAGUGUUGUAACGCCCCGGAUUCGAUGCGCCAGGUGUCUGCCAGUUAUUCACCAUCGUUGCCAUGGCAUUUGCUUGCGUGUUGCACUUUGCCAUGUCAUCAUAUGCAUUUCAUAUCAUGUCGUCAUGUGCAUCGCAUUUGCAUACGUGUUCGUUUCAUGCAUCCGAGCAUUUUCCCCGUUGUCUGUUUUGCAAUCCGGCACUCCUAUGUCCUCCGGCGUCCCCCUUUUGUCUCUUGUUGAGCGGGUGUUAAACUUUCUCGGAAUGGACCGAGGUUUGCCAAGCGGCCUUGGUACACCAUCGGUAGACCGCCUGUCAAGUUUCGCGCCAUUUGGAGGUCGUUUGAUACUCCAACGGUUGACCGGGUAACCGUAAAGGCCUCUUUUGUGUGCAGCCCAACACCCCUCCAAAGUGGCCCGAAACCCAUCUAAGUUACCUCCAUCCUCUCGGCCGUUCGAUCACGAUCGUGUGGGCAAAAAUCGCACCUCAUUUGGACUCUCCUAGCUCCCUCUACCUAUAUAUAUGCCUCUCCCCCCGAAAUUCGCGGAUGAAACCCUAGUCUUCUUCCACCUCUCGCCGACGGACAUGUCCAUUCCGCGCCGGACGUGUCCGCCUCCGCCCCACGCCCAAUCAUCGCACGCCACGUGUCCCAGCGCCGUCCUCCUCCGCCGCAGGCCCACGUGGCCCGCAGCAGGCCCGCGGGGCCCGUUCGCCGCUGCCGCCNNNNNNNNNNNNNNNNNNNNNNNNNNNNNNNNNNNNNNNNNNNNNNNNNNNNNNNNNNNNNNNNNNNNNNNNNNNNNNNNNNNNNNNNNNNNNNNNNNNNNNNNNNNNNNNNNNNNNNNNNNNNNNNNNNNNNNNNNNNNNNNNNNNNNNNNNNNNNNNNNNNNNNNNNNNNNNNNNNNNNNNNNNNNNNNNNNNNNNNNNNNNNNNNNNNNNNNNNNNNNNNNNNNNNNNNNNNNNNNNNNNNNNNNNNNNNNNNNNNNNNNNNNNNNNNNNNNNNNNNNNNNNNNNNNNNNNNNNNNNNNNNNNNNNNNNNNNNNNNNNNNNNNNNNNNNNNNNNNNNNNNNNNNNNNNNNNNNNNNNNNNNNNNNNNNNNNNNNNNNNNNNNNNNNNNNNNNNNNNNNNNNNNNNNNNNNNNNNNNNNNNNNNNNNNNNNNNNNNNNNNNNNNNNNNNNNNNNNNNNNNNNNNNNNNNNNNNNNNNNNNNNNNNNNNNNNNNNNNNNNNNNNNNNNNNNNNNNNNNNNNNNNNNNNNNNNNNNNNNNNNNNNNNNNNNNNNNNNNNNNNNNNNNNNNNNNNNNNNNNNNNNNNNNNNNNNNNNNNNNNNNNNNNNNNNNNNNNNNNNNNNNNNNNNNNNNNNNNNNNNNNNNNNNNNNNNNNCCCGCAGCCCAUCCGCCUCCGCCGCCGACCAGGGCACCGCCGCCUGCGCCUCCCCGGCCCCGCGUCGCUGGAGCGCACGCCGGUGCCCGCCGGUGCCGCCUCCUCCGAAAACCCCCGACCCCGCCGCCGCCGGAUCCGGCCUCCCCACCCCGUCCCCGACUUCACCGGCUGCCGGCGCCUCAUAUCCGGCGAGAUCCGCCGCCGCAUCGAUUUCCGUGCAGCCCGAGGUUGACUUCAAAAAUCUGCCAAGUCUCUGGUUUUCAGCAUCAUAUAGGCAAAUUUGACCUACUGUAUCUUCUUGCAUGUAGCUCCGUUUUGUGCGUGUAAUAUAUCAAAAUGUUCGCUGUAAGAUGCUCUUCAUUUCAUUCCAUUGUGCCAUGUUUGUGUGGGACCAUAUUGAUGCCCAAAUCAUCGUUGCAAGAGUGAUAUACGAUGUUAACUGCUGUCUGCUAACAGAACUUGAUGAUUUGUCUUUUUCGUUGCAUUUUGUGUAUGCAUCCUAUGAGCAUGAGCUCUACAUGUGUUUUGUGCUACAUCAUGCAAUCUUUACAGUGGUGCCAUCCAUGUAUUUUUGUGAUCCUUGUAGUGGGUGCAUUGAGCUCGUGAAGUAGGGUACUUGUUGUUGCUGUUUUGCUAUGCUGUUUCUGCUAUAUUAUGAUGCUAUGUAAUCCUGCUGCUACAAGUCAUUCUAUGCAUCAUAUGGAGAUGUUCACUAAGGAUGUUUUGUUUUAAAUUUCAUGCUCUAUCCAUUCAUUCCACUGGUUGCAUUUAUAGCCUGCUGUAACAUGUUGUUAUCUUGCUCCAAACUUGCUAAAUAAUGUUGCUGUCAGCCUGUUAACAAUAGGUUCAGUUUUGCCAUGAGUUUUGCUAGUGAUCCAUGCAUCCUAUGAACUUGAUUUUGCCAUGCUUAGCUUCAUAAACAUGUAUUCUUACUGUUGGUUGCCUUGUCAUGCCAUGUAUUGCUCUAUGGUGAGUGGUACAAGCUCACCAACAUGCCUACUUAUUGUUGUUCCUGCCAUGUAUGAAUCUAUCAUAUCAUUUGCGAUGUUUGCAUGGAUGCUACCAUCUUUUAUGUUGAUCUUUAGAAUUAGUUCAGUAAGGAAGUUUCGUUCUUCUUCUUUAGUACAAGCAUUACAUGCCUUUAUUUGCCAUGUUAAGUUACAGUAACAUGUUUUUUGAUAGCUCUAAACAUUGCAACCUGAUGUUAUUACUGCCAAGUCUGAAACUGUUAUAAUUUGCAAUAUUGCCAUGUCCUUUUGAGCAUGUUCUAUUGUUUUCUGGAGAUAGCUCAGUGUUCAUGUUUUGACAUGCUUUACCUCUACUUAAUGCCCAUGCGUUUUGUUAUUAUGUUGAGGUGCCGUAGCAUAUUGUUUUGAUGCUUGCAAGAUGCGUAUUUGCUGUUUUGGACAGCUUGUCCUUUAAACUUGUUUCAUGUGUAUGUGUUGAACCGUUGCUUCGUUUUGAGUGUGCUCUAUAUGAAACUUGAUUAGAAUUGCAUGUAGUUUCAUAUUAUCAUGUUUCAUCCUUGGUUUGACGUUUGCUUGAUGUUUGUAUGCAUUUUGCAUCAAUGCCAUGUUUAGCUUGUUUUGCUCAUAUCUUCUAGGCUGUAGCUCCGAGUUAAACGAACUUUAUAUGUAACUUGACUAGAAUUUCGUGUAGAUCAUCUUGGUCCAUAUUAACUUGAUUUUUAACAACUUGAACAUAAGGUUUAUUCAGUUCUGGACCAAUUUCUAAAUUUGCAUAUGAGGACUUCCCGGAAUCGUUAUAUGUUGUUUUCGGCCUCAUUUAAACUUGCCUUGAUGUGUUGCUCUUGUUUGCAUCAUCUUUUUCCAUGAGUAGCCUUUCUAGCUUUGUCAUGCAUCAUACUUGGUUGAGCAUCAUGUCUUGUCUAUGUGUGGUGUGUUUACCAUGUUAUGUGCUUCUUCUCGAUAGUUCAUGUUUCGUUGCGAUCGUGAGGAUUCGUUCGCCUACGCUUGGUUCGACUUCAUCUGUUCGUAUUCUUCAUGGACUCGUUCUUCUUCGUUGAGGGAUUUCAGGCAAGAUGACCGUCACCUUGGAUCUCACUACUAUCAUUGCUAUGCUAGUUACUUCGUUCUAUCGCUAUGCUGCGCUUCCUAUCACUUGUUCCUCAAGCCCCCCUAACUACCAUGUCAGCCUCUAACCUUUGUCACCCUUCCUAGCAAACCAUUGCUUGGCUAUGUUACCGCUUUGCUCAGCCCCUCUUAUAGCGUUAUUAGUUGCAGGUGAAGUUGAAGAUUACUCCAUGGUGGACAGGAUUAUGUUGGGAUAUCACAAUAUCUCCUAUAUUAUUGAUGCAUCUAUAUACUUGGUAAAGGGUGGAAGGCUCGGCCUUAUGCCUGGUGUUUUGUUCCACUCUUGCCGUCCUAGUUUCCGUCAUAUCGGUGUUAUGUUCCCGAAUUUUGCAUCCCUAACGCGGCUGGGUGAUUUAUGGGACCCCCUUGACUGUUCGCUUUGAAUAAAACUCCUCCAGCAAGGCCCAACCUUGGUUUUACCAUUUGCCUCACCACCACCUAUACCUUUCCCUUGGGAGUAAUUAACCCAAGGGUCAUCUUUAUUUUAGCCCCCCCGGGCCAGUGCUUCUCUAAGUGUUGGUCCGAACUGAGCAGCCUGCGGGGCCCCCUCGGGGAAACUCGAGGUCUGGUUUUACUCGUAGCUUGACUUAUUCGGUGUUGUCCUGAGAACGAGAUAUGUGCAGCUCCUAUCGGGAUUGUCGGCGCAUCGGGAUUCCGAGAUUGAUCGGGUCUUCCUGGGAGAAGGAAUAUCCUUCGUUGAUCGCGAGAGCUUAUCAUGGGCUAAGUUGGGACACCCCUGUAGGGUAUAAACUUUCGAGAGCCGUGCCCACGGUUAUGUGGUAGAUGGGAAUUUGUUAAUGUCCGGUUGUAGAUAACUUGACACCAGAUCCGAAUUAAAACGCAUCAACCGCGUGUGUAGCCGUGAUGGUCUCUUUUCGGCGAAGUCCGGGAAGUGAACACGGUUUUGUGUUAUGUUUGACGUAGGUAGGAGUUCAGGAUCACCUCUUGAUCAUUGCUAGCUUCACAACCGUUCCGUUUCCUCUCUUCUAGCUCUUAUUUGUGUAUGUUAGCCACCAUAUCAUGCUUAGUCGUUGCUGCAACCUCACCACUUUAUCCCUUCCUUACCCUUUAAGAUUUGCUAGUCUUGAUACCCAUGGUAAUGGGAUUGCUGAGUCCUCGUGGCUCACAGAUUACUAUAACAACAGUUGCAGGUACAGGUUAUGUGAUGAUCAUGACGCGAGAGUGAUGUUUGCUUGUUUUGGAGUUCUUCUUCUGCUUCUUCUUUGAUCAGGGGGUAGGUUCCAGGUCGGCAGCUUGGGCUAGCAAGGUGGAUGUCGUUUGAGUUCCAGUUUGUGUUUCAUCCGUAGUCGGAUGUUGAUCUUGUGUAUGAUGGAUUGAUGUAUUCUUGCAACAUUUGUAUGCCUUGUAUGUACCCCCAUCUAUUAUGUAAUGUUGAUGUAAUGAUAUCCACCUUGCAAAAGCGUCUUCAAGAUGCACUUCUAUCCUUGGUGGGACCUUCGAGUUCCUUUAGGAUAGGGUCGCAUCUUGGGCGUGACAAUACGUCUAUCUCGAUAUCUCUCGGGGCAUCUUCUAUCGUGCACACACCUUGUCACUCGAUCUCCCACCCAUGUAGUCCCAUCAUGAUCUCCAGGGGAUCUCUCUAUGACAAACAUACACUCUCUCCUCCCCAUGUCUGCAUUUUCUCCGUACGUCUCUCUCGACCUCUCUCCCUUGUUUGUCAGACCCCUCUUGGCCACGUGCUAGGGGUCUUGCUCUCUCGGUUCCAAACAACCACACACUAUCUCCUCACCGUGCCUCCGUUUUCAAAUGUGUGAUAUGUUUGCAUAAGACAUGCAUGGUUUUUCUCUACCUUUGUCAUGUGUUGUCCAUGUCUCUUUCACACACGCACACACACUUUUUUCACUCACUCUUUCUAUUUCUCUCUCUCUCUCUCUCUCUCUCUAGUUAGGGACUCUGUCACGUCCAUAAGCAUAUGGAUGUUUUGAAAAGUCAAACCACAGAAAAGUUUGACCAGGUAUAUGUGGAGAAAAACAUUUACAUCUGGAACGAUCAUUAGAUUCAUCACAACAUGUACUUACUCGAUACUAUCAUUUAUCUUUGGUAUUGUAGAUAUAAGUAAUUUCUUUAUAAACUUGGUCAAAGUUUCAAAAGUUUGACUUUAAAAAAAUGUUGGAACUACAUUAUCGAAUGGAGGGAGUAGCUCUUUCUCUCUCUCUCUCUCUGCUAUCUCUCAUGGCCUCCCCUCUCACUCAAACUCUCUAUACCGAUGGAUUAUACGCUCACUGUGUCAGCGUAUAGCUCCGUAUAUUGUUUAGAUGACCGGUCAACCAGUCCACAUGCUGCCUUGUCAGCUCGUGUUCUGUAUCUUCGUGUGCUGGCCCAUGUGGCAGUGGGUGAAAAUAAGUAAACUAGAGGCUCAUCUGACAUGCAGUGAAGUAAACAAAGUUGAAACCACUCGGGGUAGCACCCCGCACGCUAGUAAAUUGAGGGCGCAUUGAGGACACACUUCUUGCACGUGAAGGACGCACUCGCUCACAAUUCACCACUACGCGGCGGCAUGCAUAGAAGGACGCACUCGUGCACACCCAGCACACAACACACACCAGCACACGUGUACACCGGCGUCACCGCCGGUUGAGAUGGACGGCGAGGCAGCCAACAAGCAGAGGCGGCUCGAGCCAAAACCGCAUCCGGCGAGCCUGGACUUCAUUAGCAGCCUCCCCGACGACAUGCUGCUCGUCAUCAUCGGCCUCCUCCCCACCAAAUCUGUCGUGCAGACCGCCCUGCUCUCCCGACGGUGGCGCCCCCUCUGGCGCCACGUCCCCCUUAACCUCGCCGUCGAAAGCUGCCUCUGCGACGGGGAUUGCAAACGCAUGGCCGCAGUCUCCAAGAUCCUUUCAUCGCACCCUGGGCCAGCCAGACGCCUUGACAUCCGCAUGUUCAGUACCAACUGCAAGGUCCAACCCAAGUUCGACGAGUGGUUCUUAUCCCCCGCCCUAGAUCAGCUCGAGGAGCUCAUCUUUAAAGCUGGACGAUGUCGCUCUCUGCCGCCGUCCGCGCUCCGCCUCACGCCAACGCUGCGUGGCACUAGCUUCAGCUCCUGCUAUCUUCUCCAGAUUAAUGCCGCACCCGCCCUUCUUCUCCCUCAACUCAAGCAGCUCGACCUCUUCGACGUUGUCAUCUCGAAGAAGGCUAUGGAGCACCUGCUCCGCAGCUGUACUGCGCUCGAGUACCUUCGUCUUGAGCAGAUCCAUGGGUUCAUUAGCCUCCACAUCGCCUCGACGAAUCUCCGAUGGAUUUAUGUGUCUUGCUGGCCCCGCAACAAGAAAUGAAUUGGGAAGAGAUCAGUCCAACUGUUCUACGUUAUGGUCAUUGAGAAUGCGCCUUUUCUUGAGAGAUUGCUUGUAUCGGAUCUAGAAGGUCCAACAAAAAUCAGGGUCAUUGACGUGCCGAAAUUGACAGCGUUGGUGUACUCGUCUGCCAAAUUCUCCGAACUCUUUAUUGGAUCCUUAAUCGUUCAGGUACAUCACUCAUCUUCUUCUCCGUCUUCUUGAAAUUCACAUAUUUAAAUUUCUUCUUGAUGUAUUUACGACCGUCUUCCAGAAAAUGAUUCCCACAAGCUUGACCCAGUCCAUGCGCACAGUGAAGAUCUUGGCACUAAAAUCUAUCGACCCCAAUCUGGAUCAAGUUUCUCGAUUCCUUACAUGCUUUCCGUGCAUGGAGAAGCUACUCAUCGAGGUGAAACUUCUUUCCUAUUACUAAACGGUAAUCACAACGUAGCUCAAUUUUUUCGUAAUUUUCCCAAAUUACGAUGACAAGUGUAGUGUUCAAAACUGCAUCUACGCACUGCACUGAAAGAAAUGUUUUUAGUAUUUUUUCUCACGUGAUCACCUGCAUCAUUUUUAUGCUAUACUACUAUAGUAGCCUAGGCUAGUCAUUGUGGAAAGUAACUUACACUAAUCCAGUAACUCUAUGGUUACCCUAAGAGCAAGUACUACCUCCGUCCUGGUUUACUCUUCCAAUUUUGUAGUAUCAAAAUUUGACCAUGGAUUUAACUGACAAAAUGUUAAUGCAUGUCACUGAGAACUAUAUCGUUGGAUUCGUAUUUGAACAUAAUUUCAAAUGGUGUAAUUUUUAGUGACAUGCAUUGGCAUUUUCUUAGGUAAAUCUAUGGUCAAAUUUUUAUACUAAAUACGAGGUAGUAUUCCCUCCGUGCCAAAAUUCUUGUCUUACAUUUGUUUAGAUACGGAUGUAUCUAACACUAAAAUGUAACUAGAUACAUCCGUAUUUAGACAAAUUGAAGACAAGAAUUUUGGGACAGAGGGAGUACAAAAGUGGGCUAUGUAGGCCAAAACACGUGCUAAAUUCACUUGUGAUGCAUUUGGCAUCGAUGCCCCUCCAUUGCUCACCUGGUGCCCCAAACUGGAUCACCUACUUUGCUCCGGUGCCAAAUUAACUCACACAAUUAAAAAACACUGCGUGGGUAGAGAGAGGACCGAGGCAAUAAAAAAACACUUGUUUGGGAAAGUGAGAGGAUGGUGUAGUUGGUUUGAUUGAUUUUUUUAUACAUGUGGGCCUGUGUGCACAGCGGUGCCAACUCUCUCACAUCGCGAGAGCGGUGCCAAAAUCUUUUGAUUUGACAUCGAUGCGUAUUAUGUGGCAUACUUCUGUGAAAUAUGGCAUCGGCCACAUAGUGGAAGGCAACAAAUGCCCAAGCUCUUCACGUGCUCCUAGUUAAAUGAGAGGAAACACACACACACACACACACACAUACACACACACAGAGAGAGAGAAAGAAAAAGAGAGAGAGAGAGUGAAACAAUAUCACUAGCCAGCCAACCCUAUCAUAUGAGCGAAUGAUAUUUGUACCUCUUAAUGACACGGCAAUCUUAUGCAGUCAGCUGCUCUAAUAUGUUCUCUUCUUUUGCAUAUAAACAAAGACCCGAAAGUGAAAAAUGUGCUGCACUAUAACAAUCUCAUCGAAUGCCUUGAUCUCCAUUUUACAGAAAUUGAUUUGAUCGACUACCGAGGUAGCACAUCUGAGAUUAAAUUGGCCAGGUUCUUUGUUCUGGAGGCAAGUGUGCUCAAGGUAAUGAGGUUUGGUUUUCUCUGCCGCAACAGUGAAUGGCGUGCUGAUCACUGCAAGCGUCUAAGCCUUAAUUACAAAGUCUUUGCAGAAGCUAAAUUUGUUUUUGAAACAUCAAGUGGCCAGAGACUCAAAAACUUAUUUGCCCAUUAGUGACUUGUCAGGGCGGUGGAUUUUAGUUUCUACGAAAAUGCUGCAUCCACCUAAAGUAACGAGAGUUCUUACGUAAACUUCCUAGUAAUUCCCUCUUCGUAGGUGCAGCAUUACUCCUAACAUUUGUAAUAUCAGUUUGAAACUUGUAAUAUUGCCGUGUCGUAUUCCUGCGUUUUCAAAAUCCUGUGAAUCAAACAGGUCCUGAGUUGGUGAUGAUGUUGUGCCUCCCAUCUUUCACCAAUAGCCGUCGGAUCUAGAUCUGACGCAUACAAACCAAACUUCUCCAUUUUUGCAAAAAGAUGCCCGCACUUGUUCCCUAUUUACAAACAACUCCUUGUCUCUCACAAUCAGCCUUAUCUCCUCCCCACCACAUCUAGAAGGCCGUGGAAAAAUCUGGCGUGAUGGCCGCUGCCGGCGCCGUCCACCCCCAAUCUUGGUGUUCCAUGCAAUGCACGGGCAUCUACGCACGGGAAAUUUUGUCGAACAGGGCUAGUUGUAAGCAGGCUAGCUCUACAGCCAUGAUGAUAGUGACUGUAGACGGUGAGGCUGACUAUGGUAUGCCGAACACGGCGCCGAUACUUAGGUGUCAUCUCCGGCGCAGGGUCUUGUCACUUCACUGUGAGGAGCAGCACGUAAUAAUUUGACCAACAGGUAGUACAGUGCUAGUACUCCUACUACAUUGGUAGUACUACUACUAGUAGUAGUAGCACCACCAUCUGGAUUUAGGAGUACUACCACGUCCAUCUGGAUUUUAGUAUUUGACUAGCAAUAUCUAGUAAUGCAUGUCACAAAAAAUGUACUACUCCCUCUGUAAAUAAAUACAUGGUGUAUUGUUUUAUUACUAUCGGCGAGAGAACUUAAUGUCUUUUUGUUAACCAAUAGGAUUACAUACAAUGAACUAAACACUGCAUGUCAUGUUUGGUAGUCUCAAGUCAUUGAAAGCAUGCACGGCCCACAUCUCUCAUUAUUUUUUAGGGGUACAUCUCUCAUUGGUUGAUAUGUCACGAAAUAAGAAACGAGGAGGGAGUUAAUGCACCGUGCCUAAGUGUUUUGGGAUUAUUUGUUUUUGGUAAGGUGACUUACAUAACAUUUUUGUUUACAUGCAUUAACAUUUUAUUAGUUAAAUCAAAGGUCAAAACUUGGCGCAAAAUGCAAAGGGGACCAAUGAACCAGUAAACAUCAAACUUCUCUCGUUUGGCCCCAACUAGAGGUCCGGUGAGAUGAUUAUACUGCACCGGCAUGGAGGGGGACGCAGCUUCAUUGACUUACUGCAACUGCAUUUGGGUGAAUGACACGUGGGCCCAAGGGGUGGCUGGCCCACCUAUCAUACAGCCAAAGGCAGGUGUAGUAGAGGGCCGAGGAGUAGUACGUAAUCCUACGCACCUACGCACGCUAACCAAGGGCAAGAGUGAUCACUCGAAUUGCAAGAUCAGUUGACUAGAAGCUAAGCUAGACCCAUGGAGGCGAUGAGCGCGAGCAUCAACCGGCUGUGCCAGAUGGUCCAUGACGUCGGCCUACGGCUCGGCAUCGAGGAACGUCUCCAGGUAUUGCUUGAGGCCGCCAGGGCGAGGGGCCGCUUGGACGACAGCUUCGUCUCCUUGUUCGACGAGGUCCUCGUUGGUUUCCUCGACAAGUUCAUCGUUGUCAAGAAGCUCGCAGACGACUUUGACGUACACCUCUAGCCGACGCGCCCAGGCUCUACGAUACCCGCCACCCUCAAUGGCCACUAUGGUGACAACCUCUUCGACGCACUGGUGGCCCUGCGACUGCCCGCCGUCGCGCUAGAGAAUGUCCACCUCGAGGUCGCGCUCGCCGCGCAGCGCCUGGCGCAGCAAGACACCAUGACAUAAUCACCCGAGUCUAUGCGCAAAUCGUCCACAAGGACUACUACAUGUAUACAUGCAAGAGGAGGACAAUAGGACGCUGGCCUUCUUGGUCCGUAGGGCAACCUUGGACGGCAUUGCUCAGAAGCACGUUGAGCUCGCCGCCAACACCGCUGCUCCUCACACGUCGGUUGGUGACCCGGCGCACUAGGGCGUCAGGAUGUCAUUGAUGGAUCCGUAUGUAUUUUUAUCUUUCAGUCAAAUCCAUGUAGUAGUAUAUGGUACUACUAGUAAUUAUCUUACCUUUCGCAUCAACUUCAUAAUUUUCGUACGUACUCCAUGCAUGAUCGGCGCCAGAACCAAAUUUCUCAUUACUCUAGGCAAAAUCGUUAUUUUCUAUCUAUCGGUCGCGCCAUGGAGCAGAACCAAAUUUUACCAGUUACGAGUUCAAAAGGAAAAGCCUGCCGUGUUCGCAUCGCACCCCCGCACAGUUGGUCCGGCACGCCCCUCAAGGGGGAAUGUGUGCGUUGUUGCAUUUUCACUUACAAGUGGGACCGCAGUUGAGCAAACCGACUAUCGACAAACCCCCACCCCGCCCAUCGCGCCAUGGCUGAGAAAAUAGGAGGGAGAAGAGAUGGUUGUAGCAUGGACUCCAAGAAAAUUGGUGUCGGAUGGGACUCGUGUGGUUGGCGUGUCCCAUACUGCUAGACGUGAAUGCUAGUUAUGGCCCAUACGGCCCCACUAUAUCGAGCCUAUAUCGAGGUAUGUACAACAAAUUUCUUGGAGCCCAUGCUCAGCCCUCCUCUAUCUCUCUUCUCAGCCAGCCAGCGGACGCGCGGAGCCUAUCGUCUGUUUUCUCACAUGCGGUCCCACAUGUCAGUGAAAACGCAAGAGGACUCACUGAACCUACACCUCUUUCACCUCGACGUGCUGGUGAUGAAAAACAAAUCCAAUAAAGAUCUUAGGUGGCCGCUUUUUGAGUUACUCAAGAGUAGUAAGAUUCUAUUUACAGUUUAACCCAAGAUACACAUCACGUGCCUUCAACUACCACUCUAUUUUCUUGCAUGACACGACCUGGAUGCUGGAUGUCCCACAUGUGGGCAAAAGGAGGAAGAACCCGAUCAAAUCUUCGGUUGUGCUCUCGGAUUAGACUAGUUGUGCUAACUUAAAAUUUUUAUUGUGUACUGUAGAAUGGAUGCAAGUUUUUGUAUUGGGAAGAAGAGUACAUCGAUAUAUUGAUAGAGCGCAAUUUAGUAGAUGUUCUAGCACUUUUAGCUAGCAUAGAGGCUAGAGAUGAGACUAGUGCACUUGUUGAUACUCCUACUAGAAUAGAGGCUAGACAUGAGACUUGAUGCGAGGAAGCAACGUCUACUUCUUUACACUCGAAGAAGAAAGAAGCACGCAAGAUCGUGCCUCCGCAGAUCAACAAUGAAUGCAUCGAGAAGGCACUAAUCCAACUUACAGGAGCAAUUAUGGAAGUUGGAUAUCUUCUAGAGUAGUAAAAUGUAUUCUUGUGGUUCCUGUUUUCUUUGGUCUUGCUUUUCUAGUCAAAAUUAUCAUUGGAGUUCGUGUGAAAUGGAGGUCCUUUUGCGGUCGUGCGUUGGAGUUGGCCUUACAAGUGGGAUCACGGUUGACAAAACCGACUACUGGCAAACCCCCACCUCGCCCGCCGCGCGAUGGCUGAAGUUAGAGAAACGACGAGGUUGAAGAGAUUGCUCUAGCAUGGACUCCAAGAAAUAUGGUGUCAGAUGGAUGUCGUGGUGGUGGCGUGUGCCGUACUCCUGGACGUGAAUGCUUGUUAUAGCCCAUGCCACCCUACUACUCCUACUACUUAUAUAGUACUAGUAUCGAGGAUUCGAGGUGCUGGUUACGUACAGCUAACAUAUUAACAUAUGGCUACAGUAAACACCCGCCUGACGCGCGAAGCAUGUGAAGCUAGUACAAAUAGUGUACUACUAUUGUUGAUUGGCGUCAUUCGAUAACCUGUUGCAAUGCACGUAUAAUUAUGUAUUCGGAAAAUAUUUUUUUUGCCUCGUCGCACCACUCACUCAAAGAAGUGACUCGAAAGCCAUUCAUAAAUUUAGUAAGUUUAUCACAGGCAUAUCAUUUUAUUACAUACAACAGGUCAUCAACCCACAUCGACAACGAGGAUACACUAUAAAUACUAAAGUUUUCAUCACACAACAAAUAACAAGCAAUGAAAUGAACUUCAACUCAACCAUUCCUCGGUGUUGGAAACGCUUGCUUUGAACCACAAGUGAUUCUCUGGGACGGGCCAUCCAUUGUCGAUCUCGAGACCAAUGCAUGACUGAUCAUCCAGGCUGAAGCGGCCUACUAUAUAUCAGUACCAGGGUAGGGAACCACCCAAUGUCCGAGGUAUAGACACAGUUGCUUCUCAUAAAUGGUAGUAACAUUGUGUCAACAGCAAUUGGAUGGCCUUUCACCAUCAUUGGAUAGUUUUGUCCAAGGAACAGCGAGUUUUCUCCAAGACUAUCAAUUCUGUACCAGGGAGAAGGUGUUGGCUCUAGCACACUAGUAUCCAUCCCGAAUACCAUGCAACAGGUGUUGGAAUAGGUCCGGAAAGUGCGACGAUGGGAGACUACACCUGCUUCCUCAGUAGUAACAUCAUCAGUGGGCUGUAUACACACAAGAAGAGGUGAUCCAUCGGAAUUAGUUGCCAGGCGCCACAGAGUAUAUGGGCGCUGCUCGUCCUCAUGCUCGUGAUCAUCACCAUCGUCAUCUCCCCCUUGGUUAUAAAAUUUUUCAAGUAUAGGUGAUGGAAUGUUCAUAGGACCUUGGAAACACAAGAAGAAGGUUAGUUAGUAAAGGGAAACUUGCUAACCCGCAUGCAUGUGGAUGAAACAAUUAUAAUUACGGUGGAAGACAAACGUACUGAAAGCAUAAGGAUUCCAUGCAAAAACAGUGCCACGAGUGGUGGCAGCAAACACAAGUCCCUCGUAUUGAAUUGCAUCACAAUACUCAUCCGUAUACAGAAACUGAUUUUUGAGCAAUAUCCAUCUAGUCGAACCACGAAGGACGGCAAUAAGCUUGUCGAAGAUAGCAACAACUUCAUAGUUGUUGUAAUUCCAAGAGCGGUUGGGAACUCAACAAAUUGCUAUCUUCCGUAGAAGACAAUCACCAUGAUCGUAUUUGAACUUGCGUACAAUACCGGUGUGCUCAACCUCCGGGCAGUCUGCUGAGAUUUUUGGAAAUGGAACCCGGUCACGAGUGUACACAUUCACAAGUUCCCACUUGCAAUUGGACCCAAUGUAAACAACCCAAUCUCCAUUUGCGCCUGCCCAAGCCUUACCCUCAAGCGAUGGCAUCUUAACAUCAUACGUAUCAUUAUCAAGCGGCAUCAACUUGCACAAGGCGAGGCCUCCGUCAUGAGCACACCAGUCAUCAGGGUCACGAGAAGAAGAUAGGGGAGAUCAAACCGCUCCUUAGCUCUUGGGUUCCUUGUAAUGAUGUUAUUAGUUGAGUCGAGAAUGGUCUUGAACGAACCUGCCAUGCUAGCCGAGGUGAUGACGUCGCACCGAUCAAUGAGUUCCUCCACCACGUCAUCUUUCAGAUUGGGGCAAGAAUAACGGGGUCGUUUCUGGCCUGUUCCCUCCAUGGAGAAGAUGAUCGAACAAUGGUAGAAGAAAGGGUGAAGGGCUGAAGGAAAAUGGAGGAGGGAGAGGAAGAGCGUGCGACAUCAGUUUCAAAUCAAGAGGGAAAGGUGAAGAGUCGGUGGACGGUUGCCAGUUUGCCAUGGUUCAUGAAGAGGCGCCCCGGCCUACACGUCUGUUCGGCAAUACUAGUAGAAAAGAACUCGUCGUCGUUUCACUGAUAUGUUGGAACGGGACCACAUGUCAACGAAACAUGGUGUGUAAUUUCUCAUGCAAAAUGCGAUCUGGCCGCGUUGGCCCGAGGUGCCGCAUUAGUUAUUGACCUUUAUUUUUUAAUGGCAUGCUGUUCAGUUUUGAAGCACGACUAACUGGUACUGUAUGCAGAGAAAAUAUAAACUACUCUACCACUACUCCACCUCCAGUACUAGUAGUAUAAAAAAGAUAUAUAGGCUGGAGCUUCAGCGAUUUCUUGCUAAGGGCUGCCCACUUGCUUCUCACACUACCACCCUCUCUCCAGAUCUAAAAAAGACGGCCUCUCACUCCCUCCUCACCGGUGGUCAUAGAUCCACCGGGGAAGAAAAGGACGUGCAACGUUGACGCACUCGUUGUCGGCGAGCGAGGUCACACACUAACGACAAGGUCGUCCUCUCAGACCUAGCGCCCACGCGGGAUGGCCUCCAUCCCCAAGCUCGCUGCUGUAGUGUGUGCGGAGGACGACGACCACGAGCGAAGCCACUUCCCACCGACCCUCAGGUAUGCUACCUCUUUUCGAACCAUACCCUUGUUCUAUUGCCCCAUCUGCCAUGUCCUUGCAUGUGGAUCUUUUUCCACUCCACCAUCUUCCCAAUUUGCUCUCCUCUUCUCUGCUGGCCACGCAGACGAAAACCAUAAUUUGCACUAUUAAAGGAAAUCCUACUUCAUGCAGACUAAUCCAUGUCUAGGUUGAAUAAGGAAAGGAAGGGAGAUUGUACUGUCCAAGAGAGUAGGCAUCGAACCCGCAUCUUGGUUGAAAAGGGGAAAAUCAGUAGGUAAGGAAUAAGUCUCAUGUCUCUUGGUUGAAGAAGGGUAGAAAGGCAUGACAACGCAAUAGAGAAUGACCAGGUCGAUCGGUUUGUUAUCCUCACAUAGGAAAAAGGUGGAUAAAGAGAACAAAAAUGGGAUGUAAUCCACAUAUGCUGCCUGGAUAUUUGGUGCUCUGGGCAACCAUACCUCCCUCACCACUCUGUGUCCAUGGAGGUACAUCGUACUGGUGCGCCCACUGUCCGAAUGGGUCUCCCAUGCUCUUAUUGCCACUUUUUUGCUGUUAGUAUAACGCCAGCAGUCAAGUCAAGCAAUGAUACUGCUAAAGUGACGCCACAUUUAACUAAUGCCGCUCUCAGUCUAAUGCCACCGAUAAAUUUAAGCAAUGCCAUUUAAUGUCACUGGAUUAUUUCAGGGUUAGCUGUUGAUUGUGGAUGUAUUAAAGAUUUUUCAGCUAAGGCAUUCUAAUGCUGUUGCACAACCAGUAUACCAACGAUGAAACUUGUUACUACCUUCAGAUUUUUGCACUGUUAAUGCUUAUAGAUUACAUACCUCACUUUCAUGAGAUAAGUUAAAUUUUUUGUACAGUGUCACCAAAAUGCCAAGGCGCUGAUGUGAUUUUAUUUCGGUUAAACUACACAAAAAGUUAUGAAGACAAGAGGAAAGUUCAAGAGUGGGCACCUCCUCCUCCGGCUGUUCUCUUGAUUCGUUCGAUCAAGUUUUUAAUUUUUGAUCGAUUAUCAAUAUUGGGAUAGCAAUUUUUAAGGUCCCACCGAGUUCGAAAUGAUAUUUACCUUGGAGGUACAUGGUUUGCAAUUUUUUUAUACUGUCAUUAGUUAAUAAUGCUAGUUACCUUCUGACUUUUGUAUUUGGUUUAAUGCUCAUGCACAGCUAGUAUACCAAUGCUGAAACUUGUUACCUUUACAUUUUGUAUUGUUAAUUCUUAUAGAAAUCUUCCAGUGCUAGAGUUUAUUGAAAUCUGUUCAGUAAAACCAUUGUACUGUACCCUGUAAUAAACUAACUACUCUACUGUUGCACUAGCCACUGGAUUAGUGUAUAUUUGUAGUAUUCGAAUGGUGUUGCAUUAGCAUAUGGACAUAAAUAAAGUGUGGCAAGCUUUCCCAGAUAUGUGCUUAAGAAAACUACUACCUUUUUUCUAAAUACUAGACGUUUGGGUACUUUAACUUGAACCGCGAAAACAUGUUAUAUUAAGGAACAGAGGGUGUAGAGUUCACUCAAAUUAUCCCGGUAAAGCUUGUCACACCUUUGUUAAAAUUAAUGUUCAUUAUGUUAUCGGAGGAGGUCUGUAUGUUUGUCUCUAAUGCCUGUCGACUACAUACCUGACAUCAUGAUGUAAUGUUAAGUCAUUUCCUUUUGUACAGUGUCACUGAAUUGUCAAGGCGGUGAUGGCAUUUUAUUUUAGUUGAACUGCACAAAAUAUGCUUAAAAGAAGAGGAAAGGUCAGGAAUGGCUCAAUUUUUCAGAAAAAACUAUGUAUGCCUUCCUGACAUCAGCCGCUGUUGCUUUAUUUAUUCCUUCAAACAGGUGGUUAGAAACAGUCUUGCUACCUUUUCCCAUUAAGAAAUUGGAAUGCUUAUAUUUGUGAGUCUAUGCUUCAACUAGUGCCACUUUUAUAGUAAUCACACUUUCAAUAUCUAUGCAAACAUGGAUGCUCGAUUUUAGUGGAACUGCAAAAAAAGUCCAACUGGUUCAACAUUAGGAGCAUGUUUUUUCAAACCUUUAUAUCCACUUGGUGUCACUAUGAGCUGUUCAUUAUGAAGGUACAUGGUUUGCUACUAUCUUGCUACCCUUUUUGUACUGUCAUUAGAUAGUAAUACUAGUGGUUUGCAUGUGAAUUUAUUGGUAGGGUGGACCUACAUUGGAGGUGCAGGACAUGAUUCAAUGAUUGGAUGCUCAAUUUCGGUUGUAUCGAUUUCACCUCUUCCAUCACUACGAACAUGGAUAUCCUUGGUCUGAUGAAGAAUAGGCGCUAUAUUUCUGCUCUAAACCAGCAAAUCAAUUCAGUAUGAAAUUGUCCAGGGCAAAACAUAACUGUAUCAGAUUGUCCAGUGCAGAACAUGAUAGAUGCUAAGCGGAAGAGACAUGUUUAAACCGAAAAUACAAGGUGUGGUAUAUGUUUUCUAGCUGCUUGAUAUUUGUGCAGACAGAGAUGUCUGCCCGUUGCUAUUUGGCAAGCAAACAAAGUGUCCGCAAUUUUGGUUGAACUGCACAAGAGAAUAGUACAGUCACCGCAUGCAGUGCCAUUUGAAAAUAGACACAGAAAUAUUGGAUAGUCACUUCAUGGACUGCAGAAAAGUAGUACUGUACUACUUAUUAGCCAACACUAGGUGCUUCAUUGCUUUGGUCUGAUUAUACAAUGGGCAUCAUUUUGCCUAAGUUAAAGUUUGUAUUCCAAAAAUAGUCUCGCGGUGUGAUCGAGAGAAGACCGAAUCAUAUUGCAGUGGAUGUUCCUCCAUCAUGCGUGGUUCAUUCUCAUGGUUCCAGCUGUUAGUGAAACCACUUACGUUUGCAAGAGGAAUUGUAGACUUCACAAGCAAAUUUGUCUUUCAGUCUGUACUGAAUGUUGGCCAAGAGAAGCAUCCAUGUUAGUAGGAAGAACAGAUGUUUCUUCUAGAUCUUUUCUUUUGGAGCUACAUAUUUGUAUAUGAUCUGUGAAUCAUUGAGAUGCAUUAACAUGUUGAUCUUAUGUAUGGGAAUCGUACUUGUUAGUUUUAGUUGCGACGCAAGAUCCGAAGUGGCUGAUCUUUGCUUUUGGAGCUACAUAUUUGUAUAUGAUCUGUGAAUCAUUGAGAUGCAUUAACAGUUACUUAUUUAUGUUCUCUCAGUGUUUACAGUUACUGAUCGAUCACUAGCUAGCCUACUAAUGCGCUCCUGGCAGUUUUAUUUGCAACGCAAGAUCCGAAGUGGCAGUUUUUUGAAUAAAAAUGCCUACCUCUGAAGAAACUGACAAGCUACACUAUCCUACCUACUCAAUCCUACAUGGAUAAAUAGUGGAUCACGCACGUACUACCUCCUUUCCUGUUUGCAGGGCUCAAUUCAAGAAACGACCUACUCGAUCCUACACGAAUAAAUAGCGGAUCACGCACGUACUAGUACCUCCUUUCCGGUUUGCAGGUCUUAAUUCAAACCUCUCACCAACCAAGGUACUCCCUACGUCCAGGUUUACUAGUCCCGUGUGCAAAGUAGCAAGACCAAGGCAUGGCAAUAAUUAACAGCAUGCAGAAGUUUAAGCCCAAUUAAUUCCAACAAUUUAAGUGGCUGCAUGCGUGCCCUCGGCUGUGACUCGUUGCUUGCUGCUCCGCGUACUGGCUGCGAGCAAUUUUGAGUGCCUGCAUGCAGCCGACGGUAAUUAAGGCAGCUAACUGAUGCGAAAAAAGAUGCGCUUUAAUUGUUGCAGGCUUUUUAAAUCCGUGGAAUCAUUAUUGACAAGGAGGGAGAUGAUUCGAGUGCACUCGUUUGACUGCCAUGCCGGCGUGCGACCCAGACGGGACGGGACGACACAAUCAUAAUUUCAGUUUCUCUAGUUUACCACGGCAAGCUGGCGCGCUAAGCCAUUAUGCGUUGAAUUCCGAUGACCGUCGCGCUACCUUCCGCCUAUAAGUACUGUUUCCCGGCCUUCUCCGGUGGCACCGUGACCCAACUCGCCAUAUCCUCAUAAGACCCCACCGGCCCAACAUCGCUCGCCACGUCCGCCAUACCCCCGCUCGCCCGUGGUAGGCGAUGCCGGAGGCGGUCACCGCCGGAACUACUGUUCGGUUUUUCACCGGAAGGCAGACGGAGGGAGGAGGCAUUCUAUCUGUCUUUAGAUGGCAAUGUGGAGAUCGAGGAGUUGUUGGAGCGCGACCGCCUGGUGGAGGAGUAGGAGUUGUUGGAGCGCGACCGCCUGGCGGAGGAGCAGCGUAUCACCGAUUUGCACUGCCAGCGGGACAUGGAGCAACAGCGCACCGACGCUCUGAGUCGCGAGCAGAGGGCCCGCAACUGGGCCGACUACAUGGAGGACGGUGCCCGACAAAUAGCCCUGGAGGCUGUCGGGCGCGCACACGUUCGCGACGCUGAUUUUUACUACCAGCUCGUCAAGUGGGUUUCCCGCUUGGAAGACGAAGCAUCGGUGGACCACGCCGGCAUGGAAAGGGCCAACGCGCACGAGCAACGCGCCCUAUCGCACCUCUUGCAAGUCCAAGGCGAGGCACAGGACUCCAGUACCGGCGUUUAGCGUGUACCACAAAUGGCGGCCGGCAUCGUCUAGUUAGCUAAGAGUAAGUUAGUACUUGUAUGCUACUAGAGUAUUAGUGGGAGUAGAUAGUUAACUUGGCUAUGAUGGUUUUCAACGUGGAAGUUCAGUACUCUAUAUGUGGAUCAGAACUGUUACUUUGCUCUGAAUGUUGAACUUUCCGUUUGAACAUAUGGAAUGGGCUGUUAUUUUUUUAAAUCAGUUGUAUUUGUCCUCCAUGGGUUUAGAGGCUGACUUGUGGGCCUACCAAGUUGAUGCGGACACAAUCAGGAGAUGAUUGUAUGUGGAGAGGAUGACAGCAGGGACCCGUCAAGGUCAUGGCAGUACGCAAGCAAGUGCCUCCUUAUUUCAAGCCAAUAAGAAAAAUGGCUCCUCCUAGUGGAUUUCUGACAUGUGGGUCCCAUGCCAUUGUCAACGUAGUCAAUAAACGAGAGAAUUGCACAACGAGCGGCUGACACCAGGGACCCAGCAGCUCGCCCAAUUAUUUUUGUUUUGGGCUAAUUUGAUAAAUGCCACUCCAAAUCUAGUGUAUCCGAGAAAUGCCACUGCAAUUUCCAAACUUUGAAAAAUGCCAUUUCUAGUGGCAUUUUUUGAAGUCUGGAGUGGCGUUUUUCAAAGUUUGCAAACUGCAGUGGCGUUUUUCAAGGAUUGCAAAAAUUGCAGUGGCAUUUUUCAAAGUUUGGAAAUUGCAGUGGCAUUUUUAUGAAUCGCCAUAAUUGGAGUGGCAUUUAUCUAAUUUGUUUUUGAGACGGAAGCAGGGUCCCAACUGGGCUGUGCAGUUCACUCUGGCCUGUCUAGACAGUCUUUUCUUUUAUGUUUACCACAGACCAGCCCAGUAGAUUUUCCUUUCUGAAAAUGGCUAGCCCGGUUUUUUUGUGAUUUGUCAAGUAAGUCGCUUUAUCAGGCCUAUUGGGCUGCAAAUCUUUCAAGACAAGGAGAGCUUCAUUCGGCUCGCCGAGAAAAUGGCCUAUCAGUAAUGAGAAAUGGGAUGUACAUUUUUAAAACACAGCAACCCGGCAAUUAGUUUCAAAUAUCUUUUUUUUCAUUUCGAGAUUUAAAAUUGCAUUGAUUUUUAUGCGUGGACAAUUUAUUGGAUUUUAUAUUGAUAUAUGUUUAUUUCUAAAAUCAGUCUGAAUGUGACUCGAAAUUUCGGGAUUAAAAACAGUUCAGACCGCACCGACAUAUGCAAAAUUUCGUAUAACUUUUUAACCGUGGCCACAAUAUGGGCUGUAAAGCUAACAAAAAGAAUAUGGGCUCCAAAAAAACCGUAAGAAUUAGCAAAUGGGCUGUAAAUUAUUAGAAAUGAUGGCAGAUGGCCUGUAUGCUAUUUUCCACAGAUUUGAGGCUUUCUAAAAAAAGGUUGACGCACAAGCAGUGACUGUCGGAUUUCCAUCCAACGGCCGUCGUGCUUCUUCAAUCUCUGCUCUUCCUGCUCUAGCCGCUCAAACAAGCGCCAGCGGGACUACCUGCUCCCACCUCCCCGCGGCCGGCUAUGCUGCCGCGCAGGCCUCACCGCCCCAUCGUACUCCCAUCGCUGGCCUAGCCAUCCCUCUACUCACUCACACCUGCUGUUAUUCUCCGGCGACGGCACACGAACCAGUAAACCCCCGUACAGUCGUACUCCCCUCCACGUGGGAAACAACUGCCGAGUCUUCCCUGGCUCCGUGUCGUUCCCUUCCUAGGCCUCGCCGUCAUCCACCGCUGCCCUGGUACUCUCGGUGUGGCGUGGUCAAUGUGGUCAACGACGGACAUGCAUCUGGGUCCACGGCCGCACGCAAGGAAAUGCCUCCUUAUUACGCGCAAAAUAAUGACUCUUCCACCUGACAUCUGGGACCCACCGAAAGGGCCUUCGUAUUUCGCGAAAAAAAUGUUACCGCCGCUGACAGCUCGGACCCACCAGCUAUAUCUUCGCACGCAAGGAAGUGCCUCUUUAUUACGCACAAAAAAUGUAUACUCCCAGGCUAGCUGGGACCUAGUAUAGUGGGCCUACUAAGUUGACGGGGACGGAGGGCUUUGUCAACUUAGUCAAUAUGCAUGGUUCUAGCUCGACUGACCAUACGAUAUCCAUCCAAUGGCCGUAUUCUUCAACCUCUGGUCUCCUUGCUCCAGCCGCCCAAAGCAGCGCUAGUCAGCCGCCUGCUCCUGCCUCUCAUGGCCGGCUGUGCUGCCGCGGAGGCCUCACCGCCCCCAUACUACUCCCACCGCUGGCCAGGCCAUCCCUCCACUCCACUCACCCACACCUCCUGUUAUUCUGCGGCGAUGGCAGCGCAGCCGUACCAGUGAACCCUCGUACUCCUCUAUGCAUGGGCAUCCACUGCCGCGUCUUCCCCGGCUCUGCGUCAUUCCCUUCCUAGGCCUUGCCAUCGUCCACCGCCGUGGUGCUCUCGGCGCGGCGUGGUCAAUGUGGUCAACGACCGAAUUCCAUCGAAAGAGUACUGUACGUGGAGAGGCUGACAGCUGGGUCCACGGCAGCUGCAAGGAAGUGCCUCCUUAUUACGCGGAAAAUAAUUAUUCCUCCACCUGACAGCUGAGACCCACCGGACGGGCCACCAGUAUUUCGCGAAAAAAAUGUUUCCCCCCUGACUGCUGGGACCCACCAGAUGGGCCACCGUAUUUAGCGAAAAAAAUGUUUCCUCCUGACUGCUGGGACCCAUCGGACGGGCCACCGCAUUUCGCAAAAAAAAAUGUUCCCCCCACUGUCAGCUCGGACCCACCGGAAGUGCCUCCUUAUUACGCACAAAAAAUGAAUACCCCCUGCUAGGUGGGACCCACCAUGGUGGGAGGCUGACUUGUGGGCCUACUAAGUUGACUGGGACGGAGGCCUUUGUCAACUUUAGUCAAUAUGAACGAUUCUAGCUCCAGUGAUCGUACGAUGUCCAUCCAACAGCCAUAGUGCUUCUUCAACCUCUGGUCUUCUUGCUCCAGCCGCCCAAAGCAGCGCCGGUCGUGCCGCAUGCUCCUGCCUCCCAUGGCCGACUAUGAUGCGGCGGAGGCCUCACCGCCUCCUACUACUCCCAUGCUGGCCAGGACAUCCCUCUACUCACCCACACCCCCUGUUAUUCUGCGGUGACGGCAGCCAAACCAGUGGACCCUCGUACUCCUCUCCGCAUGGGCAUCCACUGCCGUGUCUUCCCCGGCUCUGCACCGUCCCCUUCCUAGGCCUCGCCGUCGUCCACAGCCGUGGUCAAUGUAGUCAAUGACCGACUUCCAUCGGAGGAGUACUGUACGUGGAGAGGCUGACAGCUGGGUCCACGGCAGCCACAAGGAAGUGCCUCCUUAUUAUGCGCAAAAUAAUUAUUCCUCCACCUGACAGCGGGGACUGACCGGACGAGCCACCGUAUUUCGCGGAAAAAAUGUUUCCCCCCUGACUGCUGGGACCUACCAGCUACAUCUUUGCACGCAAGGAAGUGCGUCCAUAUUACAGGCAAAAUAAAUGAUUCGCCCCCUGAUUGCUGGGACCCACCAGCUACAUCUUCGCACGCAAGGAAAUGCGUUCGGGCAAAAAAAAUGAUUCACCCCUAUCGGUGUCAAAACUGGCGGAUCUCGGGUAGGGGGUCCCGAACUGUGCGUCUAGGCGGAUGGUAAUAGGAGACAAGGGACACGAUGUUUUUACCCAGGUUCGGGCCCUCUCGAUGGAGGCAAAACCCUACUCCUGCUUGAUUAAUAUUGAUGAUAUGGGUAGUACAAGAGUAGAUCUACCACGAGAUCAAGGAGGCUAAACCCUAGAAGCUAGCCUAUGGUAUGAUUGUUGUAAUGGUUGUUCGUCCUACGGACUAAAACCCUCCGGUUUAUAUAGACACCGGAGAGGGCUAGGGUUACACAGAGUCGGUUACAAUGGUAGGAGAUCUACAUAUCCGUAUUGCCAAGCUUGCCUUCCACGCCAAGGAAAGUCCCAUCCGGACACGGGACGAAGUCUUCAAUCUUGUAUCUUCAUAGUCUUGGAGUCCGGCCGAUGAUGAUAGUCCGGCUAUCCGGACACCCCCUAGUCCAGGACUCCCUCAGUAGCCCCUGAACCAGGCUUCAAUGACGACGAGUCCGGUGCGCAUAUUGUCUUCGGCAUUGCAAGGUAGGUUCUUCCUUCGAAUAAUUCAUAGAAGAUUGUGAACACCGGGAUAGUGUCUGGCUCUGUAAAAUAAAUUCCACAUACCACCGUAGAGAGAAUAAUAUGUACACAAGUUCAAUCUGCUGACGUAUUUUGUGGUGUGACGUCACACCACUACCAAGCCUUUACUUGAAUCGUUUUUAUUAUACCACCUCAGCGCGUUUAGCGAAGCGGUUUCCUUGGCACGUCUUGUCGAAGCAGAGAUCAUGUUUCCCUUAUUCCGGAAUUCCCAUCAAUACGGACGUGGGUAACCCAACCGCGCCAUUGAUUGUGGCGCUUGGGAGAUAAGCGAGUUUUACCAGGCCGGUGGGGACGCAUAGUCUUCGUCCGCCCAUAUAUAAGGGGAUAAGGAUCCACCUUUUUUACCUACGCCUUCUUCCUCCUUUGCCUAUCCAUCUCCGCGCACUCGAGCUCCAGCGCCCAAGUCCGCACAUCUUGCCUCAACCUCCUCCAGCCAUGUCCGGAGCGGGAGGCAAGUGGAUGGCAUCCUCCGUUACGGAGGGGCACAUCGAGAAGCUGCGCGGCGCCGGAUACCUGUCCAGCGACAUUGCGCAUCGGCUGCCCGACGAGGGGUAGCUCAUCCCCACCCCCAGGCCCCAUGAGAGGGUCGUAUUUCUUCCCCACUUCCUCCGUGGACUGGGCUUCCCACUUCACCCCUUCGUCCGGGGGCUCAUGUACUACUACGGCCUGGACUUCCAUGAUCUGGCGCCAAACUUCAUCCUCAACAUCUCGGCAUUCAUCAUCGUGUGCGAGGCCUUCCUCUGCAUCCAGCCCCACUUCGGCUUGUGGCUAAAGACCUUCAAUGUCAAGCCGAAGGUGGUGAAGGGCGUCCAAGCGGAGUGCGGAGGCGCCAUGGUGGGCAAAAUGCCCAACAUCAUCUGGCUCGAGGGUGCCUUCGUGGAGUCCAUCAAAGGGUGGCAAUCGGGAUGGUUCUACAUCACCGAGCCGCGUGACCCUAAAUGGGCAGCGGCCCCCGAGUUCAGAUCUGGUACCCCCAUGCAGCUCACCUCCUGGAAAGAGAAGGGCUUUCUAUGGGGUAGUUCGGAGGAGCUGACAGGACUCCAGUCCUGUCUCUAGACCCUGGUGAACAAGAAGCUUAAGCUUGUCAACGUGAUCCAGGUCAUGCUCGUCCGCCGGAUUCUCUCCCGCCAGCAACGGGCCUUUAAUUUGUGGGAGUUUGAUCUGGCACAGCACCGGACCCUGAGCGGGCUCUUCGACACGACGUACGAAGCUGCUUGGAGGGUGAUGUUCAAGGGCGGAGAAGCCCCCGCAUCCGCAACUGAAGAUCGCGGAUUCAGCACGCAGCGCCCGGCCGGUGAGGUAAGCUAUGUUAUCCUUUAUGGGACACUCAUUUCUUUCAUAGUUUGACUCUAUGUGGGAUCUAAAACUCCCAAUGCCUUUAACAGGACUGGCAGAAGACAUUCGGACAGGUUAACUAUUCGGCUCCCCUUCCCGAAGACCCAGCGGACACCCGUUUAAAGGGGUUGCUGGUUCCGGCCCUUUACGUGGUGCCGGAGAAGAAGGCCAAGAAGAAGGCCACGGGAACCCAAAGGAGUUCCCGGCGCCAGGAGGUAUCGGACUCAUCAUCCGAUGACUCCAAGGCGGACUCCUCCCCUGAGGAGGAGGAGAAAGAGGCCUCUUCCCCAGCGGGGGGAGAGAAGAAGAGGAAGGCCUCCCCAACGAGGGCGGCCGAAGGGUCCAAGAAAGGAUGGACCCUUUCUCCGGACUGCUUCGCCAACGCCGACGACAGCGACGAGGAGUGGCCCUCAAGGGCCAAGCCCCUGGCAAGAUCGUAAGUGUCCGAAUUCCUGGAUGAUUUAUAAUUUCUCUUUUUGCCACAUGGUGUCCUUCUAAUGCCGCAUACAACCUGUAGUCCAGCCAAGGACGAUCUUCCCGCUUCAUCGAGCGGGUCCUUGGCUCCAUCGGAUAUGGAUUCCCUCCACCCCUCGUGACGCUGAUGACGCCGAGGUGGGAUCCCAGGAGGGGACCCACCAGGAGGGGGAGGCUCCGGAGGUGCCACAGGGCAACCUCCCGGACUUCGCACCGGACUCCGCACCGGAACCCGCAGUGGUUCCGAAGUCCGGCAGGCGGCCCCUUCGUAAGAAGGGCAAGACUGUGACACCGGCAGCCGCCGUCCAACCGGAGGCGCCGGAUAACUUGUUGGAGGUGCUCAACGGCACUUCCAUCAAAGAAGAACACCGCACUGUCAUGAGUGCGGUGAUUCAGAAGGUUCAGCUCGCCAAGAGCGGGCUGACCGAAGCCUGCAGCAGCCUUCUAACAGGCUUUGAGGUAAGAAUUUUAAGACAUGUAAUAUAAUACCGCAUAGACAGUAGCCCCUGAUGCUCGGUUUGGUGUUCGGAAAGAAAAAUCGGACAGAGGAUCUUACAAAGAUAUACGCAGGAGUUCUAAAAAUAUGUCAAUAUGGGAUUGCAGGCUGCGCUGCUGACCUCUGCCGCACUGCCUGCGGAGGUUGAUGCUUUGAAGCAGAACCUCGAGCGGUCCGAGAGCGAGCUCGGCCAUGCCAAGAAGCAGCUCGAGGACAAGGAAGGUGAGUGACACCGUAUUGAACUUUUACCUGACAGAAAAGGAUUUUGGUUGCAACAGAAAUAACAAGGAUAACGUGGGUACUCCAGGGGCCACGAACAAGGUGGCGACCCUGAAGGAGGCCGUGUCCACGGCCGAACGUAAUGGGGCCGUGGAACGAGCUGAGCGGGAGAAGCAGGAGGCGCGGGUGGCGGAGGUGCAGCAAGAGCUCCAGGCUCUCGUGGAAAAGCAUGGGAGUUUGGAGCGCGACUCGAAGACUCGAGAGUCCGAGCUUGCAUCGGCUCUUGAGAGUGCCAAAGCCGCUAAGGCCGAAGCCCAUAAGGCCCUCCAGGAGAUUGAGGUGGUGAAGAAAAUAGCGGCGGGUAAGGCAUUUUUCAUGCAAAGCAAGCAUGUGAAUGUGAAUUACCUCUUACUUACCCAAAUUCGGAGAUCUCCAGGAGCGUUUGCAGAUUUGCCUCGCAGCGUGUCCGAUGCUGCCGCAUUCUACCGGGCCGAGGAGGAGAGCUCGACGGAGAAGGUCUUCUGGUCUCAGUAUGCUGAGGCCGGACAUCCGGUGCCCCUUAGCGACCAGCUGAAGCAGCUGGUCGAGCUCCACAAGGUAGCCGAACAGGCCAUGAAGGGCCUCAUAGUUCGGCUGUGGCCCAAGGAGGCCAUGCCUGGGAGCUACUUUGGCUUGGUGCGGCGGCUGGUGGAUGCGUGUCCCUGGGUGGAAGUCGUCAAGCAGUCCGCCUGCAUUGAAGGUGCCCGUCGGGCCCUUGCCCGUGCAAAAGUGCACUGGGGCAGGAUGGACGUUGAGAAGCUUCAGAUGGACGCGCCGCCGGCGGGCAAGGAGUAUCACACGCCCGAAAUGUAUUAUAAGAGUGUCCUGAAGGGAGCCCGCAUGAUUGCAGAUGAGUGCUCCAAGGAUGUAAUAUUUGAGUAAAAUCGCAUUAUGUUAUCCUGUGCGCUGAAAACUGUGUUCAUAUGCGCUAAGCAACGCUUAUUAAUUUAAAAUAUUACCUUCUGUGCGGUCAUUUAUCAAAUCUGAGAGAUGGCAAGUCGUCGGCUUCAGCCCCCAUGCCACUAGUGCUGGGGUGUUUGGGAUAAACUUGAUCGCUCUUGUUCCCAUGUUUGGGUCCAUCUAGGGAGGCGCUCAACACAAUGAACGAGGCAACCAGACUUAUAAUGCUUGAACACUCUCACUUAGCCAUAGAAUUCUAUAAUUUUAAAUUUCGGUGAAGCCCCUAGUGUCCGGAAGACCGAGUUCGGGGCGCUAUCCACGCCUGGGCCGGACAAAGCCGGUUCCUCGCUCUAAGCGGCAUAAGUCUUUAGGGACUCGAAAAAACCUCUCGAACAGCGACCAGCUCUCGCCUUAUCAUGACAGUCAGUUUUAGUUUUCUCCACUGAGGCACUCGCCCAGCUCAACCGGGGCGCAAUUGCAGUGGUUCUCCCAGUGCUACCUUAGCCGAUAAAACGGAACGUAAGGUACCAAAACAUGGGAGCCGGGCAAACCCAACUAUUGACCCAAGACAUGAUUCGGAGCCGAUGCAUAUAAUGCUAUAAGUUCGGGGUGCUGCACUUGUGAAAGUGUUCGGACAUAUCACACCAUAAUGCGGGGAACUUAAGCCCCUAGUGUAUUCGGCCGUACCAAAGUGUACGGAUGCAACAUGUCAUAAACAAACAUAUAUAAGAAAGAAAUGCGAUUAUAAGCAAAAAGCGAUGCAUUGUUUAUUCAGAAAUACUGCCAUGAAUGCAGAGCGAUACAAAUAGUGUGGUAAGCAAGGGAUUGGACUAUUUAAACAUGUCCCCCUCCAGGGGUAGGCUGCGGAAUGGUGUAUUAAACAGAUUUCAUGCUCGUAAUGGAGACCACCUGAGUGUUCGUCGUAGCCUUUCUCCUUCCCUGGCUGUUGCAUCGUGAGUUCGGCAGGUCUACUGCCGGACAAGGCCUCUGGUGAACGGAGUCCUAUGGGUAAGAAAAAAGAAAAAGGAAAAGACCGACAUACUUGGGAUCCCCUGGUGUGGUUAAGCCGCACUCUGGGCCUGUCGUGGUCGUGCCCCUCCCCCUAUGCCCAUGGUAUCUCCAAAGCAUAAUGAUGUACGCGAAGGACUGGUCUUGCAAUUAUGCAAGGGCUGGGAUUGGGGCCGCAUUGCUAAGCGUGCUCGGAACGUGCCAGGUGGUCUUGUUGUAUGUUACUCCAGGCGCGGUUGGCCGUGUCCGGUCGCUUAACGGCCGGACUCGAAAAUUGCCUUAAGAGGCUGCUCUGUACUUCUGCCGUGAUAGCUGCUGUGUGUUCCUCCGUUCAGAGGGAGCGUUCAGUGUUUCCGUUGACCGUGAUGACUCCUCGAGGGCCUGGCAUCUUGAGCUUGAGGUAUGCGUAAUGCGGUACCGCAUUGAACUUUGCAAACGCGGUCCGUCCGAGCAGAGCGUGAUAGCCACUGCGGAACGGGACGAUGUCGAAGAUUAACUAUUCGCUUCGGAAGUUAUCCGGGGAUCCGAAGACCACUUCCAGUAUGACUGAGCCUAUACAAUUGGCCUCUACACCUGGUAUGACGCCUUUAAAGGUCGUCUUUGUAGGUUUAAUCCUUGAGGGGUCUAUGCCCAUCUUGCGCACUGUAUCAUGAUAAAGCAGGUUCAGGCUGCUGCCGCCGUCCAUUAGGACUCUGGUAAGGUGAAAUCCAUCCACGAUUGGGUCUAAAACCAAUGCGGCAAAUCUGCCAUGGCGGAUACUGGUGGGGUGAUCCCUUCGAUCAAAAGUGAUCGGGCAAGAGGACCAUGGAUUGAACUUCGGGGCGACUGGCUCCAUCGCAUAUACAUCCCUAAGUGCACGCUUCCGCUCCCUCUUGGGUAUGUGGGUUGUGUAUAUCAUGUUUACCGUCCGUACUUGUUGGGGGAAACCCUUCUGUCCUCUACUAUUCGGCGGCCGGGUCUCUUCCUCGUCAUCGCUAUGCAGCCCCUUGUCAUUGUUUUCGGCAAUGAACUUGCUUGCCUGCUUAAAUACCGAACAAUCCCUGUUGGUGUGAUUAGCUGGCUUUUCGGGGGUGCCAUGUAUCUGGCAAGAGCGGUCGAGUAUUCGGUCCAAAUUGAACGGACCCAGAGUAGUUCUUUUGAAUGGCUUUUUCCGCUGACCGGGUUUUGAGCCUCUGAAUCCGGCGUUGACUGCCGUAUCCUCAGUGUUAUCGCCGUUAACGCGGCGUUUGUUUUUGUUGCGAUGCGACCUGCCAUUGCGGUCCUUGUUAUCCGGACUGCCAGAAUUUUUGCUGAGGUUGUUACUGCGGGCAAGCCAGCUGUCCUCUCCCGCGCAGAAGCGGGUCAUGAGUGAUGUGAGGGCUGCCAUGGAUUUCGGCUUUUCCUGUCCUAGGUGCCGGGCCAGCCACUCGUCGCGGAUGUUGUGUUUGAAGGCUGCAAGGGCCUCUGCAUUCGGACAGUCGAUGAUUUGAUUUUUCUUUGUUAAGAACCGUGUCCAGAAUUGUCUGGCCGAUUCGUCUGGUUGCUGAAUUAUGUGGCUUAGGUCAUCGGCGUCUGGUGGUCGCACAUAUGUGCCCUGGAAGUUGUCAAGGAAUGCGGCUUCCAGGUCCUCCCAACACCCAAUUGACUCUGCUGGCAAGCUGUUAAGCCAAUGCCGAGCUGGUCCUUUAAGCUUGAGUGGGAGAUAUUUGAUGGCGUGGAGAUCGUCACCCCGGGCCAUAUGGAUAUGAAGGAGAUAGUCUUCGAUCCAAACCGCGGGGUCUGUUGUGCCAUCGUAGGGUUCAAUGUUCACGGGUUUAAACCCUUCAGGGAUUUGAUGAUCCAUUAUUUCAUCUGUGAAGCAUAGUGGGUGUGUGGCGCCUCUAUAUUGGGCAAUAUCACGACGUAGCUCAAGCGAGCUUUGUCUACUGUGUUCGGCCCGGCCGGAGUUGCUGUAUCCGGCGCGACGGUAAUCGUCGUGCAUCGUGGGGCGCCCACGUGAUCCGUAGAUCGAUCUUGAUUGUCUUGCCUUGUCCUCCAAUAUGUCUCACAAGUCCGGCGCAUUCCCCCGUGGCUUCAUACUUUUCGAGAGGUGCCGGGGUACGGUCCUGAUGGAGGGCCUAGAAGCCUCUCUGUCGCGACCACGAGGUGGUCGGUCUGCCGUAUUGUGCGCUGGUGAUGAGGGUUUAUACUCCUCCUCCUCUAAUCGGGGGACCAACUUGCGUUUUGGGUAGCUUUUGGAGGGGCGUUUGAGUUCAUACUCUUCGGCCGCAAGGACUUCAGUCCAUCUGUCGGCUAGCAGGUCUUGAUCAGCUCGGAGCUGUUGCUACUUUUUCUUUACGCUGUUUGCUGUGGCCAUAAGCCUGUGUUUAAAACGCUCUUGUUCGACGGGAUCCUCGGGUACAACGAAUUCGUCGUCGUUGAGGCAUGCCUCGUCUCCGGAGGGAGGCAUGUAAUUAUCAUCCUCUACCUCUUCGUCUGCUGCUCUCUCGUGAGGGUUGGCUUCUCUGUCCUCCUGUGCUGAAUCUUGCUACAGGGGGUUAUCUUCGGCACUCUCUGGGGUGUUAUUAUCUCCAGUGCCGGAAUCUCCAUUCUUGCUGUGGCGGGAUUUAGAGCGGCGCCGCUGACGCCGGCGCUUGGGCUGUUUCUUGGAGGAGUCUGCCUCCGCUGCUUCUUCGCCAUUCCCAUCCUUUGGGAUGUCCACCAUGUAUAUGUCGUAUGACGAGGUGGUCUUCCAGUACCCUGUAGGUGCUGGUUCCUGGUCGUCUCCGGCAUCAUCGUCCAUACCAUCAAUGUCUUCGGAGUCGUAGUCUAGCAUGUCGGUUAGAUCGUCGACAGUGGCUACAAAGUGGGUGGUGGGUGGGCUUUGAAUUUCUUCGUCGUCCGCAUCCCAACCGUCUUGACCGCAGUCCGGCCAGGGCUCUCCUGAAAAUGAGAGAUACUUUAGCGAAUUCAGGAUGUCGCCAAAGGGUGAGUACUGAAAUAUGUCCGCGGCGGUGAACUCCAUGAUCGGCGCCCAAUCGGGUUCGAUUGGUAGGGGCGCAGGAGGUUCGGAGUCCGGCAAGGAGUCCGGCACCUCGGAGUUACGGGCUUUACAAGGGACAAGGUCAGUAUUCGGCUCCAUCACCGUAAAGGUUGCAGCCCCCGAGGCGGUGUCUGGCCAUCUGUCCUCGAUCUGCGCGGUCGGCUCCGAAUUAAGGGUCAGAGCGGACUCAUGUGCGGCCUCCAAGGCACUGUCCGGCAGCAGAGCUAAAUCAUGCCCAUUGUGACAGUGCGGCGCGCUUGGCUGUGGCUCGAAUCCAUCGAAGAUCAAGUCUCCGCAGAUGUCAGCCGUGAAGUUUAGGCUUCCAAAUCUGACCUGAUGGCCAGGGGCGUAGCUUUCGAUCUGCUCCAGAUGGCCAAGCGAAUUGGCCCGCAGUGCAAAGCCGCCGAACACAAAGAUCUGUCCAGGGAGAAAAGUCUCACCCUGGACUGCGUUGUUGUUGAUGAUUGAAGGAGCCAUCAAGCCUAUCGGUGACGACACAGAGGAACUCUCAAUGAAAGCACCAAUGUUGGUGUCAAAACCAGCGGAUCUUGGGUAGGGGGUCCCGAACUGUGCGUCUAGGCGGAUGGUAACAGGAGACAAGGGACACGAUGUUUUUUACCCAGGUUCGGGCCCUCUCGAUGGAGGUAAAACCCUACUCCUGCUUGAUUAAUAUUGAUGAUAUGGGUAGUACAAGAGUAGAUCUACCACGAGAUCAAGGAGGCUAAACCCUAGAAGCUAGCCUAUGGUAUGAUUGUUGUAAUGGUUGUUCGUCCUACGGACUAAAACCCUCCGGUUUAUAUAGACACCGGAGAGGGCUAGGGUUACACAUAGUCGGUUACAAUGGUAGGAGAUCUACAUAUCCGUAUUGCCAAGCUUGCCUUCCACGCCAAGGAAAGUCCCAUCCGGACACGGGACGAAGUCUUCAAUCUUGUAUCUUCAUAGUCUUGGAGUCCGGCCGAUGAUGAUAGUCCGGCUAUCCGGACACCCCCUAGUCCAGGACUCCCUCAGCCCCUCUGACUGCUGGGACCCACCAGCUACAUCUUCGCACGCAAGGAAUUGCCUAACAGUCGGGACCCACCUGGUCGAAGCGUACGCAGCAUUGUCAUUCUGGUCGCGAACGUGUACGUACAUACUGGUCAAUGUAGAGGCGCGCACGUAGCAUGUACACGUACGUACAACGGCCAGGGUGCAAGAAAGAAAAUACGACCAUGUACGUACAUACGGGCGGGGUCUCAAACGCCUACUCGCGCAUACGUAUAGCCAGGGCUGGUGUACAUGGCUGGGUCGGAACGGAGAAACCGCAUCGUUGUCGCGUUCAUGGAGAGGUAACGGAAUGCGUCAUGUUCAUGGGGAGGCAACGGAAUGCGCCGUGUUCAUCGGGAGGCAACGGAACGCGUGGGAGCCAACCGGCUUGGACGAAACAGGCGAUGGAAACGAGGCCUGGCGUAUCACAGAACGGAGGAAACGUCCUUGUGUUCGACUGGCCACGUUCGAAACGGGAUCCUGUUCAUCGGGAGGGGUCUGGCGUACCACAAAACAGAGGAAACGAACCUCCUACGGUCUAAACGGGGGUCCUGUUGAUCGGGAGGGGUGUGGCGUACCGUAAAACGGACGAAAUGGACUUGUGUUGGAGCGCUACGAUCGAAACGGGGGUCCUGUUCAUCGGCGGGGGUGUGGCGUACCGCAAAACAGGACUCCAUGGGAUGCUGUCUUCUCCACCGUCGACCUCUUCCAGCCUCCACGGGCUACCGUCGACCUCCUCCAGCCUCCACGGGCUCCUGUUCAUCUAGCAUCCACCGCACGCUACUCCACUGGCUACUGUUCAACCACCCCUCCACGGGCACCCCUCCACCGUUUACUAUUCAUCCAGCCCUCCACGGGGUCCUGUUCAUCCAGCCCCAACCGGCUGGAUCGAGGCAACGCCACGCGGUCCUGUUCAUCCACCCCCACCACUCACUGUUCAUCCAACCACCACCACCCCCCGCAACUUCACUGUUCAUCUAGAGAGUCAGCAUCGAUCGGCUUCAGUUAGCAGCAGUAGCGAAGGAAUCACUCGAUCGGGUUCAGUUAACAGCCAUCGAUCGAUCGCUCGGGUUCAGUGACGCAUAGCCUACAGUGCAAUUGCUCGGGCUCAGUUAGAGCCCAACGCCUCGCUCGGGUUUAGUUAGAACCAAUGCUUCGCACACACGCACGUACGUGUACGAGAGAAACGCGCAUCGCUCGGCCCCCGACCACCCACCGUAACCGGGAACUCCCCAAAAUUUUCCUCGCCCUCGCUUCUACCAUGGUUUUUCCGUCAUGGACGACCCAAAGAAUGUCAUGCAGCUGCGUCUCUAGCCCGCCCAGGACGAAAAGCCCAUUUUUUGUCAUAGAAGUAGGAGCCCACCACAUCUAUGAUGAUACCGGGUUUUGUCACAAUUAUCAUCUUAGAAGUGUCAUAAGUAUGACAGGAAAAAAAUUCGUUCGGCCCAAACUAUCACGGAUGUGUCUUUUUUGGUAGUGAAUGCUUCCAACUAGCAAAAUUAGUACCUGUCACGCCCAAUAUGCGACCCUAUCCUAAAGGAACUCGAAGGUCCCACUAAGGAUAGAAGCGCAUAUUGGAGACGCUUUUGUAAGGUGGAUAUCAUUACAUCGUACCAUUACAUAAUAGUUGGGGAUACAUACAAGAGGCAUAGAAUGCCACACGAAUACAACAUCAUCAUACAUAAGAGCAACAUCCGACUACGAAUGAAACACAAACAGAAACUCAAACGACAUCCACCCUGCUAGCCCAGGCUGCCGACUUGGAACCUAUCCCCUGAUCGAAGAAGAAGUAGAAGAAGAACUCCAAAACAAGCAAUCAUCGCUCUCGCGUCAUGAUCAUCGCAUAACCUGUACCUGCAACUGUUGUUGUAGUAAUCUGUGAGCUACGAGGACUCAGCAAUCCCAUUACUAUGAGUAUCAAGACUAGCAAAGCUCAAUGGGUAAGGAAGGGGUAAAGUGGUGAGGUUGCAGCAGUGACUAAGCAUGAUAUAGUGGCUAACAUACGCAAAUAAGAGCGAGAAGAGAGCAAACGGAACGGUCGUGAAGCUAGCAAUGAUCAAGAAGUGAUCCUGAACUCCUACUUACGUCAAACAUAACCCAAAACCGUGUUCACUUCCCGGACUCCGCCGAAAAGAGACCAUCACGGCUAUACACACGGUUGAUGCAUUUUAAUUCGAAUCUGGUGUCAAGUUCUCUACAACUGGAUAUUAACAAAUUCCCAUCUGCCACACAACCGUGGGCACAGCUCUCGAAUGUUUAUACCCUGCAGGGGUGUCCCAACUUAUCCCAUCACAAGCUCUCACGGUCAACGAAGGAUAUUCCUUCUCCCAGGAAGACCCGAUCAGUCUCGGAAUCCCGGUUACAAGACAUUCCGACAGUGGUAAAACAAGACCAGCAACACCGCCCAGAUGUGCCGACAAAUUCCGAUAGGAGUUGCACAUAUCUCGUUCUCAGGGUACACUGGAUAAGCUAAGCGUACGAGUACCAACAUAACCCAAGUUGCUAAGGGACGGUACCGCAUGGUGCUCUAGUUUGGACCAACACUCAGAGGAGCACUGGCCCGGGGGGGGGGGGGUUAAAUAAAGAUGACCCUCGAGCUCCGGAAAUCCAAGGGAAAAAGGCUUAGGUGGCAAAUGUUAAAACCAAGGUUGGUCCUUGCUGGAGGAGUUUUAUUCAAAGCGAACUGUCAAGGGGGUCUCAUAAAUCACCCAAGCACAUAACGAACGCAAAAUCAAGGAACAUAACACCGGUAUGACGGAAACUAGGGCGGCAAGAGUGGAACAAAAGCCCAGGCAUAAGGCCGAGCCUUCCACCCUUUACCAAGUAUAUAGGUGCAUUAAUUAAAUAAGAGAUAUGUGAUAUCCCAACAUAAUCCUGUCCAUCAUGGAGAAAUCUUCAACUUCACCUGCAACUAACAACGCUAUAAGAGGGGCUGAGCAAAGAGGUAACAUAGCCAAGCAACGGUUUGCUAGGAAGGGUGAAAAAGGUAAGAGGCUGACAUGGCAAUUUGGGAGGCUUGAUAAGCAAGUGAUAGGUAGCGCACCAUAGCGAUAGAACGAAGCAACUAGCAUAGCAAUGAUAGUAGUGAGAUCCAGGGUGACGGUCAUCUUGCCUGAAAUCCCGCUAGGAAGAAGAACGAGUCCAUGAAGAAGACGAACGGAUGAAGACGAACCAAGCAUAGUCGAACGAAUCCUCACGGUCGCAACGAAACAGGAACUAACGAGAAGAAGCACAACCGAAAAGAAGCAAACAACAAGGUAGACACACAACACAUAAACAUGACAUGAUGCACAACCAAACAUGAUGCAUGGCAAGGCUACAUGAAGCUACUCAUGGCAAGAGAUGAUGCAUACAAGAACAACACAUCAAAGUAAGUUUAAAUGAGGCCGGAAACAGCAUAUAACAAAUCCGGUAAGACCUCAUAUGCAAAUUUCGAAAUUGGUCCAGAUCUGAAUAAACCUUAUGUUCAAGUUAUUAAACAGCAAAUUAAGAUGCACCAAGAUGAUCUACACGAAAUUCUAGUCAAGUUCCAUAUAAAGUUCAAUUAAUUCGGAGCUACGGCCUAGAAGAUAUGAGUAAAACAAGUUAAACAUGGCAUUGAUGCAAAAUGCAUUCAAACAUCAAGCAAAAACAUUCAAAACAAGGAUGCAACAAGAUAAGAUGAAACUACAUGCAAUUCUAUGCAAGUUUCAUAUAGAGCAUGCUCAAAACGGAGCUACGGUUCAGCACAUACACAUGAAACAAGAUUUAACAACAAUCUGUCCAAAACAGCAACUAGGCAUUUAGCAAGCAUUAUGAGAAUAUGCUACAGCACCCCAACAUGAAAACAAAAGGCAUGGACAAGAUGUACAGGUAAAGCAUUACAAAACAUGAACACUGAGCUAUCUCCAGAAAUCACUAGAACAUGCUCAAAAGGACAUGGCAAGAUUGCAAAUAAUAAUAGUUUCACAGACGGCAGAAAUUCACUGGACAUGGCAGAAAUAACAUCAGGUUGCAAUGUUUAGAGCUAUCAAACAGCAUGCUACAAGAAUUUAUCAUGGCAAACAAAGGCAUUCCAUGCUAAUACUAAUUAUAUAUAACAAAACUCCCUUACUGAACAUAUUCCAAAGAUCAACAUAAAAGAUGGUAGGAUCCAUGGAAACAUGGCAAGUGAUAUGACAGAUUCAGACAUGGCAGGAACAAUGAUAAGUAGGCAUGUUGGUGAGCUUGUUCCUCGCUCCAUAGAGCAUUUGAUGGCAUUUGAAGUCAACCAACAGUAAUAAUACAGAUUUAUGGAGCUAAACAUGGCAAUAUCAUAGUCAUAGGGUGCAUGGCUCACUAGCACAGCACAUGGCAAAACUGAACUUAAUGUUCAUAGGCUGACAACAACAUUACUUAGCAAAUUUAGAGCAGGAUUACAACAAGCUACAACAGGCUAUAAAUGCAACCAAGGCCACGGUUGGAUAUAGAGUGACAGGUAUAACAAAACAUCCUUAGUGAACAUCUCCAGAUUAUGCACAGAAUGACUUGUAGCAGCAGGUUUACAUAGCAUCAAGAUAUACACAUACAACCUAGCAAAACAGUAACAGCAAGUACCCUACUUCACGAGCUUGACGCACUCACUACAAGGCACACAAAAAUACAUGGAUUGCUCUUCUGUAAAUAUGGAAUGAAAUUUAUCCUAAAACAUGUAGACAUCAUGCUCAAAGGAUGCACACACAAAAUGCAAUGAAAAAGACAAAACAGCAAGUUAUAAUAGACUCAGCAAGAUAACAUCAUAUAGCACUCUUGCAACGAUGAUUAGGGCAUCAAGAUGGAUUCAAACAAGAAUGGCCCAGUGGAAUUAAAUGAGGAGCAUAUCUCAAUGAACAUGCCGAUAUAUCAUAUGCAUGAAACAGAGAAGCACACAUGAAGUUAUGGCAUGUCAAAGUGGGCACCAGAAUGCUGAAAAUCAGGGACGGUGAAAAUCUCACCCCGGGGAAAAGUCAACGGGACGACGAGAUCCGGGACGACGAGAUCCGGGGCGCGGAGAGGCCGUUUGGUUCGGGACCAGGUGGAUCUCAUCCCACCCGGUCGGAGCUGGGACGGGGCGGACGCCACCGGCGGCGGGUCGCCGGAGGUCGGCGGCGCGGCGCGCAGGAGGCAGAGCGGCGGAGCUCGGCCUGGGCGGCGAAGAUUGCCGGAGACGACGGGCGAAGCCGGCAGAGGCGGCGACCGGGACAGGCGGCGCGACGGCGGAGAGCACUCGGCGGCAGAGUCGGGAGCGCUGCGGGCGCAGGAGGGCGCGGGGCGGCGCAUGCUGGCCGGGAGGGCCUGCCCUGGGCCUCGCGGGCCCACGGCGGCGCGCAGUUGAGACGGUGUUGGCAGGGUGACGUGGCGAGAGCCGAUUGGCCAAAUGCGGCGGCGUGGACACGUCCGGCGCGGGAUGGACAUGUCUGGCGGCGGGAGGAGGAAGAAGACUAGGGUUUCGUCCGCGAAUUUGGAGGGGGUGGACCUAUUUAUAGGUAGAGGGAGCUAGGAGAGUCCAAAUGAGGUGCGGUUUUCGCCCACACGAUCGUGAUCGAAUGGCAGAGAGCAUGGAGGGGAGUUAGAUGGGCUAGGUGGGCUGUGUGAAAGGGUGCUGGGCUGCAAGAGAAAAGGGGGGUUUCGGUUAACUCGGUUAACCGUUGGGGCAUCAAACGACCUCCAAAUGGAACGAAAUUUGACGGGCGGUCUACCGGUGAUAUACCAAGGCCACUCGGCAAAUCUCAGCCCAUUCCGAGAACAUUUUUCUCCCGCUCACGAAACAAGGUCUAAGAGGAGCGACGGACGCACGCGAGUGUGUCUGUGCUCAGAACGGACAACAGAGAGAACCGGGAGGACCCGAACGGAUGCAAGUUUUGAAAAACAUGCAGAUGAAAUGCAGAUGAUGGCAUGGCAAAAUGCAACAGGCAAGCAAAUGACAUGGCAACAACGGCGAAUAACUGGAAGACACCUGGCGCAUCAAAUUCGGGGCGUUACAACUGUCCUCCACUAACAAGAGAUCUCGUCCCGAUAUCUUAGGAAUGAGACGGAAGAGAAAGAGGAAGAGGUGAAACAAGAGUGCACGAGAUAAGAUGAACAAAGUCGAGAGCACUCGGGUUGAAAAGAUUAACGGCAAAUAUGAAGAGAAUGAAAAGCUCAAGAAAAAGAUAGAUUCUGAAACCACUCCAGUUAGAAUAAGAUAGGAAAGGAAUAGAACAAAAGAAUCCCGGCAGCACUCCGGCUGAAAAUGGAAGGAAUGUAGACUUGAACUUCACCCAAAGGGAUGACACUUGCCGAGAUGAACAACGCAAUGCCUCCGGAAGAAUUGAAAGAAUUGAAUGAAAAGAACUUAGAAGGAAGGAUUGAAUAGAGUUGUUGAGAAAAUCAACAACGAAAGAAUAAGCUUGUUGUGGACUUAUCAAAAACAUCUCAAAACUUGAGUUGAAAUUAUACCACAACCAAAUGUCUAAAAAGCUGAGAAGAAUGAAGAAAUGCAAAACUCCACUUCUAAAGAAAAUAAAGAAUUAUUUGCACUUCGAGGCGUGAGAAGAAAAGAUGCUUGAACUCCACCAACAAAAUCUUGAUGAACUCUUGAUGAAUGAAUUAAAUCAUGAAGAACCACCAUGAAGAACUCUGGUAACAAAAGGAUGAUGAGAUAGAAUCAAGGAUGAAAGAAUAAGAUUAAAGCUUCCGAUGAUUUAGAUGGAGGUUCCGACGAAAUUGCCGAGUAAUUUUGAACUCCGGGAAAGAAAAGAUGAAAACACUUGGAACUAGAAUUUAUUCAUCAAGAACAAACUCUGAAGGAAGGGAUUACUUGAUGACGAUUAAGUAAGAAUAAGAAUUAUGUUAUGCUUAUACUCAUCAAAUUUAAUUGCUGACAACCGGAUUUGGCAUGCAACUUAUUCCCCUUGAAAAGGAUUGAGGAGUAUAUGGCGCAAAACUUGAGAAAGUCUUCAUCAACCACCAGUAGGAUUGAAAAGAACGAAUGAAUUGAUAUGAUAACAAAGGAAAAAGUAUCUGAAGGAACCACCGUAAGAAUUAGAAAAUGACGGAUGAAAGAGAAUGAAUCACCGGGAAGAAUUAGAAGAACAAAUAUGCUAGAGGGGAUUUAGAUGCAAAAGAACAAAGAGAUCAUGAGCUGAUUAAAGAACACUUGAACGAAGCACCGGGAUAAUUGGAUAACGGUAGCUGAAAUGUGAGGACGAAGAAUUCUUCUGGAACGAUGGUCUCCGGUAAAAAGAAACAGGAAAACGACUUCUAAUAUACUCCGGAUGGGUAAGAAAGGAAUAUCUGACAAAUGGAAUAAUUGGAGAGGAUAAUAUGAAGCUAGAACCACGAAACUUCGAGAGAACGGGCAAGAUUUAGAGGAAAAACACUUCUUCGGUCUUCAAAUGACGACGGGAAACACCACCAAAUUACUGAGAUACUCCGGGAGAAUGAAAAGAGGAAGGGUUGAACCAAAGAUGAAAAGAAUUUGAAAGCGAUCUUGGAGAUGGCAUCUGACUGAUGAAAUUCAUUCUUACGUCACACUUGAAAAGAAUUUGAGAAUAACUCCGGGAGAAUUAGAAGAGUCAGGUAAGAUCCUGGGAAAAGACCUGUGGGUUAGGGCCCACUAAAAUAAAACACUGUUGGAAAGGAUUGUUGAACAGAUAGAUGAUGCACCGGAAAAAUUGAAAUAUUUGAAAGAGGUGAUAACCUUGAAUUAUUUCGAACACAGAUGAAUCUCCGGAGAUGUCUUGAACACUCCGGAAGGAUAAACUGGCGAGAGGAAAACGAGCAGGGAGAACACUUGAUCCAAGGAAAAUAAUAUGAUCAACCCAAAAAAAAAACUUGAAUUGAGUCCACCGGAAAAGAGAUGAAGAAUGUCAAACAAAAGAAAAUUCGCCGGUUGANNNNNNNNNNNNNNNNNNNNNNNNNNNNNNNNNNNNNNNNNNNNNNNNNNNNNNNNNNNNNNNNNNNNNNNNNNNNNNNNNNNNNNNNNNNNNNNNNNNNNNNNNNNNNNNNNNNNNNNNNNNNNNNNNNNNNNNNNNNNNNNNNNNNNNNNNNNNNNNNNNNNNNNNNNNNNNNNNNNNNNNNNNNNNNNNNNNNNNNNNNNNNNNNNNNNNNNNNNNNNNNNNNNNNNNNNNNNNNNNNNNNNNNNNUGAAGAGGCUCCGCACGAAUGAAAUUGUUGGUCGAAAGAGACUCAGGCUCCGGGAAGAAGAGGGUGGGAGGGCGGGAAAAACAAGGCAACUUGGAAGGGAGAACCGACGAAGAGCUUGAAGAGAAAACACUGGUUGAAAGAAAGCAAAGGCUUCGCACGAGUAGGAUGGAUACUCGAUUAGGGACCCUGGCUCCGAGAAUAAAAAUGGGUGGGCGGGUGGGAAAAAGAAAACAACUAAGGAUUGAACUUGGCAACAAUGAAGAGGCUCGAGUCGACUUGACGAGAAAUGCAUCGGAUGAAAAGAGCUGAGAACCAACGAUCGGAAAACCAACUGCAUGAACCUAAAGAAAAAAAGUUGAAGGGGAAGAGGAGUAAUUCAAAACACGUACGUCAAGAUUCCUUACCAGAGCGACGAAGGGGCUGAGGGGUAAAAAGAAUUCCUACACUCCGAAAUAACUAGAAUCCAAAAACAGUUUUCUUCUAGAAUCGACAACGACCAAACUAUACGAUCAAUCAAGGGGGAUCCUAUGGUUGGUCGAGGCUCUGAUACCAACUUGUCACGCCCAAUAUGCGACCCUAUCCUAAAGGAACUCGAAGGUCCCACUAAGGAUAGAAGCGCAUAUUGGAGACGCUUUUGCAAGGUGGAUAUCAUUAGAUCGUACCAUUACAUAAUAGUUGGGGAUACAUACAAGAGGCAUAGAAUGCCACACGAAUACAACAUCAUCAUACAUAAGAGCAACAUCCGACUACAGAUGAAACACAAACAGAAACUCAAAGGACAUCCACCCAGCUAGCCCAGGCUGCCGACCUGGAACCUAUCCCCUGAUUGAAGAAGAAGCAGAAGAAGAACUCCAAACCAAGCAAUCAUCGCUCUCGCGUCAUGAUCAUCGCAUAACCUGUACCUGUUGUAGUAUUCUGUGAGCCACGAGGACUCAGCAAUCCCAUUACCAUGGGUAUAAAGACUAGCAAAGCUUAAUGGGUAAGGAAGGUGUAAAGUGGUGAGGUUGCAGCAGCGACUAAGCAAGAUAUGGUGGCUAACAUACGCAAAUAAGAGCGAGAAGAGAGCAAACAGAACGGUCGUGAAGCUAGCUAUCAUCAAGAAGUGAUCCUGAACUCCUACUUACGUCAAACAUAACCCAAAACCAUGUUCACUUCCGGACUCCGCCGAAAAGAGACCAUCACGGCUACACACACGGUUUAUGCGUUUUAAUUCGAAUCUGGUGUCAAGUUCUCUACAACUGGAUAUUAACAAAUUCCCAUCUGCCAAAUAACCGCGGGCACACUCUCGAAAGUUUAUACCCUGCAGGGGUGUCCCAACUUAGCCCAUCACAAGCUCUCACGGUCAACGAAGGAUAUUCCUUCUCCCAGGAAGACCCGAUCAGUCUUGGAAUCCCGGUUACAAGACAUUUCGAUAGUGGUAAAACAAGACUAGCAAGACCGCCCGGAUGUGCCGACAAAUCCCGAUAGGAGCUGCACAUAUAUAUCUCUUUCUCAGGGCAUACCGGAUAAGCUAAGCGUACGAGUACCAACAUAACCCAAGUUGCCAAGGGACGGCCCCGCACGGUGCUCUAGUUUGGACUAACACUCAGAGGAGCACUGGCCCGGGGGGGUAAAUAAAGAUGACCCUCGGGCUCCGUAAACCCAAGGGAAAAAGGCUUAGGUGGCAAAUGUUAAGACCAAGGUUGGGCCUUGCUGGAGGAGUUUUAUUCAAAGCGAACUGUCAAGGGGGUCCCAUAAAUCACCCAACCACGUAAGGAACGCAAAAUCAAGGAACAUAACACCGGUAUGACGGAAACUAGGGCGGCAAGAGUGGAACAAAACACCAGGCAUAAGGCCGAGCCUUCCACCCUUUAACAAGUAUAUAGGUGCAUUAAUUAAAUAAGAGAUAUGUGAUAUCCCAACAUAAUCAUGUCCAUCAUGGAGAAAUCUUCAACUUCACCUGCAACUAACAACGCUAUAAGAGGGGCUGAGCAAAGCGGUAACAUAGCCAAGCAACGGUUUGCUAGGAAGGGUGAAAAAGGUUAGAGGCUGACAUGGCAAUUUGGGAGGCUUGAUAAGCAAGUGAUAGGUAGCGCAGCAUAGCGAUAGAACGAAGCAACUAGCAUAACAAUGAUAGUAGUGAGAUCCAGGGUGACGGUCAUCUUGCCUGAAAUCCCGCUAGGAAGAAGAACUAGUCCAUGAAGAAGACGAACGGAUGAAGAUGAACCAAGCAUAGUCGAACGAAUCAUCACGGUCGCAACGAAACAGGAACUAACGAGAAGAAGCACAACCGGAAAGAAGCAAACAACAAGGUAGACACACAACACAUAAACAUGGAAUGAUGCACAACCAGGCAUGAUGCAUGGCAAGGCUACGUGAAGCUACUCAUGGCAAGAGAUGAUGUAUAGAAGAACAACACAUCAAAGUAAGUUUAAAUGAGGUCAGAAACAGCAUAUAACAAAUCCGGUAAGUCCUCAUAUGCAAAUUUCGAAAUUGGUCCAGAUCUGAAUAAACCUUAUGUUCAAGUUAUUAAACAUCAAAUUAAGAUGCACCAAGAUGAUCUACACGAAAUUCUAGUCAAGUUCCAUAUAAAGUUCAAUUAGUUCGGAGCUACGGCCUAGAAGAUAUGAGCAAAACAAGUUAAACAUGGCAUUGAUGCAAAAUGCAUUUAAACAUCAAGCAAACACAUUCAAAACAAGUAUGCAACAAAAUAAGAUGAAAUUACAUGCAAUUCUACGCAAGUUUCAUAUAGAGCAUGCUCAAAACGGAGCUACGGUUCAGCACAUACACAUGAAACAAGAUAUAACAACAAUCUGUCCAAAACAGCAACUAGGCAUCUAGCAAGCAUCAUCAAAAUAUGCUACAACACCCCAACAUGAAAACAAAAGGCAUGGACAAGAUGUACAUGUAAAGCAUUACAAAACAUGAACACUGAGCUAUCUCCAGAAAUCACUAGAACAUGCUCAAAAGGACAUGGCAAGAUUGCAAAUAAUAACAGUUUCAUAGACGGCAGAAAUUCACUGGACAUAUAACAUCAGGUUGCAAUGUUUAGAGCUAUCAAACAACAUUCAACAAGAACUUAUCAUGGCAAACAAAGGCAUGACAUGCUAAUAAUAAGGACAAAGAACAAAACUCCCUUACUGAACUUACUCCAAAGAUCAACAGAAAAGAUGGUAGGAUCCAUGCAAAUAUGGCAAGUGAUAUGACAGAUUCAGACAUGGCAGGAACAAUGAUAAGUAGGCAUGUUGGUGAGCUUGUACCACUAUCCACACCGCAUUUCACGGCAUGUGAAGUCAACCAAGAGUAAGAAGACACAUUUAUGGAUCUAAAAAUGGCAAUAGCAUAGUCAUAGGGUGCAUGAAUCACUAUCAAAGCACAUGUUAAUAGGCUGACAGCAACAUUAUUUAGCAAAAUUAGAGCAAUAUUACAACAAGCCAUAGCAAGCUAUAAAUGCAACCAAGGGCAUGGAUUGAUAGAUCAUGACAUGUGUAACAAAACAUCCUUAGUGAACAUCUCCAGAUUAGGCAUAGAAUGACUGGUAGCAGCAGGUUUAUAUAGCAUCAAGAUAUACAGAUUUAGCCUAGCAAAACAGUAACAACAAGUAUCCUACUUCACGAGCUUGAUGCACUCACUACACGGCACACAAAAAUACAUGGGUUGCAUUACUGUAAAGAUGGCAUGAAAAUGCUCCUAAAACAUGUAGACAUCAUGCUCAAAGGAUGCACACACAAAAUGCAAUGAAAAAGACAAAACAGCAAGUUAUAACAGUCUCAGCAGGUUAACAUCAUAUAGCACUUCUGCAACGAUGAUUAGGGCAUCAAGAUGGAUUCAAACAAGCAUGUCACAGUGGAAUGAAAUGAAUAGGAUCUCUCAAUGAACAUUUUGAUAUAUAAAAUGCAUGAAACGGAGCAGCAUACAUGAAGUUAUGGCAUGUCAAAGUGGGCACCAGAAUGCUGAAAAUCAGGGACUUGGCGAAAAUCUCACCCCGGGGAAAAGUUAACGGGACGGCGAGUUCUGGGACGAGGAGAUCCGGGGCGCGGAGAGGCCGUUUGGUUCGGGACCGGGUGGAUAUGAUCCCACCCGGCUGUAUCUGGGACAUGGCGGCCGCCGGCGACGGCGAGGUCGCCGGCACGGCGCGCGGGAGGCGGGGAGACGGAGCUCGGUCGGGGUGGCGGAGAUUGCCGAAGACGGCGGGCGAAGCCGGCGGAGNNNNNNNNNNNNNNNNNNNNNNNNNNNNNNNNNNNNNNNNNNNNNNNNNNNNNNNNNNNNNNNNNNNNNNNNNNNNNNNNNNNNNNNNNNNNNNNNNNNNNNNNNNNNNNNNNNNNNNNNNNNNNNNNNNNNNNNNNNNNNNNNNNNNNNNNNNNNNNNNNNNNNNNNNNNNNNNNNNNNNNNNNNNNNNNNNNNNNNNNNNNNNNNNNNNNNNNNNNNNNNNNNNNNNNNNNNNNNNNNNNNNNNNNNNNNNNNNNNNNNNNNNNNNNNNNNNNNNNNNNNNNNNNNNNNNNNNNNNNNNNNNNNNNNNNNNNNNNNNNNNNNNNNNNNNNNNNNNNNNNNNNNNNNNNNNNNNNNNNNNNNNNNNNNNNNNNNNNNNNNNNNNNNNNNNNNNNNNNNNNNNNNNNNNNNNNNNNNNNNNNNNNGGAGAGCGCUCGGCGGCGGGGUCGGGCGCGCUGCGGGCGCGGGAGGGCGCGGGCGGCGCAUGGGGGCCGGGAGGGCCUGCCCUGGGCCUCGCGAGCCCGCGGCGGCACGCGGUGGAGAUGGCGCUGGCGGGGUGACGUGGCGAGAGCCGAUUGGGCGGAGGCAGCGGCGUGGACACGUCCGGUGCGGGAUGGACAUGUCCGGCGGCGGGAGGAGGAAGAAGACUAGGGUUUCGUCCGCGAAUUUGGAGGGGGUGGACCUAUUUAUAGGUAGAGGGAGCUAGGAGAGUCCAAAUGAGGUGCGGUUUUCACCCACACGAUCGUGAUCGAACGGCAAAGAGCAUGGAGGGGAGUUAGAUGGGCUAGGUGGGCUGUGUGAAAGGGUGCUGGGCUACAAGAGAAAAGGUGGGUUUCGGUUAACUCGGUUAACCGUUGGGGCAUCAGACGACCUCCAAAUGGAACGUAAUUUGACGGGCGGUCUACCGGUGAUAUACCAAUGCCACUCGGCAAAUCUUGGCCCAUUCCGAGAACAUUUUUCUCCCGCUCACGAAACAAGGUCUGAGAGGGGCGACGGACGCGCGCGAGUGUGUCUGUGCUCAGAACGGACAACGGAGAGAACCGGGAGGACCCGAACGGAUGCAAGUUUUGAAAAACAUGCAGAUGAAAUGCAGAUGAUGACAUGGCAAAAUGCAACACACAAUCAAAUGACAUGGCAAUGACGGCGAAUAACUGGAAGACACCUGGCGCAUCGGAUUCGGGGCGUUACAGUACCAUCAAAGGAAGGACCUCUACGGUGGUAAUUUCCCUCGCUAGACGCCAUACUCUCCUAGGUUGUGAAACCAAGGGUAUGACCACCAAAAGCUAUGGAAAUCAAAGCAAACGGAGACCAAAGCUCUGAUACCACUUGUAGGAUCGAAAGUAUAUCUAGAGGGGGGUGAUUAGACUACUUGACCAAAUAAAAAUCUAGCCUUUUCCCAAUUUUAGUUCUUGGUAGAUUUUAGCAACUUAGCACAAGUCAAGCAAUCAACCUACACAUGCAAUUCUAAGAGUAUAGCAGCGGAAUGUAAAACAAUUGCAUAUGAAGGUAAAGGGAGGAGUUUGAGGGAGCAAACGCAAUGUUGACACGGAGAUUUUUUAGCCGUGGUUCCGAUAGGUGGUGCUAUCGUACAUCCACGUUGAUGGAGACUUCAACCCAUGAAGGGUAACGGUCGUCGCCCACGAAGGACUUGCCUCACUAGGGUAGAUCUUCAUGAAGUAGGCGAUCUCCUUGCCCUUACAAACUCCUUGGUUCAACUCCAUAAUCUUGACGGAGGAUCCCAAGUGAUACCUAGCCAAUCUAGGAGACACCACUCUCCAAGAAGUAACAAAUGGUGUGUUGAUGAUGAACUCCUUGCUCUUGUGCUUCAAAUGAUAGUCUCCCCAACACUCAACUCUCUCUCAUAGGAUUUGGAUUUGGUGGAAAGAAGAUUUUAGUGGAAAGCAACUUGGGGAAGGCUAGAGAUCAAGAUUUAUGUGGUAGGAAUAGAAUAUCUUGACCUCAACACAAGUGUAGGUAGUUCUCUCUCAGAAAAUGUAUGUUGGAAGUGUAGGCAUGCAUAUUCUGAUGGCUCUCUCCACGAAUAAAGAGUGGGUGGAGGGGUAUAUAUAGCCUCCACACAAAAUCUAAUCGUUACACACAACUUACCAAACUCGGUGGGACCGAAUCUUGAAACUCCAUCGGUCCGAUUUAGUAAAUAAUGUGACCGUUAGGAUUUUCGGUGGGACCGACAUGUCAUCUUGGUGGGACCGAUAUGGUUAGGGUUAGGGCAUAACGUAAUCUCGGUGAGACCGAUUACACAAACUCGGUGAGACCGAUUUUGGUAAUAGACACACAGAGGGUUGGUCAGGCAAACUCGGUGGGACUGAUUCGCUCAUCUCGGUUGGACCGAAACAUUUCGAAAGGGAAAUAGUGAGUUUGCAUUGCAAUCUCGGUGGGACCGAUGGCUCAUCUCGGUUUGAUCGAAAUGUUACAAAGGGUAACAGAGAGAUUACAAUCCCAUCUCGGUGAGACCGAGAUCCCUAUCGGUGAGACAGAAAAGACUAAGGUUUGUGGCAGUGGCUAUGUCAACAGAACUCGGUGGCGCCAGGUAGAUGGUUUCGGUGGGGCCGAGUUUGACUUUUGGUUUUGGACAUAUGUGGAUGUGAGAAAGUAGUUGAGGGCUUUGGAGCAUAUCACUAAGCACUUUGAGUAAGAAACUCAUUAAGCAACACCUCAUCCCUCCUUGAUAGUAUUGGCUUUUCCUAUAGACUCAAUGUGAUCUUGGAUCACUAAAAUAGGAAAUGUAGAGUCUUGUGCUUUGAGCUUGAGCCAAUCCUUUUGUCCUUAGAUUUUGAGGGAUCCACUUUUCUCAUCCAUGCCAUGCCAAUCAUUGAGCUUUCCUGAAAUAUUUAUCCUGAAAUAGCAUUAGCUCAAUGAGCUAUAUGUUGUUAGAAAUUACCAAAACUACCCAGGGAUAGUUGCACUUUCAACCGCAGAACCAACGCCAAACAGCUAUUGCAGACAACACUGACAAGAACCAAAACAGUAGAUGCAUUAGCUUCAAGCUACGCUGGGAAGGGGACUGGGGAGGAAGCCGGCAAAGUCUCACAUGAGAUCUAAUACCACACUUGCCCAAAUUACUAGUAAACCCAAGCAAUCUAAUAUUCACUAUCCAGAUUUCAGAUUGGAUCACUACAGAAUUAACCAAAUCAAUAUUCUAAAUGUGGCUGGAACUGAAUGUGGAGGCACAAAUUUGCGAAGCAAGGAAGAAGGGGAGGUACCUCCGAGGCCGCCACCGUGGGGGUAGUAGUAGUAGGUAAUGUAGCACUUGUCGAGGUAGACCUGGCCGGAGGGGGCACCGCCGCACUUGACCGCGACGCGCUGCACGACCUGGGUGACGCAGUUGCUGUAGUACACAUCGCACUGCACCAGCGCGUAGACCUGCUCGAAGCUGGUUGUGAAGCCCAGGAAGAGGUCAGCAGCUGCAAGCAUAAUACAUAAGCACAACACAUCAAAAGCCAUUCUGUCUCUGCCGAUACCAUGUGUCAAAUACGCAUCUUACUUAGUUUUCAUGCUCAAGUUAACAAAGAAAUCUAAAACCAUGUAGCACUAAAUUAAAUCACAAUACAACUCUAACAAGGAAAAAUCUGCCACUACCAGGUUGGAUUGUUGGGAUUAAAAUUGCAUAUGUUUUAGAGAGAUAGUACUAGCAAGCAUAGUUUUGUCUGAACCCUUUUCUUGCACAUAUGGAUGUGCUAACGCUACAACUAACAUUAAGCUGAAUAUAUAUAUAUCCAUGUUAUAGUAGUAAAUAAAUAUACAUAGAGCGCAGUGAUGAAGUCAAGCUCAGGGCUUCACCUUGCUUAGUAAUUUUGUUUCCAAACCACAAAAUGUACACAUCAUCUACUCAUCAUCUACAGCUGUACAACUAAUUCAUCUACUCCAUCAACGAAAAUAUAGAACCAACGAUGGCCGUGAUCACACACAGACAAGUAGACGAUGCAAUUCUUGCUGAAAUUGAUUAGCCCUUUAAAUCUUCAGGCGUAAAAUUAGAAGAGCUACUAGGAGCAUUAGGUACAAGCUAAGGCGACGUACCCAUCUUUCGUCGGCCACAGCUUAACUAAAUUGUUAUACUACUCCUAACCACGACAACACCGUCAUUGCACUGCCCGCCUUCCUUUCUCUAGCUACGUGGAAAAACGCUAGAUAGCUAGGCACCCCACGGACACAUAAACACUGAAAUUGUAUGGCCGUGGCUUCCUGGGAGCGUGUAUGUUUGCUGAUUGCAGACUGACUGCUAAAGUGUAUGUUUGCCGUUUAAUUAAUUCUUCUUGAUUCUACGGAUAGCAAUAGAAAAGUAGGUGCACCUUUUGCAUAUACAUUACUAGACGAAAACUGCUAAAGUGAGCGACCUCAACUCAUUGUUAUCAGCUAAUUAUGCAGAGGAACCAACGUUUCUUACACAAGAGAGCAUGCUAAACACAUGUCGCAUGAGCAGUAGCUAUAUCCACACCAAAUAUGUAGUUCCUUGAACAGUUGGGACGACCCUGAAAUUAGGAGAUUUACAUUAAUCAAUUCUCAGCAAAAAAAUUGGCGAACAAGGUUCUAUAAAUCAUGUCUCUAUGUUUAUUCUAGUAAGUAAUGCUUGCAUGAUAAACAAUUCUCUUCUAUAAUUGAUAAGCAGGUUCCCAUGAUAAAUUUUCAUAUGGCAGCAUCACAAGCCUCUUUCGAUCCAGGUUCAUAGUCCCUAUGAUUAAUCAAGAAACCUACCAAAACCAGGACAAAAAAAAAA